rnacentral:lncRNA from 1 species
UUCCCAUGGUUACUUAGGACCUAUCAUAAUAAUGCAAUAUAUUUAUUUUGGUUAAACUAACUUUGCUUCCUCAAGCAUUUCUUGGUUUUGCUUGGGUGGGUUAGUAAAUAUUUGAACCCAGCCCAAAUUCACCAUCUGGACCUUAAACAUUCCCAAGUUUCAGUACAAACUAUUAAGUCAUUGAACUGAACCUGUCCUAUUUAUGGAUUUUCAUGUUGGCUCAACAUAGUUCACAGCCUUAGGAUGCAUUAGUGGCUGGUAUCCAAUGGGUUUCUUGAUGGCCUUUAAAAACAUGCCAUCUCAUUUUCAUGAAACAUUAUAUUGAUGUGGACAGUUUUUCCUCUUCAUCCUCACUAGGGUAUUAUUCCAAUUCUGUUUUCUGGUUCUUUGUGCUCUUUGACAUCCAUAUCUUCUGAGUUUGUUCUUUCAAUCCUUUACCAUGCAGGGUUCAUGGAUUGUGCGCCAGAGUGUUGGAAGCACCCCUUGUUUAUUAGGAAAAGCAGUUGAUUGCAAUUAUAUCCGUGGUCCAAAGUACUUGGAGGUAAAGGCCCUUCUAAAUUCUAUAGUAUAUGAUUUUACCUUCAGAAAAAUUCUGAAACUGAUUCAGGAACACUGUAGUUUAACAUCACUCAAUUUUCUGCAGAUUGAUGUUGACAUUGGUUCUUCAACUGUUGCCAAUGGAGUUUUGGGCCUUGUAUGUGGUGUAAUUACAACAUUGGUUGUUGACAUGGCUUUCCUUGUACAGGUAUGUUCUCUUUAUUAAUCUGGACCAUCUUUACUGAGUGUUGAUCAGGACUUCCUACAUAAGUUGUUGAUUAUAUUCAAUGACAUAAGCAAGGAUUCACUUACAGGAGAGCUCAUCAUGUACUGACUGUCUAAUUAGAGAUGACAAAGUUUAAACCUGCCAAGUUGUUGCACCAGCCCUGGAACCUGCUUAUAUUAUUUUAAACCAAUAACUAUAUAUAUAUAUUUUAUCUGAUUCAAGAAACUUUUUAAUUUGAAUGACUUACAGGAAUGUCAGUUUUUUUAUAUUACUAAAAUCAUCACUUAUAUACCAACUUGGUGAGUUGCAGAGGAACUUUAAUGGGAAGGGAUGGGGAGGCAAGAAAGACCCACUUGGUUAAAUGUGAGGUGGUCUGUUUGUUGAAAGUGGAGGGAUGAGUAGAACAUUGUUAGGAAAUAGCUUUGAAGAUUUGUGGAAGAAAAAGUUAGUGGAUGAAAUUAGUGUUAAAGGAUAUUUGAGGGAAGGAGUUUUGUGUUCACGAGAGGUAGGGGAUUUGUUGGGAUACAGUUGUGGAAGGUGUGAGAAAGGGGUUUGUGCGGUUUUGCUCAGUUGUUGUUAUGGCACGAUAAUGGGUCAGGGAAGACACUGUUGAAAAGAGUGAUCUCCUAAUCUGUUCAGAGUUACAGUUAAGUAGAGAAGGGAGAGUACUGGAUUGUUAGGUUGGAGAGAAGAGUGGGAGAAACUUCAGUCCAAGCUUUACCAGGGUUCUUCACAAUUGGGAAAUAUUGAAGUGAUCUGUUGUAUAGUGGGGUAGAAAACUAGGGCUGAGGCGAUGCAAUUAAGUGGAAUCUUACUUCAGAUAAAAGUAGAAUAUCUGCUGAAUCACUUUUAUCUAAGGUAAGGAUGAAUUGGGGCACAGUUGAUGCAAUUGAGGGGAACCUGACUUCGAAUAUAAUUUUUUUUUUUGGUAAAUCACUUUUUUGUGGCGAUAGGGAAUAGGCGAUGUUGGCUAUCCAGGAGAUUUGGGGUUUUUUGGCACAUGCGACAGUGGCACUCUUCAUGAUUACAGCAGUUUGGGAAAUGAAGUUUACCAUGCCCACUGGUGAGCAGGGGAAGAAUCAUUGCUAAUCAGUGUUGUAUGUUAAGAAGGAUGGCAAAGUGUAUUCAUCUCUUUCUGUGGUACAGAGGCUUGAGACUUAUGAUCUGCAAUCUUGAUCCUUUUUGGAAGUUUCAGGUGCUUCCCACCACCUAUGAGCAAGGAGCAUCUGUCCAGUGGGCAUUAUGAGUUUGUAGAGAGGAUAGGAGGAAAGGUGGAAGACUUAACAUUAUAGUUGGCUUAGUGCUUAUGGAAGGAGCAUUGUGAAAGGACUUGUAAAGGCAUUGAAACUCCAGUCUAGAAGUUGUAGGAUAUUAUUCUUGGAUGUUUAUUUCUUGGAGAAAAUACUUUUGAUUUCCUUAGCUUUUGUACAUGAAUAUGGGUGGAAGAGACCUUUUGGUGCUUUAAUGUAGUUUGUGCUGCACAUAUAUUUCAGGUUACACCCCCAGAAUACCCCACUUUUACCUCUAGUCAUUAAAAAGAAGACGUUCUCUUUCUACCCAAAAAUUUGGACGCAAUCUUGAAACCCAUUCAACUUCUUACCAGUACUACAUCUAAUAAUCUCCUUUUAAAAACCUAUAACCCUCUCAAGCCUUGUAAUGCCCUGGAGCAUUUGCUAAUUGCUACCAGCCAUAGGGAAAACCCCAAGGAAAACACUCAAAAGUUUGGGCCUCCGGGAGAUUCUAUUCUGUCCCAAUAAAAUUACAGAAGAAAGGCAAGCAUAAUGGUCCUCUCUUUGGUGGAUUAUGGAUUCUUCCAAUACUUUCAAAUAACUCUAUGAAUAAAACCGGCACCUAAUCCCCCCACCAAAUUCUUAUCCCUUCCAAUUUUUCAACCUAUUCACUCGUCGUCUUCUAGAUUCUUUGAUGAGUAAAGAGUGGGCAUUGGUUGGAUACAUUUUUUGUUUUUUGUUUUUAAAAUUAGAAACUUCUAUAUAAGAAGUAAAAACUCUUGUACAAAAAUAAUUAGACUCACUUUAUAUCCUUAAAAAUUACUUUGAAAACUUUUUAAAUUCGAGUCAGUAAAAUUUUUUUUAAUAUCUCAAAAUUUUUAAUUAAUUUUUAAAAAUCACUGUAUUUUCAAUAUAAGUGUCCAAGAGUUUUUAUAUUUUAUAUAGAACUUCUUAUUAUUUUCUAUUCUUAAAAACAGAAAACAAAAAGUGUAUUUAAACCGACACUUUGUGAUUUAGUGAGCAAGCACAUAGAUCAGUUGAUUUUUAUAAGUGGAUCAAGUCAGUUCUCUGAAGCAUAUUUCUUUUCUUUUAUUUUUCAGGGUUGGUUGUUUGUUGUCACAUUCGUAUCACAUUUUCACUGGCAUGUCCAUCCAUGUUCAUGCUACAUAUCUCCUGAUAUGUUUAGUAUAGGCAAACAUUUUGUUGAAAUAGCAGGAACAAUGAUAAUAAGAUGAUUCUUCUGAGAUUAUGGUUCCUUGAAGCUUUGUUCAUACCAGAGUUGUUGUGCUAAGGUUCAUCACGUGUCCUAGUAGUUGGUGUCUUAUAUGAAAAUUUUUCUGAUGUUGUCGUAUUUGAUUCUCAGGCAAACACGGUGGAUGAGUUGCCGGAGAGGUUGAUUGGCGCCGUCCGGGUUUCCCAUGUAGAGCUUUCAUCAGCUAUAGUCCCAAAAUUGGACCCAGAUACAUGUGCUUGAGUUGAAACAUUGAAUUUUAUACAAAAUCUUUUGUUUGUUCAGGUAUGCACACAUAUGUAUAUCAAUAUUGACUUCCCAAUUCAAUACAUUACAUCUCCCAUUUACUAUAGUCUUGCUCUUUUCUUUCUCUUUCUUCCCUUGGAUUUUCUUAUUUUCCUCAAUGGCAAACACUAGACUUCAUUCCUUUUUCCUUUUUCUUUCUUGUUUUUUUCCUCUUUUUGUAGGAAAGUUCUUUAGUAUAUAUUUCCAAGGUCUUAGAUUCAUGAAAAGUUAGAAAAUCAAUUUUAAUCAUUGAAAUCCUACUACACUGUUGGAUAAUAACGAUGAUACUGGUAUUAGCUUUUCUAUGUAGUAACAUAACAUGGUUAUAUUUGCCCAUUGGGCUGUCUAACAUGAAUAAUAUUUUUUAUUUUAUAAUUUAAAAAAAAAUAAAAAUAAAGAGGAAGAAAAAGAAAAAAGAAUGAAUUAGUUAGUGCAUGUUUAGAUGUGUUGUCAUUUUUUAUUUUUUAUUUAUUUUUUUGGAUUGUAAGUUAAAUUUCUAUUUUUUUAUACAAGGGUUUUUAUAUUUUGUAUGUAAGUUUUUAUUUUUAAAAUAAAAAAUAAAAUUAGAACUGUAUCCAAAUGCCUAUUGGAUUUCAUCAGGGUUAGUAGAAGCCCGCCAUGUGGUGGUAGUGGGGUGGCGGGGGUGGAGCAGUGGAGGAGGGCGGUGGGGAGCCGUGGGCGAGUUGGAAGUGAGGAGAAAUGGGGAGAGGUGGGAGGUGGAGACGAGGGUAAUAUAUGAUCAUUUCGGAGGAGAUGAUGGCAGAGGUGGAUACACUGGCCUUGCCCAGUUUUUGGUCAGCCUGGAAUAAAAUCUAUUUUUAUUUCCAAGCGGGACCCACCAAAAUGAAAGUAUAGACAUGAUCAGCAUCUUAUUAUUAAAGAUUAAUUAAAUUUUCUAUUAUUAUAAUUCUUACCCUAAAAAACGGAAUAAAUAAAUAAAUGAAAUGUUGUAAAAAAUAAUCAUUGAAAACUUCAUAAAUUUUCGUCUCAAUUAUAUUGUGAGUUGCAAAUAUUAAUAAAAAGUAACAUGUAAUUAUCAAAAUGGAUAUGACAGUUUUAAAUUUUAAUAAUUUCUUUAUUUCAGCGUACAAACCAAGCUUUAAUUAAAUAAAUUAUUAUCUUAUUUAAAACCUAAUUUUUAGUGGAUGUGUGAUAAAUCAAUUUAAAUAAUUUAAUUUAAAUCAUUAGAUAUAUUAAGUAUAUUUGGUAAAAUAAAUUAAUGAUAUGACUUAAAGUUAAAAACAACUUUAAGUAAUAAGUACAAAUAAUUAACUUAUUCAUAAAUAUACAUUUCAUUUUUCAUUUUUACCUUCAUGUACUCUAAUUACUUCCAUAAUAUCUUUUGCUACUCUAUGACUUUCGUUAUUGCUCGAUCUCCUUUACUUCAGUUAUAAUUCAUAAAGAUAAAUAUAUUAAUUAAUGAUUUAGAAUAAAUUUUAAAUUAAUUUUAUCACACAACCUUAAUACUUUAAGAAUUAAAUAAUAAAUUUUAAGUCAACAACUUAACUAUAAUUUAACUUAAAAUCAAUUUAAGUUAUUAAAUAAUAAAUAUUAAGUUUUACCAAACAUAAACUUAAUAGUUUCGUUUAUUUUUUUUUUUAAAUAUAAUAUUUAUAUUUUGAUAUUUUAACUAAAUUCAAGUAAACAUAAUAUGUAAUGUAUUCAACUUGCAUUUUUCCGUAGGGUUGGUGAGGGGAUAAACAUUAAACACCCGCCUGCUCAUGAGCCGCAGCUUGUUCGACGUCCAUUCUCAUCCGGUUAUUGAUCCAUAUGUUCGGAAAUUCAUCCAUAGAACUCAGCUUCUCCAGGAUCAACCUCUCUUGCUUGGCAUCUAUGUUGUAGUGUAGUUAAGAUUUCACACACUAAGUCGUUGAAAUAGAGUCAAAGUAGGCCAUGCAUAUGAACAUCAUAUCAACAUUAACAAUCUAGCUUAACUAUGGACACACAGACUGGGGAUACAUUCUUGAUCAGGAUUCUCUGUUAAAUUGGAGUGCAGGGCAUUCCCGACACUGUCCACAAUGGCCGAGGUGGUCAUGGAUGAUUCAAUGCAGAGAAUGGCUGUGAUGGCAUCUAGUCUGGUGACCUCAUUUCUGAACAUCAGUCUUGCAUGUGCUACAACAACAUUACCAGAGUUGAAAUCCCGAGCAUUGUAUAAGUAGGAAGGUCAUGUUGGAAAGUCCACGGAGGGCGACAUACCUUGGGCUAAUCGUAUCAAGCUUCCUAGCAUGCGCACGGUUGUUCUUGCUGCAUUACUUGAAUGAGUAAAAUGGGUGAUCUAAGUAAAAGGAAAAAAAAAAACAAUAUGAUAACAUUGAACAAAUCAAAUGAGGUUGUUAGGUGAAACCUGCAUUAUGUGUUGCAGAUCUUCUUUGGAGUUGAUAAUAACUUGAAAUUACUUUCUCAGCUACCUUUGUCAGAACCGGUUUUAGGUAUCCUUUGACAAAGUGAAAAUACCUGCAACCCACCCUCAGAAUUAAAUAAUCGUGGUUGAAAUUUUUGCUUUGGAUUGGGCAAGCUCUAGAAGAAGAUGAAGAAUUUUGUUUGUAUUAUAUACGUUGUCCAUGGUAGUAGGGUCAAUUUCUUGGUUGCAUCCGUAAGUUAUAAUUUACUAUUUUAAGAGAUUAUUGCUAUUUAAAUCAGAGAAAAACUACGCAUAAGAAAAUUUGAAUUAGAUAAACCCAAGGUGGGUUUGAGUAGACUAAAGGAUUGAUCAAAGGAAGAAUCCCUUGAAAGUUUGAGUCCUAUAAUCUAAUCUCUUCUUGUACAACUGUAAAUUAGUUAGGAAUUUUUCUUCUUUUAGUAUUUUUCUUGUACAACUAUAAAUUAAUUAGGACUUUUUCACCUUUUGUACAGUUGUAAAUUAAUUAUUAGAAAAUUUGAAUUGAUUUGAAUUAACGUGUGUAUAAAAAAUUAUCCUUUCCUAGAAUAGGGGAGGCUAUAUAUAUAUAUAUUUGAUGCAUCUCUUGAUUUUUAAUGAAUAAGAAUUAUUCAGAAUUUCACAUGGUAUUAGAGCCACCUCUAGGUUCUUUUUAUGCUUGGUGAAAACUUUGAGUGCCACAUGUCCUUGUUUGAUUGUUUCUGUGUGGCGUUUUGAUUCCUUAACCUUCAUUGCCAUGUUUGAUUCCCUAACCUUCAUUAGCAAUUUCUUUUUUAUUCAUUCUGUUUGUGUUCAUCACUAUUAUUUGUUAGAAAUGUCAAACCAUACUCCUACCACCAAUUCUACUCAGGCGAUAGUUAAAGCAUUGCUAAGCCAAACCACAAGGGAACUAUAGAACCUCCAAGCUGCUUACCUACUUACUGAGAAGAAUUAUCUUCAAUAGUCUCAAUUGGUGUGAGCCUUCCUAAAGGGCAAAGGAAAACUACGUCAUUUAAUUAGCACAAGACCAAAGCCUAAAGAUCCAAAAUUUCAAAGUUGGGAUGAAGAGAAUUCCAUGAUCAUGUUUUGGUUAUGGAAUUCAAUGACCCCUUAAAUUUUCAAAACAUGUAUGCUUUUUACAACGGCUAAGGAAAUUUGUGAAGCCAUUUGACAACUCUAUUCAAAUGUACGAGAUUCUGCUCAAAUGUUUUAAAUCAAGGUGAAGAUUUCAUCCACAAAACAAAGAACCAAAUCUGUAAUCAAAUAAGCCAAUAUCAUGAAGAAUUUAUGGUUGGAAAUUGACUACUGAUAGAACAUUCAAAUGAAAUGAAGUGAAGAUGCAAUAAUGUUAAAAAAAAUUUGUGGAAAAAAAAACAAAAUUUUAAAUUUCUUACCGGACUUAAUGUGGAGUUCGAUCAAGUGUGAGUCCAAGUUCAAGGGAGAAAAAAACACUUUCAUCCAUGAAUGUUGUCAUCUCCAUCAUUCGUGUUGAAGAAAGUCGGAAAGAUGUGAUGCUCGAACCAUCUUCUAUUGAUGGUUCUACCAUGGUUGUUGUAGAGCCAAAUAGAUUCAACCUAAAUCUUUUUAGAAAAAUUGGGCAUUCUAAUAGGUCAAAGAAUCUUAACCGUAAAGAACUUUGGUGUACCUAUUGUAAGAAGCCCUAACACACCAACAAUGAAGAAGAAGAAUUUGGAGAACUAAACAAGGAAGAGAUAAAAAGGUUGAGAAAAUUUUUACAUACUCUUAGUAAACACUAGGGUAUGUGUUCUUUUGCACAAACAAGUAAGUCUUCCAUUUCUCAUGCUUUAAGGGCCUUGAAUUUUUCCUUCAUUGACUCUUAGGUCAUUGAAUCAAGAUUCAUAGACCACAUGACCCACUCUUCUCAUUAUUUCCCUUAACAUAGUCCUUACCCUAAAAAUAAAAAGAUUUCUAUUGUUAAUGGUUCCUUGACCAUAGUUGUUGGUCAAGGAAAAAUUAGUCUCACCCAGUCUAUUAUUUUACAAGAUGUGUUACAUGUACCUAAACUUCUAAUUAACCUUAUAUCAAUCAAUAAUUAACCAAAGAUCCAAAAUAUUGUAUAACCUUUUUCCAAAAUUAUUGUGUUUUAGAACCGAGCUGUAGGAAGAUAAUUGAGCUUGCUAGGGCAAAUGAUGGGCUUUACUACCUUGAAAAAAAACUAGUGGGUGUGUUAGCAAAACAAACUAGUCUUAUCUAUGCUUCUUAACCGAAAUUACACCUUCCAAUAAAAGGUAAUUUGGUUCCAUCACCUUCAUCUUGGGCAUCCCUCAUUUAGAAUUCUUCAAACUAUGUUUCCUAUAUUAUUUAAAUCAGUGGAUGUAAACACUUUUCAUUGUGACAUCUAUGAAUUCACCAAGCAUCAAUGUGUUUUGUUUCCCUUGAGUAAUACAAGAACUUCCUUUCCAUUUACUUUGGUGCAUCGUAAUAUUUAAGGAUUGCCUCAAGUUCUUAAUGUUUCUAGUACUAAAUGGUUUGUGUCAUUCAUUAAUGAUUGUACAAGAGUAACAUGGAUUUUCUUGUUAAAAUGAAAGUUUAAAGUGAGCAAUAUAUUUUCCAUUUUUCAUUCCAUGGUUAAAAAUCAAUUCGAGAUUAUAUAAAAAGGGUCAAAAUUGAUAAUGAAAGGGAUUACUUCAAUUAAGUCUUGUCCCUAUACUUCAAAAAAGAGGGGAUAACUCAUUAGUCUUCAUAUCUUGAUAUACUUUAACAAAAUGAGAUUGUUGAAAGGAAAAAUAAUCAUCUUCUUAGUGUUCCUCCAACAUUAUUGUUCAAAAAACAAGUAUCAAAAUCUUAUUGGGAGGAAGUUGUUCUAACUAUUGCCUAUUUGACAAAUAGGGUGUCAUUUAGAGUAAUUGUCAUACCUCCUAUAAUUGAGUCCAAAGGUUUUAAGGUGUGUGUCAUUUGUUCACAUUCAUGCACAUAAUUGUGAUAAGUUAGAUCUAAGGGCAAUAAGAUGUGUCUUUAUGGGGUAUUUACCUAUAAUAAAGGGUAACAAGUGUUAUCACCCUUCUUCUAGAAAGUUUUGUAUACCUAUGGAUGUAACCUUUGCAAAAAAAAGAAAAUUAUUUCUCGAGGUUUUAUCUUCAGGUGAAGACAUUACCUUUGGAAGAUAAAGAUCUCUCAUCUCGAUUACUUGACCUUCAUGUGUUGCCCAUGAAUUUUGUCCCUUCAAAUCCUAAACAGGCCCUUGUUGUCACUACCAAGUUUGCUAACACUAGAUCCAAAAUCUAUUACUAUAAAACCAUUGCAAGUUUACCUAAGGAGAAGCACAACUGCCAUUAAACCCAUGCAUACUCAAAAGUCUAAAUCGAGGCCAAGUAAUAACUUUAUCUCUCCUAGUACUUCAAAUGUUGACAAUGAUCAUAAUUUCACAAUUGUCAUUAGGAAAGGUACAAGUCAAUACACUCAACAUCAAUUGUUAUUAUUUGUGUCAUUUGAUAACUUCUCCUAAUCACACAAAAGUUUUCUUGCUCAUUUGACACCAUAACCACUCUACAAAACCUUGUUGAGACACUUAACAAUGAGAAUUAGAGACAAGUCAUGAGGGUCGAGAUGGAGACAUGGGAGCAAAAUAGAACAUGAGAAAUAGUGGAGUUGCCUAAGGGGAAGAAACCGAUUGGGUAUAAAUGGGCAUAUACGAUCAAGUACAAAGUUGAUGGAUCCCUAGAAAAAUAUAAGAUUAGGUUGGUAACUAAAGACUACACACAAACCUACUGGGUUGUGAUGAGGAUGAAUCUCUAAGAUGUACAUCAAGAAAGGUAUUACUAUUAGUUACAAUUAAAGUAGGAUUAUUAUUACUUGAAAUUAAAUUAGAAUUAGUAUUUGUUGGAGUUAAAUUAGGAUUAACUAAUUAGUUUAUAAAACAAUUAGAAUUAAACACAUUACAAAUUAUUAGAAUCCUAGUAAACUUUAGAUUUAUUAGUGAAGCCUAUAAAUAAGGUUAAUUAAUAUAAAUCAAAGUAAUGAAUUGAUUGAUGUAAAUUAUAUUAUGUUUUUUUUUAAUUGCAAGUGUUGCAAUCCUCAAUGGUGAAACUCCAUUGAUUUUCUUCUAGGGGAAACUUUUAGAAGGCUUUAGUGAGACUCUAAAGUUCAAUCUCUUCUACUUCAUAUCUUCUUUCUCUCUAUUUUUAUUUUAUUUUAUCUUUUUUUACCAUAAACUUUAUUCCUUGUUCAUUUUCUUAUGCCCUUAAAAAAUAAAAACCCUAACCCACUUACUUGAGUGUAGGCAAUCAUCCUAGGGUUGUCCUAUAUCAGGUUGAUUACCAAGAAACAUUUACUCUCAUAGGUAAGAUGAAUAUUGUGAAGGUAUUAUUAUUUUUGGUGGCUAAUUUUGGUUUGAGCUUAGAACAAUUUGAUAAAAAAAAAAGCAUCUUUGCAUGAGGCCUUGGAAAAAGAGAUCUAUGUGGAAAUUCCUUUAGGUUUUGACAAAGGCCUUGGUAGAGCCAAGAUGUGCAAAUUAAAGAAAGUCUUAUAUGGCUUAAAAUAAUCUCUAAGAGAAUUGGUUUAGGAGAUUUUCUUAAGUGAUGUUAGCAAUGAAAUACAAACAAAGUCAAAGUGAUCACACUUUGUUUAAUAAGCAUUUGAAUUCAUGGGGAGUGUAGCUUUGUUGGUGGAUGUGGAUGAUACCAUUGUUAUUUGUAAUGAUUGUAGAGAAAAUGAGGCUCUUUGAUAGUGUUUAGUAAGAGAAUUUGAGAUUAAAGAGUUAGGAGAUUGAAAUAUUUCUUAAGAAUCAAAUUGGCUCAUUCCAAGGAAGGUAUCUUUGUUUCACAACAUAAAUAUGUGAUUCAUCUUCUCAAAGAAACUGGGAACCAAAUCACAAAUUAAGAUAAGCCUUAGAUAAUGGGACAGUAGAUUAUGGCAUGAACCAACAACUAGUGAGUAAACCCAUUUACCUAGCACAUAAUAGAUUGGACAUUGUAUAUUUUAUGAGUAUUGUCAAUCAAUUUAUGCAUAAUCCCGAAGACUCAUCUUCAAGCUAUCUAUUGGAUCAUACAUUACCUUAAAGCAACUUUCGAUAAAGGGUGAUUGUUCAAAUGAGGUACAAAGUUACGGUUGGAAGCCUACACGAAUGCACAUGAUGGUAGAUCAGUUUUAGAUAAAAGAUAAACCUCACGGUGCCAUACUUUUCCUACAGGAAAUUUAGUUACUUUACCAAGUCAAAACAACUAGUAGUCACAAAGAUCAAGUGACAAGGUAGAGUUCUGAGCAAUGACGCAUGGAAUUUAUGAAUUGUUAUGGCUUAAGAUUAUUUUAGAUGAUCUUAAAAUCAAGUGGACACGUCUUAUGAGACUUUAUUAUGAAAAUAAGUUUUAAACCAACAUCAUUCCUAAUACGGUACAAUAUGAUCGAACAAAGCAUGUGAAGGCAGAUCAAAAUUUUAUAAAGAUUGAUAGUGGUUUUAUUUGCACUCCAUAUAUUGGGAUAGGUGACUAACUUGAAGAUGUUCUAGCUAUGGGGUUAGCUAAUACCACGUUUUAAGGAAUUAUAGGUAAGUUAUGAAUAAAGAAUCCCUAUUUACCAGCUUAAGGGGCAAUGUUGAAAGUUUGAAUCCUAUAAUAUAGGAUUUUUCUUCUUUUAGGAAUCUUCUUGUACAAUUGUAAAUCGGUUAGGAUUUUUUCUCCUUUUAGGAUUCUUCUUAUACAACUAUAAUUGUUGUAUCUAUCAAGAGUUAUCAUUUCUUAGAGUAGGAGAGGUCGAUACACACACACACAUAUAUAGUUUAGUGUAUAUCUUGAUUUUUGGUGAAUAAGAAUAAUUUAGAAUUUCAAAAAAAAAAAACUAAUAUCAAAGAUAUCAAAUCCAAACAAAAGGGUUUAAUAUGAUGAAAUAAAACAAAAUAUUAUAAUAUUAAUAAGAGACUAAAUAUAGACAUACAUACUAAAAUGUGCUCUUACGUAGCCAUGUUUAUGAGUUAUCUUCAUUGAUAGAUUAGGAUAACUUGGCACAACUUUGAAUUAUUUUAGAUCACAAAUUUUCUUAUUCCCUUUCAGAAGUGAUAUGAUUUGUUCCUGAACAUUCAUAAGUGGAGACCUAUGAAGAGACUAAAAGAAAUUUGGACUUUCUACAAUUUAGAUUCUCGUCAACUUUAAUAGUUAACCUCAAACAAAGACAAUAAAAUCUUGCUAGUUUGAGAGGGGGGAAUGGAAGAAUUGAAGGCUCCAUGUAGCAAUUUCCAGCUAUUUCUUGCUACACUUGAGAGUUUUAACUUGGGCAUCAUUGUUGUUGAUAAAAUCAGUACUAGACAAUUUACGAUAGUUUGAAAACAUCAAAGGUUUGCAUGGGAAAUGUUUGUUAUUUAAUUAGAAAUCUAAAGGUCAGUUUUUGUUAUUAAAGGUUACUAAUUGUGUCUUGGAAACCUUCAUAAAGUAGUUGAGGGUUGUUAUUAUAAAAGAGAAGAACUUUCUUAUUAUAAGAACUUUUGAUGAUUAUCCAGAAAAAAAAAAAUAGAAGUGAUUAACUAGAAGUUCUUGGUUUCAACUUUUACAAAGGGUUUUUCCUAGAUUUUUCCUUAAGAAAUCUUGGCUCUGAUGGUAUUUGGAGUCAUUUGGUUGUAGUUUAUUUGGAUAAUAGCUCUAAUAGCUUUUCAAAUUUUCAUCAAUUGGUAUCAAAGCCUUUGCAUCACAAUCGGUAGGAAGUGAACCAACUAGAAAAAAGUUUGCAAACUUGUAGUAGCACCUUAACCAAUUAUGUGCUAGAGUGGAGCAAGUUGGUAUUUUUGGUGCUCUAAAUUCCACCAUUUGAGGCCCUCUAUGGAGGACUUCCAAGAAAUUGUAGGGGGCUUUUCAAAUGAAGGAGGUGGAGUUUUACCUUUGGAGAGGCAACCUCAUCAUAAUACAAAUCAUGAUCAAAAUUUAAAUAUUAAGAUAGGUAUUCCACACUUCACUGGAAAUGAGCAACCGGAGGAGGUCUUAGAUUGGUUGAAUGAAGUUGAAAAGGUUUUUGAGUUUCUAAAUCUUCUAUAAAAUAAAAAAAUAAAACUAGAGGCUAUAAAAUUGAAGGGGUAUGCUUCCUCUUGGUGGCAACAAGUACAAAUGACAAGAGUCCAAUCUGGAAAGGAGAAAACCUAUAGCUAGACUAAAAUGCAGCAACAAAUCCAAAGUCAAUUCCUUCCAUUAAAUUAUGAAGGAAUUCUUUUUCAGAAAUUCCAAGCACUUUAACAAGGUCAACAGUCUGUGCGAGAAGCAUAAAUCAUUGGCAGCAGCCGAUGAUUUGCAGAAUUCUAGAUCAAAUACUCACAACCAAAGCUAAGGGUAUGUAACAAUGAGAAAUCAUGUUCUUAGAAAUAGUAGCAACUCAUUGUAGCCUGCAAGACGUAGAAUAAUAUGUUAUAAAUGUGGAAAAGAGGGUCACGAAUCUUCUAAUUAUCGAAAACAAGCCAACAAUUUACUAAUCAAUGAGGUUGAAGGGGAGAAUAAUGAUAAUGAGGAGGUGUAGAUGGAACCUCAAGGCAAUGAAGGGCUGCUGGAAUUCACAGAAGAUGAAGUCACAUAUGAAGACCAUGAUCUUCCAAAUUUAAUGGUAAGACGUUUCAUGUUAACUCCAAAAGCAUAAAAAAGUGAUUGACAGAGAAACAAUAUUUUUAAAACUAGAUGUUCUUCACAUGGGAGGCUUUGCAAUGUUAUUAUUGACAAGGGAAGUUGUGAGACUCUUGUUUCUAAAGAAAAUGUGACGAAGCUCAACUUGGAAGUGCUACCACAUCCAAGGCCAUAUCAAAUUUCUUGGUUAAAAAAUGAGGUGAAAUAGAAGUAGUGCAACAGUGUCUUGUUCCCUUCUUAAUUGGGAAAAAUUAUUCAUAUAAGGUUCUAUGUGAUGUGGUGGAAAUGGAAGCCUGCCAUUUUUUACUUGCAAGACCAUGAAAAUUUGAUAAUAAAAAUAUCCACCAUGGAGAGAAGAAUGUUUAUGCUUUCUACAAAAAUGGGCUUAAGGUAGUACUUACCACGAUGAAAGAAGAAGAGUUUGUCAAGUCGAAGGUCGAACUAUAACAAUCUUAUGUAACUGUUCACUGAUUUUUAAAUGAGUUUGAAGCUAAUGGAGUUAUCUUUUUGUUGUUGGAAAAAAAAAGUCUUAGAAGACCAACAAGAUGUUUCUAAUGAAGUGAUUGGAACCAAAAUAUGUGCUCUAAUGACACAUAUUUGAUAUGAUUUGUGCACCAAAGAACACUCAAAUAACCCAAAUUGACCUAAAUUGAUGCUAAAUCCCUAGCCAUGAGUUGAACUUAAAUUUUGGAGAUUUAUCUCAAGCUCAAGAGAAGAAAAUGAUGCAAAUUGAAUCACUUUACAUUUUGAAAGAUCAAGAAAGGGUUAAAUGAAUAAAUAAGUGAGGCAAGACUCAUGGACCAUGAGGAAAGGCAAGAUGAGGAUAUCAUGAGUUUGGAAGAUGAGAAAUGGCCAUUAUGGAGUAAGAAAGAAGGCAAGAAAACAUGGGAAAUGAGGCAUGAAACAAGAUUCAGUUGCAUGGAAAUUUAGAACUCAAAAUCUGAUGGCAACAUAUACUCUGAAUUUGAGGACAAAUUUGGAGUACUUAUAGGAGUCCAUUUUAUACAUACUAUAUAUUUCCUCGAAACUUGGGAAGUCAAGAGUCCAACGAUUUAAACGGUGUACAAAUUGGAGUUGAAAAGAAGAAGUUAUGGACAUUUGAAGACAAUUGCACAAAGUUGAAGGGCCAUUUCGAAAUGAUUUUGAGAUUCAACUUAUGAAUUCGAAAUCCAAUUCGAAAUGACCCCAAUUUCAAAUUCAUCCAUUGCCACUUUGAUGUUUCGCCUCCUCUACCUCAGGAAUUGCAUCUAAAGCACUCCAUCUGCCCAAAGUGGGCCCCACAUGACUAGAAGUCACCAUUUUAUUAUUUUUAAGUAAUUAUUUUGUAAUAAGUGGCCAAUGAGAGUGUGCCACAUGUUAGUUAAUUGAUGAUAUUAUAUAAACUCUCUUAGUUCUAAGGUUUAGAAAUCUUGGAUCUUUUUCUAGAGAGUUUGAAAUAGAAGGUGGAAGAUCACAAGAACUUUGGUCUGUUUUCUUUUUCUUUCUUUAUUGAAUAUAUUGUUUUUAGUUUCUUUUGAUUCAAAUUAUGGAGUUUUACCCUAUUAUGGAUAGUGAAUGUGACAUCACCCCCAUGAAAGGCUAAGAAGCCAACUUGGGGCUUGAAAAAUGAAAACCUAAGGGCUAUGAAACCUAUAGGGACAAUUGGUAAAUUAUUAUAACAAUGAGAUUUAUUAUUAGUUGGGUGACAAUUUAUCAAAUUUUUUUAGCAUAUCCUUGUGAAUUAGUUUAGGGAAUGAUACAGUAGGUUAUUACUUGAUACUAGUGAUUCUUGAAAAUCUUGAUCAUUAGUUAUCCUCGUCUUUCUUAUCAUUAUUUGCCUCAAAACAAAACUAUAAGGAGUAGGAAGGGUUAAAAAUCCAAAUCUUAAAUUGGUAAUCAUUCUCAUUCAUUUGAUGGUUAUAAGAAUCUGUUUUAAAAAGGAAAAAUUAGUUUUCGAAUGCAAUUUUGAGUUAUAGAACUCAAGUUGAUCGUGAGCAGCCAAGGAUCCCAAAACCCUAAGAUCACUUUACUUAAGAAACUCUUGUUAUCUCUAUUUCUAUACCUUAAGUUGGAUUAUGGAAAACCCCAAACUUGAAUCGAUUGAAUUAAAAAUCAAUAUUCGUUUUGUUAUUAAUUUAGUUUCAUUCACUCAAUCUCCUUUCAUAAAAGAUAAUUCAAAAAUUAUUUUUCUCUUUUAGAUUUAAACAAAAGCAAUUCAUUUAUUCUAGUAUUGACAAUUUCCAUAAGCCAGUCCCUGAGGACGAUACCCAGAGUACUGCAAAAGCCAUAGUGACUCUUUCUCAUGUUUUUCUUAACUAGAGUUGCUACAUAAAAAGGCUAAGUAUUUUGGUACAACAGAGAAGUUCGAUCAAGAAAUUAGUGCCAUUGCUGAGCAUUGGCAACCAUCAUAACUAGGAUAUGGUGCAUUGCUUUGUUUUAGUUCUUUUAAUUUUGUUUUUCUUUAUAUAUAUUUUUUCUUCUAUUUUACACUUGGUUGGGAAAGAGAUCUUUUAGGUAGACUUCAAAGAACAACUCAGGAAUCUCAACCAAAUAUGGAGGACACUAAAGAGUCCAACAACAACAACAAUAGGCCACGACCACCUAUGCAAGACCAAAGAACUAUGAGAGAGUUUCUAAAUCCUCCCAAGUUGAGCACACCAUCGUGUUUUAUGCUACCUCCAAAUCAUGAUCAUGUUACCAUUUAGCCUCAAGUGGUAUCUCAACUACCUAUUUUUAUGGGGACAGAAAAUGAAAACCCAUACUCUCACAUCAAGGAAUUUGAUGACAUCGUUUCAAUUUUUUGAGAAGCCAACACUCCUUUGGAGAUCUUCCGCAUGAAGCUAUUCUCCUUGUCAUUGAAUGAUAAAGCUAAGACUUGGUUAAAUAAUCUUAGACCCUAUAGUAUCAGAAAUUGGGGUGAUCUACAAUUAAUGUUUUUACAAAAAUUCUUUCCAACACAUAGGACUAGUGCAUUGAAAAAUGAGAUCUCAAAUUUCAAGGCUAUGGAGGAUGGAAAAUUUUUUGCAUGCUGGGAAAGAUUCAGGGAGAUGGUCGCAGCAUGCCCCCAUCAUAGAUUUGACAAUUGGAUGUUAGUAUCAUAUUUCUAUGAAGGUAUGCCACCACCAAUGAAACAAAUUCUCGAGACUAUGUGUGGAGGAGAUUUCAUGAAUAAAAACCCUGAUGAAGCAUUUCAAUUCCUUGAUUAUGUUGUCGAGGUAUCUAGAAGUUGGGAAGAACCAAUUGUCAAGGAACCACCUAGAGUUAGAAUAGUAAACAGGGCAAGAGCUAGUGGAGUGUUUACCUUACCAGAGGGUUUAGAUGUCUAAGCAAAGUUUGCCAUAAUUAUGAGGAGGUUGGAUGAUUUUGAAGCCAAGGAGUUCAAGAGGUACAAAUAGUCAAUGAGUGAAUAGCUCAACCAUGCUUGAUAUGUAAGUCCACAGAACAUGGUGUGCAAUCUUGUCCCACUCUACCUGUAGUCUAAGACAUGUUUUCGAAGCAAGCCAAUGCCUUAGGGACAUACAAGCAAUAUUCUAGCAAUUCUCCAUAUUCCAACACUAAUAAUCUGGGCUGGAGGAAUCAUCCAAAUCUAUCAUGGAGGGAAGGUAACAAUGGCCAGUUUUAGCAGCAAGGAAACUAAUUUAAGGGUAAUUAAACUAAUAGGUAGCAAAGUUUUCCACCACAAGGUAUGUCGUCUCAAAAUUUUCAACAGCAACCUCAGACCUCAUUGUCUAACUCAAGCCUAGAAGAUAUGAUGAGAUGGUUCAUAUAGAAGUAAGAGAAGCGUUAUGAGGAUCAAAAUAGGAUAACUACUCAAAUAUCUUCAGAACUACUAGAUAUUCAAACCACUUUGAGCCAACUUGUUGUAGGCUUAUCUCAAGAGAAAGGAAAGUUUCCAGCUCAACCGCAGAAAAAUCCGAGAUGAGUAAAUGAAGUUCCUAAAGUGCAAAAGAAAGAUUGUAAUGCAGUUAUCACACUCAGAAAUGGGAAAGAAUAUGAAGGGCCUAAGUUACCAAUAAGUGAAGAUAUUCCUGCUAGAGAUGAACCAAUUGUGGAGAAAAAUGCUAGGAACUAGAAAGAAACUGGAAAAUAUGAGGAAACCGUAGUGAGCAAAGAUAAAGAGAGUGUUUCCAACUAUUUGCCUUUCCUUUUAGCUAUAUAGAGACACAAAGUGAGAGAUAAGACUUUGGAAAUUUUAGAAGUUUUGAAGUAAGUGAAGAUCAACAUUCCACUCCUUGAUAUGAUCAAGCAAGUACUCGCUUAUGCAAAGUUCCUCAAGGACUUAUGCACUAUGAAGAGAAGGAUUAAAUUAAGCAAGAAAGCAUUCCUCACCGAGCAAGGCAAUGCCAUCAUUAAGAAUAAGGCAAUGGUGAAGUAUAAGGAUCUAGGUUGUCCUACCAUCUCAGUCCAGAUUGGAGACUCAUUUGUGGAAAGGGCUUUGUUAGAUUUGGGAACUAGUGUAAAUUUGCUUCCAUAUUCAAUCUAUAAGCAAUUGGGAUUUGAAGAGCUUAAGGCUACUACCAUUACACUCUCCUUAGUAGAUUGUUCGAUUAAAGUACCUAAAGGAGUAGUCGAAGAUGUCUUGGUGCAAGUUGAAAAGUUCUACUACUUAGUGUACUUUGUGGUGUUAUAUACAGAACCAUUGAAAAAUGGUGUGAAUUUUGUUCCAAUUAUUCUUGGGAGACCCUUCCUUGCUACAACCAAUGCUCUCAUUAACUAUUGGAAUGGAUUGAUGCAGUCAUCUUUUGGAAAAAUGACAUUGGAAGUGAAUGUCUUCAAUUUAUGCGAGCAACCGAUGGACUAUGAUGAUGUGGAGGAUGAGGAAACAUGCCUUAUAGCAGCCUUGGUGUAAGAACGCAUAGAAAAGUUAAUGGAGGAAAAUAUAGAUGAAUUUUUCUCUAUAAUCGUUAAGGAAGAACGUGUUGAAGUUGGUACAAAGUGGAAAGAAAAAUGUAACAUUCAGACUUUGAACGAUGUUAAGAAUGAUGAAAAAAAGGGGAUAAUGAAGUAUGUUUAUUUAGAGGAAAAUGAAGAAAAACUUAUGGCCAUUUCUGCUACAUUAAUUAAAGAGCAAAAGAUCAAACUUUUGAAGGUGCUUAAAGAUAAUAAAAGAGCAUUUGGUUGGUACAUUUCAAAUUUGAAAGGAAUAAAUCCCUUGAUUUGCACGCAUCAUAUUUGUUUGGAAGAUAAUGCGAAACUAGUAAGGCAACCACAAAGAAAACUAAAUCCCCUUAUGCAAGAUGUAGUUAGAAAUGAGGUAUUGAAGCUUUUAGAUGUAGGUAUUAUUUAUCCUAUCUCUGAUAGUAGUUGGCUGAGCCCCACUCAAGUAGUACCUAAGAAAAGUGGGAUAACUGUGGUGAAGAAUGAUCAAGGUGAGCUCAUUCUUACAAGGUUGACUAUAGGUUGGCAAGCAUGCAUUGAUUUUAGGAAGUUGAAUGCAGUCACCAAGAAAGAUCAUUUUCCAUUACCUUUCUUAGAUUAGGUUUUAGAGAGGGUAGUUGGUCAUGACUAUUAUUACUUCUUGGAUGGCUAUUCAAGUAACUUUCAAACUGCCAUUGCAUUGGAGGAUUAGGAGAAAACUAUAUUCACAUGCCCAUUUGGCACCUAUGCUUAUAAGCGCAUGCCUUUUGGUCUUUGUAAUGUGCCCACCACAUUUCAAAGGUGUAUGCUCAGUAUCUUCAGUGACAUGGUAGAGAGAAUUAUGGAGGUUUUCAUGGAUAAUUUGACAGUUUAUGGGAAGACCUUUGAUGAGUGCCUCCUAAAUUUGAAAAAAGUUAUGAAAAUGUGCAUUGAGAAAGACUUGGUUUUAAAUUGGGAGAAAUGUCACUUGAUGGCGACCUUAGGGGUAGUACUUGGUCAUAUCAUUUCUAGAGAGGGAAUUCAGAUAGAUCAAGCAAAGAUUAUGCUCAUCUCAAAGCUACCUUCGCCUACUACUAUUAAAGAGGUGAGACAAUUUUUGGGGCAUGCAAGUUUUUAUAGAAGGUUUAUACAGGACUUCUCAAAAAUCUCUCAACCUCUUUGUGCUUUAUUGCUUAAGGAUGCAGAAUUCAUAUGGACUAAAGCCUGCCAAGAAGCUUUUGAGAUGCUAAAGUCACUCCUCACUACUGCACCAAUUGUAAGACCUCCUAAGUGGUCUCUUCCAUUUGAGUUGAUGUGUGAUGCCAGUGAUUAUGUGAUUAUGCAGUAGGAGCUUACUGGGUCAAAAGGAGGAUGGAAAACCAUAUGUGGUAUAUUAUGCUAGUAAGACCCUCAAUGAUGCUCAAAUGAACUACACAACCACCGAGAAAGAGUUCCUUGUAAUGGUGUUUGCACUUGAUAAAUUCAGGAACUACCUUUUGGGAACUUCAAUAGUAAUUUUUACUAAUCAUUCGACAUUGAAAUAUCUACUCAACAAAAAGGAUGCCAAAAUAAGACUUAUUGGAUGGAUCCUUCUUUUUCAAGAAUUUAACAUUCAAAUUAAGGAUGAGCAAGGGGUAGAGAAUGUGGUUGUUGAUCAUCUUUCUCGAGUUAGAGUAGAGUCGUAUUUCGAGGAAGUACAAAUUAAUGAUGAGAUUCCUGAUGAUGAACUUUGUGCAAUGGAGAACUUGCCUUGGUUCAUAAAUAUAGUCAACUACUUGGCAACUGGAGAGCUUCCCUUAGAAUGAAACAUGCAGAUGAAGAAGAUUUUUUUUCAAGAGCAAAACACUAUACUUGGGAUGAUCAAUAUUUGUAUAAGUUUUGCCCAGAACAAACUAUUCAAAGACGUGUUCCAGAGGAUGAACAACAAGACAUAUUGCGAAUGUGCCAUGAGAGAGCUUGUGGAGGUCAUUUUGCUCCAAGAAAGACUUCGAAAAAAAUUCUACAAAGUGGAUUCUAUUGGCCAACUAUGAUCAAGGAUUGUAACACUCAUUGCAAAAGUUGUCCACAAUGUCAACAACUAGGGAAAAUCAACACAAGGUAACAAAUGCCACAAAAUCAUGUUUGUGUUGUUAAGGUCUUUGAUUGUUGGGGUGAUUACUACUCAAAAAGUGCUAUUUGAUAGCUUGUAAUUAACUCUUUUAAACACUUUUGAGUAGUAGUUAUCACCUUUUAACCCAAUUAACAUAUUAAGGACCUUUACAAUCAUUUCUAAUCACUUUGUGUAAGUUUUGGUGUUUUUGUUAGUAAUUUGAUUACCAAAUCAAUCCGCGAUUGAGGAGAGUUCUUUGGAAUCCAUGGAAAAGCAAUGGAAAGCUCAGAAAUAUGAAGAACCAAAGCUUUGUAGCUUUAAAGUCCUUUGCCAUAAGCAAAUUCGGAAUGCAAGGAGGGGAAGCAAAGAGAAAUCUGACAUGAAGCAUUCUAGAGAAUAGUCAUUGUCAGCCACUUUUGGAGCACUUCCUGGAGCUCAAUUCAUGUAUACUAUAUGUCGUUUCGAAGCUUGGGAAGUUAGCAAUCCAAUGCUUCAAACGGUGCAUGAUUCAGAGUUCAAAUGAAAGAGUUACAACCAUUAGAAGCCGAUCACUCAAAGCUGAAGGCCAAUUUCGCAGGGCUGCAAAAUCAGCCUUUGGCUGCGAAAUCACAAGAGGAGGGCUGCGAAAUCAGCCUUUGGCUGCGAAAUGGUGUCCUUCAUGCUGCGAAAUUUCACAGCCCUCUUGCGUGACUGCGAAAUUUUCCUGAAGCUUCCCGAUAUUUGCGACCGACAUUUUUGAGAUAUUUUGCUUUAGAUAUUUGAUGUCUAAAUCCCCAAACUCUCCUUGUAAUCCACCUAUCAUAAGAUUCCUUAGUCUUUAAGCAAGAACAAAGGGUAAAUAACCCAUUUUAUAUUGUUUGUAAAUUUCCAUUAAAAAAUGAGGUUGGGAGCUAGUUCUCAGACAUCCGUUGUAAAGUUUUGCAAGGAAGUAAAAUACAGAGCUUUUGCUCUACUUUACCUACUCAAUUUGAUUGUAUAUAUUUAUUUAAUUUUUCUUACUAGCCAAACAAGCUCUGAGGAUGUUUCCUCAGAGAAUGAGUGGCUAGGCUUUUAGUUCCUUGGAGCUAAGGUUGCCGGAAAAGGUCCCAAAUGCAAGAAUUGGUAGUUUUGUUGUUUCAGCCAUUAAUGAAGAGAAAGUGUGACCCAUUAAUGAUUUCUAUGUUUUUAGUUAACUUAAAACACCUUCAAUUCACCUAAGCCAACGCUUGGUAAGGCAAAUGAUCUCCGUCCAUGGAGAUGCACUAGUUUAUCUCUUGCGAGCUUUUGGGAGGUGACUUGAAGGUAGGAUUUUCUAGAAUUGCCAACACUUGGUAAGCUUUUGGACUCUAAGGAGACAUCCAUUAGUUAUCUCUUGCGAGCUUGAGAAGGGAAGUCCAAGGUUAAUGAUCACCUUGAAUGGCAAAUGCUAGGUGAGAGGCACGAGUCAUUGCAAAUUGCAUCAAUGAGAGGGAAUUAGUGCUGAAAUCCAUUAAAAGGAAGCAUCUGUACAACACCGGUUAGAGAAUUAACUAUAUGUUAAUUCUCUAAUGCGAGGAAAAGAACCAAGUGACCAGAGCUCUGUUUUUGCAUGAGGAGCCUCCCCUGUGAACCUAAAACUCCAAGGAAUGUUUUUCUUCAUAAGUAAUUUCCAUUACUUUCCUUUUAGUUAGCUUAAAAAAAAACCUUUUUCAACCAAAGUUUAUGUUUUCUUCUUAAGCUAACCUUGAAAUGAAAAAGCACCAAUUUAACUUUGAAUUGGUAUCAGUUGUAAGUUGAAAACCCUUCCUAGUGAACGAUCCUAGAGCCACUAUGCUAUAUUAGCUAAAGCUAUCCUAAUGCAUGGUGAUAUAGGUUAUAAAUUUUUUUGAUUACUCCCUUCUGAAGACCACAAUCAAGGAACACCAGCUGGACAUGAAUCAGCUGAGACACCAAUUGGGAACCACGAAUCAUGGGCCCUUGACUUUAUGGGACCAUUCCUUCCUUCUUUUGGUAAUCUUUAUAUUUUGGUGGGAGUGGAUUAUGUCUCUAAGUGGGUAGAAGCAGUAGCGUGCAAAAUCAAUGAUCACAAAGUGGUGCUCAAAUUUUUGAAGGAGAAUAUUUUCUCUAGGUUUGGCAUUCUGAGAGCAAUCAUUAGUGAUAGUGGUUCACACUUUUGUAACAAGCCCUUUUCCACUCUUUUGUCAAAAUAUAGAGUGAGGCAUAAAGUGUCCACCCCAUAUCACCUUCAAAUGAAUGGGCAGUUGAGCUAGAAAAUUGGGAGAUUAAGAGAAUCCUCACUAAAGUGGUCAAUACUACAAGAAAAGAUUGGUCUAGCAAGUUGAGUGAUGCACUUUGGGCAUAUAGGACAACUUAUAAUAUUGUCCUUAGCCUGUCACCGUAUCAAACUAUUUAUGGUAAAACAUGUCAUUUGUCUGUAGAUCUCGAACACUGUGUGUUAGCCCAAGAGUUCUUCUAAUCAAGUUUUGAUGAUAACAAACCAUGGUUAAGUUACUAAUUGGUUUGAAUUAUAAAGAAUUUCAAGUAUUAAUUUAAAAAUUCAUCAAAGAACCUAAUGGAUGCAAGAUUGAGACUUUUGAAAAACCUUUUAAUCAUAGGAAACAUAUGUAAGAUGAAUGCAUGGGUGUACUUAAGAAUUUCAUAUCAUUUCAUGCAUCUUUGAAAACUCGGUUUAUGCAUUAAAGAUACAUUUCCAUCAAAAUCUAAGUUCUAUCCAAUGAACCUUAGGCAAAACAUUUCAAAAAUGAGAUAUUAUUUUACCUAAAGACCUUGACCAAGUGUUAGAAGCAAAAAGACAAGAAAAAUAUAGGUUUUUGGGCAAAAAAUGGUGAACCGAUCAAGGCACUGGCCAACCGGCUCAAUCAACUAGGGUACUGGUCGAUCAGUUACUCCUUCUUGGUUGAGGUCCGGUCGAGAGAUGCAAAAAACCUUAUCUCUCUUCCAGUAGCCUUUCUUUCCCAAUCGAGGGAUUUGCUUUCCCAGUUGAGGUCCGAUCGAGGGUAACGAUCACCUGCCACACAUUUAAUGCUCCAACGGCUACUGAACCGAUCGACCCCUAACUUGAUCGAUCGAGGUUGCUUUUUGGUUUUUUUUUGGUUUUUGAGGUUAGAAACCUAUAAAUUGAGAGCUCCACUUCAUUUAUGAGCAAGAGAACACCUGCAUUUAUUUGUUUACCUACUUGUUCUUGCCAUAAAAGCUCUCAUUCUUUUCUUAGUGCAUUAAAUCUUCAUUUGCAUAUUCUUUAAUGGACCUUUGUGAUUCAUCCUAGCCUUGAGUUGUAUUUGAGUCAUUGUUGAGCUAGGUUGAGAUAUUCAAACUUCUUAAUUGAGUGUUAAAACCUUCAAGUGAGUAGAAACUUGAAGAGAUUGUGUAAGAGCCCAUUGGAGCUAGAAUCUAAGUGUAAAAAGUGAUUAGAAGCUUGGUUGAAGCUUCAAGUACAAGUGGAACCCUCACUCGGUUUGGAUCUUGAGGAUAGUGGAUGUAGGCAAGGAAGUGUUGAACCACUAUAAAUCUGAAUUUGCUUUCUAUAACCUUAUUUCUUGAUAUUGUGCUUCUUGUGCUUAAUUUUAUUAUGUUUAAAAAGAUUUUUUUUUUUUUAACUCUAAUUCACUCCAUCCCCCUUUCUUAGGUGUUUUUAUCUAUUUAGAUUAACCCUUUAUUUUCUCACUUGGUAUCAGAGUUAGGCCUCUUGUUUAAGACUUAAUCAUCUAAGAAGAAAUGGCUAAUCCAUCAAGCUCAUCUCACAUUGAAAGUUUUGCAACCAAUAGACCUCCAUUUUUUGCGAGAACCGAUUGUCCCUAUUGGAAAACUAAAAUGACUUGGUUUUUAUAAUCAACCGAUUUAGACGUAUGGGACGUUAUUGAAGAUGACCCAACUUUUCUUUCAAAACUAGUUAAUAAAGUCAUGGUUCCAAAACCCAAGAAAGAAUGAGAUGACAUGAUAGAAAAAAAUUUCAAUUAAAUGCUAAGGUCGUUUACACUUUUCAAUGCUCUAUAGAUAGAAAUGAAUAUAAUAGAAUAUGUUAAUGCAAAUCGGCUAAAGAAAUUUGGAGAUCACUUGAAAUAACUCAUGAAGGAACAAAUCAAGUUAAAGAGUCAAAAAUCAAUUUACUUGUUCAUAGUUAUGGAUUGCUUUUUAUGAAAGAUAAUGAAACUAUUGUUGAGAUGAUCACUAGGUUUACCGACAUUAUCAAUGGUCUUGAAGUCUUGGGAAAGACCUACAUGGAAUCAAAAAAGGUGAUGAAGAUCUUAAGGUCACUUCCAUCAAAGUGGCACAUAAAGGUCACCACAAUUCAAGAAUCCAAAUACUUGACCAAGCUAACUUUAGAGGAGCUCAUAGGGUCAUUAAUGACAUAUGAGAUCAAUUUGGCAAAGAAACAACAAGAAGGGGAAGACAAAAAGAAGAACAACAUAGCUCUCAAAGCUACAACUAAGGAAGAAGAAGAAUUUGAAGAAGAAAAAUAAAGUGAAGAAGAUGAAGACUUAGCCCUCAUCACAAGAAAGUUCAACAAAUUCUUGAGGGGUGAAAGGUUUAGAGAAAGAAUGUUCACUUCUAGAAGAGACUUUUCUAAAAAGGAAUCUUUAUCUUAUGGUGACAAGGAAAGAUGAGAAGAGAAAAGGGACUUGGUGUUCUUCAAGUGCAAGAAACCAGGACACAUUAAAUAUGAUUGUCCUCUCUACAAAAGUGAAACCAAGAAGAGAAAGAAGAAAGAAAUGAUGGCCACUUAGAUUAAAAGUGAAUAUGAAUCCUCUGAAGAAGAAAAGGAGAAAGAAGUGGCAAACAUGUGCUUCAUGGCAAUAGAUGAACUUGAUGAGGUAAACUCUUACCUUAGUUAUGAAGAUAUAUCACUACUUGCAACUUGUGUGGAAGAGGAGGGCACAUUAGUAGUACAUGCCUUUUAAGAAAUGGUUCUCCAAAUAAUUCAAAUGCAAAAGCUAAAAAGAUUUGGAUUGAAAAAUCCAAGGUCACUAACCCUCAAGGACCCCAAAAGAUACGGGUACCUAAAUCAACUUAAGUUUUAUGUUGUAGGGUUCAAAUAAGGAUAAGUGAUAGUGGAUGCUCAAGACACAUGACCAAAAAUGAAUCCAAGUUUGCUUUUCUUACAAAGAAAAAUGAAGGAUACGUUACAUUUGGAGACAAUGCAAAAUGAAAGAUCAUUGGUCAAGGCAACAUUGGUAAUGACACAUCCUCUCUCAUUGAAAGUGUUCUAUUAGUAGAUGGUUUAAAAUAUAACCUUUUAAGCAUUAGUCAACUUUGUGACAAAGGUUUUAAAGUGAUUUUUGAAGCAUCUCAUUACAUUAUCAAGGAUAUUCAAAAUGAUAAAACCAUCUUCAUGGGCCAUGGAUGUAAUAAUGUUUACACUAUAAGUAUCUCAAAAUAUGAUGGCCAUGAUAGAUGUUUUUCAAGCAUGCAUGAUCAAAGUUGGCUGUGGCAUAGGAGGUUAGGACAUGCUAACAUGGACCUCAUUUCCCAACUCAACAAAGAUGAACUUGUUAGAGGCCUUCCCAAAAUAAAUUUUCAAAAAAAUAAAAUUUGUGAAGCUUGUCAAGUGGGAAAGCAAAUCAAAAACUCAUUUAAAAACAAAAACUUUAUUUACACAUCUAGGCCACUUGAGUUAUUGCAUAUGGAUUUACUUGGUCCUUCUAGAACACCAAGUCUUAGAGGAAAGUCUUAUGUGUAUGUUAUUGUGGAUGACUUCUCUAGAUACACGUGGGUCUUGUUUUUAAGUCAAAAGAAUAAAGCAUUUUAUGAGUUUUCAAAGUUUUGCAAUAAGGUUCAAAAUGAAAAAGGUUUUGCAAUUACUUGUAUAAGAAUUGAUCAUGGGAGAGAAUUUGAAUAUAUCGAAUUUGAGGAUUAUUGCAAUGAGCAUGGAAUUGAUCACAAUUUUUCGGCUCUUAUAACUCCUCAACAAAAUGGGGUAGUUGAAAGGAAAAAUAGAACCCUUCAAGAGAUGACAAGAACCAUGCUAAAUGAAAACAACCUACCAAAAUAUUUUUGGGCCGAAGCAGUUAACACUUCUUGUUAUGUUUUAAAUAGAGUUUUAUUAAGGCUCAUACUUAAGAAAACUCCCUAUGAGUUUUGGAAAAACAAGAAACCCAACAUUAUCUAUUUCAAAGUCUUUGGAUGCAAAUGUUUUACAUUAAACACUAAAGACAAUUUUAAAAAAUUUGAUGCAAAAUCAAAUGUUGGAAUUUUUCUUGGUUACUCGUUUUCAAGUAAAGCCUUUAGAGUAUUCAACAAAAGAACCAUGGUUGUAGAGAGAACCAUGGUUGUAGAGGAGUCCAUCUAUGUUAUUUUUUAUGAAUCUAACAAUUCUCUCAAAGAAAAAGAGAGUGUUGAUGAUGAUUUAGGUUUGGAGACCUACAUGGGAAGAUUGCAAAUUGAAGAUAGAAGACAAUAAGAAGAAAGUGGAGAGGAUCCCAAGAAAGAAGGAUCACCUUAUCACUACCCCCUCCUCAACAAGUGCAAGGUGAAUCAAGCUAAGACCUUCAUAAAGAAUGAAAAUUUGUCAUCAAUCACCCACAAGAUCAAAUAAUAGGUAAUCCAUCUAGUGGGGUAAGAACCAGAUCCUCUCUUAGAAAUAUUUGCAAUAAUCUAGCUUUUAUAUCUUAAAUUAAACCUAAAAAUAUAAAUGAUGCUAUAGAUGAUGAAAAUUGGAUGAUUGCUAUGCAAGAAGAGUUAAAUCAAUUUGAAAGAAGUGAAGUAUGGGAAGUAGUAUCAAGACCUUCAAAUCAAAGUGUUAUUGGAACUAGACGAGUAUUUAGAAAUAAAAUGGAUGAAAAUGACAUAAUUGUUAGAAACAAAGCAAGGUUGGUAACCCAAGGUUUUAAUUAGGAAGAAGAGAUAGAUGAUGAAGAAACCUUUGCCCUCGUAGCUAGGUUGGAAGCCAUUAGGAUGCUACUUGCCCUUUCAUGUUUUAAAGACUUUGUUUUAUAUCAAAUGGACAUGAAAAGUGCUUUUUUAAAUGGUUUCAUAAAUGAAGAAGUGUAUGUUGAACAACCACCCGGAUUUCAAAGUUUCAACUUUCCUAACCAUGUUUUUAAACUUAAAAAGACACUUUAUGGUUUGAAACAAACACCUAGAGCAUGAUAUGAAAGAUUGAGCAAAUUUCUUUUGGAAAAUGGUUUUAAAAUGGGAAAAAUUGACACAACUUUUUUCAUAAAAAUCAAAUAAAAGGAUAUGCUCUUAGUUCAAAUGUAUGUUGAUGAUAUCAUUUUUUGUGCUACUAAUGUCUCUCUUUGUAAAGAAUUUGCUAAGUGCAUGCAUAGUGAGUUUGAAAUGAGCAUGAUGGGAGAACUCAACUUCUUUCUUGGACUUCAAAUCAAGUAACUAAAGGAAGGAACCUUCAUCAAUCAAGCAAAGUAUAUAAGAGAUCUUUUCAAAAGGUUCAACAUGGAGGAAGCCAAAACAAUGAAGACUCCAAUGAGCUCAUCUAUCAAGCUUGAUAAGAAUGAGAAAGGUAAAUCCAUUGACUCUACUAUGUAUAAAGGCAUGAUACAUAGUAGUCACUUGUUUCUUAGGACACUCACUUGUUUCAUGGCAUAGUUGUGGACCCCAUAUUUUUAGCUCGAUGCAUUCCUACUCGAUGGCGCAACUCGCUUUUCAUUUAUGUAGUAAAAAAAUGAUUUUUAGAAAAGACUUGGAGUCGCCACUUAUUUUUGUUUUAUUUUUAAGGGAAAACAAAAUAAGAAAGAAAACCCUAAGUGUAACUCUUUAUUUGGAAAAGACAAUAUGUGGAAAACCAAAGUCGGGUCCAGGGGUUAGGUUACUUAUUGGGAAGGUAUGGUAAAGACCAUAACACCCCUCUAAGCCCUUAAAAAUAAGUCUCUACUAAAUAAAGUAAAACAAGUGUGGCAAUUGAUAAAGAAAUUAAUGGAUACUAAAAUGAUCACAUAUCAAAAGCAACUCAUGAUAACGAAUAAAUAAACAAAGUGAGAGUGAGAGCGUACCUUGGUAGCAAAUAAUAAAGCGUUAUCAUGAAACAAAGUUAGUGUACAAUGAUAACUAUAAAAUAUCUCACACAAAAAGAAUCAAAAUCAAACAAUCUCAAUCAUGCAAUUCACUUGAAUUAUUAUGAAAGAAAUAUUAUGAAUGUUGGGCAUCCACCAAAGCCCAAUUUAUUUUGCAUGAAUUAAUCCCACAAAUUCUAUUAUUUUGGAAUUAUGAAGACAACCUUUAUGUUUAUUAAAAAUGGGAUUUUUAGUGACUUAUAACAUUAAUGAAGGAUGAAAAGUGAUAGAAUUAAAAACUGGAGAGGAAUGAAUUUUUUUUUUUAAAUUAGAAUUUCGAAAAAUUAUUCGAAAAUUGGAAUUUUGGAAAAUUAUUUUGAGAAUAGAAAAUUAAUUUUUUUUAAAUGGAAUUUUGGAAAAUCAUUUUAAGAAUGAAACUUUGGAAAAUUAUAUUUAAAAAUUUGGAAUUUUGGAAAAUUAUUUCGAGAAUGAAAUUUUGGAAAAUUUAAAAAUUGGAGUUUUGGAAAAUUAUUUUGAGAAUGAAAUUUUGGAAAAUUAAAAAAAUUGGAGUUUUGAAAAAUUAUUUGAAAAUUGAAAUGAAAAUAAGAUUAUUUGAAAGAGAAUGUGUGAAAAUCAUAUUUUUAUGUGUGAGCAUAAAGAAUAAUAAUAAAAAAAGAAUAUGGGCAUGCAUACUCCAGAGAUGGCCCACCAAAUGUUAAUUAUGCAUGCAGAAGCUUCAGAUAUUUUAUAACACGUUAUGUAUAAUCAAAAUGCACUUUGUUAAAUUCUUUUUGCUUGUUUCAGCCCUUGGUUUGUGGUCCUCAAACAAAAGCUAAUGUCCAAGAUUGUCAAAAUCACCAGCGACUUUGCAUGCUUCCCUACCAUUUUGUACAAGACCUCACUUAUCGGAAUCUACAACACCUUAAGGCAUCUCACCCAGUUUGCAGCAAAAGCAAAGUCGCGAUCACCGAGUCUGUAAGUAGAGAGCCACCUGCACGUUCCACGGCUGCGAUGCACGAGUUUACAGACUAACGAGUCCACUCGGUCCAAGCGAUUCCAAUGGUGGCAUCAAUCCUCGACGUUGAUAUUCGACAAGCAGUAGGGUCCGGUGGCGGCGGACCACCAAGAUUUGCAGAUCAGAGGAAUGGUCUGUAGCAGCUCCUCCACGAGGAUUCGAACUAGAAUCAAAGCCCAGCAUCUCUGGGUUCAACCCCUCCUACAUCGGCCUCGAAGGAUGUCCUUUUUGCAGCCGUUGGAAAUGGCCAUUUUCUUCUUCUCUGCUUUAUUGUUCCUUUGAAAAAAUUUUAUUUUUCUUUUUGCCAAAUUUGGAAAUGGGAAAAGAGAAGGUAAGGAAAAUGGCCCAAAAAGGUUUUCAAUUUCCUUUAAUUGCAUUCCAUCUUCCUCACGAAGCAUUUUUUUCCUCACUUUCAAACUGUAACUUAACUUCAAAAGAACCCAUAAAUUCUUCACAACUACACAAGAACAACCGAUCACCUUCCUUGCUUUCCCUUCAGAAUAAGUUUCUUUGCACAGACCAACCAACUCACCAAGAGUUUUAGCACUAAGCAUCGAUUUAAGGCUGAUAUUAUGGUUAGCACAAACAAAUUUAAUACAGUCCGGCUGAUUGCAAACGUCUGCUAAUACACACAGUUGGGCAGCAAGUUUCAAUCACCUUAGCACCUUCGUGGAAGCCUCGCACAAGUCCAACACGAGCCAAUGAUUUCCUUAGGACAAGCAAUAGGGUUGUCUUAAGGUCUAUGGUCUCAACUAGGAGGGGCACUAGCAGCCUUAACCAUAACAACUUCAUCUCCAGACAUUUUUCUCAAUCGUCCUCCCUAGAUGAUCCUGGUUGCAAGCUUACCCAUAUGAUUCUAGCCAAGAAUGAGAAAUCGACAUACAUGGCGUACAGAACCAAAAACACAGGACAUAGGGAAGACCAUACAAAAAGUUGAAACAAAAAUAGAGUAAAUGAAAACAGGAAGAAAACAAAGGAAAUGCAGAGUAAUCACCAAGCCAUGUUCCAUAAAUAGAGAGACAAUAGAUUUGUAUUAAGGAUGGAUGAGAAGAAUUUCCAAAAAUUAUCAAGAGGCUUAAAACAUAGUUCAAACCAAUCUCAAUAAAACCCAAUGAAAAUGAAACAUGAAAACAUUAUAACUCAACCCAAACAAUCCAAAGAUCAACAAAUAUACAGCCUGAUGCCUAUACCCAAAAUUAAUGACGAGCAUAUAGGCCUUUAUCCACCAAAGGAUCUAACAAAUGAAAAAUCUAGAAAAGAGUAGAUGUUUUAGUGUAAAGAACUUACCUCCCAGAAUAUGUGGGCUGUCUUGAAUCCCUCAUUCUUUACUCUCUGUUCUGACUUCUUCUUCUCCUCUCCCUUCAGAAUUCGUUUUUCUUUCUUUCUUUCUCCAUCUUCUAAAAACCUCCCCUGUUCCUAUCUGAUUACUUUCUUACUUCUAAAAAUCACCCAUCUCCCUUUUUCUUUUCUGAAAAUCCUUUUUUCCCGAUGCACCUAACCCUUGGAAAUUUGGUCUUCUCUCUUUCUUCCAACUAUCGAUUUUUUUUUUUCCGUUUUUCAAAAAAUUAGCCUCUUUUCCAUGUAGUACCGGUUCCCAUGUAACCUUUCAUUUCUUUCUCCUUCCCAAUCCUCUCUCUUUUUCGUGCCUCUCCAUUCCAUUUUUUUUUUUAAAAAAAAAGUAAAUAAAAAAAAAACAUAGAGUAAAUAAUAAUAAUAAUAAUAAUAAUAAUAAUAAUAAUAAUAAUAAUAAUAAUAAUGAUGAUGAUGAUGAUGAUGAUAAAAUAAUAAAAUAUAAUGGUAAGAAUAAUAAUGAUAAUAAUAAAAAGAAUUAUAACAAAAAUAUACAAUGGCCAUAUAAAUAUAUAAAAAUAAAUAAAUAAGAAAUGAAACCAUAAAUAAACAAAUAAAUAAAAAGAUAAAUAAAUAUAAGUACGUGACACAUAUUCAUGCAAGCUACGUAAACCAUGUAAGCCAUGCAAGUGACUUAAAGUUGCUGGAGUAAGCCCUAAAAAGACUAGGUGUACCUAAAUGGGCCAGGUGUGCCUAAUGGGUCAGGUGUGUCUAAUGGGCCUAAAAAUGUCUAAACAAAUUGUCAUAAAUGUGUAUCUAGUAUCCAAAAUGACUUAAAGAGGUAAGAUGUGUGAGUAAUAAUUUACCUCCAAAAACUGCUAUAAAGUAUCAAAAGAGUACUUAAUCAAGAUAUGCACUAGGGGACAAAAUGGAGGGUCUACAAUAGUAAGAAGAAAAAUGUGGUAGCUUUGUCAAUGAUGGAAGUCGAAUACAUAGCAGUCGAUUUAUGUUGUGCACAAAUCCUUUGGAUGAAACAAACACUUAGUGAUUUUGAUUUAUCUUUUGAGCAUGUUCCCAUUAAAUGCAAUAAUACUAGUGCCAUAAGUAUAUCAAAAAUCUCAUGCAACACUCUAGGACUAAACAUAUAGAGAUUAGACAUUACUUUCUUAUAGAUCAUGCACAAAAGGGUGACAUAAUACUUGAAUUUGUAAACACUAAAGAUCAACUUGCCGAUAUCUUUAGAAAACCUCUAAGUGAAAAACAAUUUGUUGAUAUUAGAAGACAACUAGGGGUGAUUUCAUUAUGAUUUAAUGUUAUGCUUCAUGAAUUCUUGAUGAAUAUACUUUCUGAUUGCGUUUAUUUCAUGUCAUAUGCAUCAUAUAGACAUAUACUUAGAUAAUGUUCAAUUUUUGACCAAAAAUCAAAAUUUCCUUGGCAUUGGGCAUAAAAAAUUAGGGAUUUCAAUUGAAAAUGGCAUGAGGAUGAUCACAAAAUGAAUAUGUGCGCCAAAAUUGGAAAGUCAAAAUCAUUGACUGCAUUGACCAGGCGGUCGACCAGUUGCGGACCGGUCAAUCGGCUGUGGACUGGUUGACCGGUUCGUCGGGGUUGGGAUUUUUAAGAGGUUCCCGUGCCCAUUUUUCUGCAUCGUUCUCCUCCGUUCUUUAAGGUUUUUCACUAGUUUUGGCUUCUGGAGACUGAUUUUAAUGCAUUUUGGACCGAUUGACCUAUUUUUGGGAGAGUUUUGAAGACUUUGAAGGCUAGGGUUUCCGGUUUGGGUCGUCUUCUCUUCCUUAGGUGUGUCACAGUCAGCUCCAGCAUCGAUCACUCUCUAUAUUUGUUCGCAUGGGUUUCGGGUGUGAGCCUCUACCAUUUCUUUCUCUUCAUCUUGCUUUUGCUCUGUCUCCGUCUUCUAUGGCCCCCAGGCAAGAGCCCGUAGCCUCUAAGGCACAAGACAAGUGCCCAUCUGAGCCGUCUUAGCCAGAGGCACACCGAAAGGCACGGUUUGACACUGCCUUGAUCAAUAACAUGGAGGACUACCAGCAGUACAAGCAGCAUUUUGCUUAGAGAAGAGUAGUUCCUAGGAGAAACAUCAAUUUUCCCCAACUUCAGUACUUUAGAUUUGAAGGAUUAUUCACAAUGAUGGGUUGGUUGUUUGCGCUUACUAUUUCUGAGUCGGUUUUUCCAACAUUGGUGUGAGCAUUCUACUCGAGGGCGACUUACGACAUAGGUGGCCCAGUCACAUCUACUGUUAGAGGAGUUGAGAUUCGUCUUCACCUAAAGAGCAUCUGUCAUAACUUUGAUAUUGCUCCGGUUGAACUCAGAGUAUACGAGUUUAAGAUAUGGUCCACUAUGCUAAGAUUUGAGCCUAGAGAGGCUAUUCAGAGGACUUGAGGACUUCCAGACGCCCACAGGAUGGGCAAACCCUCAGCACACAACUUGACGGUCAUCAAUAGCGUACUACACCAUAUGCUUUGUUCUAUUUUUUUACCAUGGGGUGGACACCAAGAUGAGGUCUCUUAUUAUGAGGAAUUCCUUAUAGAUUCCAUUCUAAUUGGGAGGUUGAUCCAUUUGGGAUAUUUGAUGAUGAUGCAUAUGAUUGCAUGUUGCGAGAGCACGACUAGUGUACUCCUCUAUGGUCGCUUCCUUACCAGAGUAUUCAAGGAUGUCCAUGUUGACUCGAGUAAAGAGACGGAUUUUAAAGUCCCCAGUACAUAUGAUACAUGUAAUGAUCAGUCCAUGGGGAUGAUGAAAUUUGAGAAGGCCCCAAAUGGUUUUUUGGUUAGAAAAGCAUAGAGAGUACCAACACAGGCUUGAGGACAAGGACAGGCACAUCUUGGAGUUAAGGAAAAGGCAAAAAUUCGAGAGAUGGAGGGUGGAGUAGACCCUCAGAGUGGCUAUCAACAAAGAGGACCCAAGCUUGACAUUUCCCUCACUCCAGACAAAAUAUGUUCAAUUUGAGACUACCUUCUCUAAGCCAAUGAUGAUUGAGUCGACUUUUACAGAUGGUUCAUCUACUCAACCGUCAUACACCGAGUCUUCUUGUUUUGGACCUGCAUUCACCAAGCCUACACAUAUUGAGAUACCACCUCCUCAAGCACCUCUCGCUCUUGACCAUGCUCCAUGGAUGGAUUUAUUUGCUCAAAUCAACUCUCUUGGCACUCGCAUAGAGGAGCUUAUUGUGGUUAGUGAUACACGUUUAUACUCUAUGGAAGAUCAUAUGGAUCAGUAUCAGGCUAGCUUCACUUCACAGUUUGAGUAUCUCCAAUAGAGGAUUGAGUGUAUUGAGGAUCGCUGAGAGCGUCAGCAUGAGGAAAUGCUGGCCUAUCUACGUUUUGUGUUUCCACCUCCACCUUCCCAACCUUGAUUCAUUGGAGACCCCAUUUCUUCCUUUUUGAUGUUGCCAAAAGGGGGAGAUAUUUUAGGAUUUAAGAGGCUAGAUAUAGGAGACUUUUUUUUUUGGAUUGUACAUAUUAGACAUUGAUACAUUUAACUUAUGAUAUAUGAUAUGCCUAUAUAUUUGAUGACUUACAUUGUUUCUUGUUGCAAUUUCUCUCUAAUAUGUCUUGAUCAUCUUGGCUUUAAGUCCUUAAAUUUUGAUUGUUGAUCUAUGAUUAGUUUGAGAGGGAGAUUCUUCUUCUCCUAGAUAACCAAGGUUUUUCAUCAUAAAAAAUGGGGAGAUUGUUAGCCCAAGGGUUCUCCUAAUCAUGUUUUGAUGAUAACAAACCAUAGUUAAGUUGCUAAUUGGUUUGAAUUAUAAAGAAUUUCAAGUAUUAAUUUGGAAAUUCAUCAAAGGACCUAAUGAAUGCAAGAUCAAGACUUUUCAAAGACCUUUUAAUCAUAAGAAACAUAUGUAAGAUGAAUGCAUGGGUGUACUUAGGAUUUUCAUAUCAUUUUAUGCAUCUUUGAAAACUCGGUUUAUGCAUUAAAGAUACAUUUCCAUCAAAAUCGUAGUUCUAUCAAAUGAACCUUAGGCAAAACGUUUCAAAAUUAAGAUAUUAUUCUAACUAAAGAUCUUUCCUAAGUGUUAGAAGCAAAAAAACCCAGAAAAAGAUAGGUUUUUGGGCCAAAAAUGUGAACCGGUCGAGGCAUUAGCCAACCGGCUCAAUUGGCUAAGGUAUCAGUCGAUCAAUUACUCCUUCCUAGUCAAGGUCUAGUCAAGAGAUGCAAAAAAUCUUAUCUCUCUUCCAGUAGUCUUUCUUUCCCGGUCGAUGGAUUUGCCUUCCCAAUCGAGGUCCGGUCGAGGGUAACGGUCACCUGCCAUGCAUUUAAUACUCCAACGGCUAGUGAAUCAAUCGACCCCCAGCUCGAUUGGUCAAAGCUGUGUUUUGAUUUUUUGGCUCCCCAUGUUAGAAACCUAUAAAUGGAGAGCUCCAUUUCAGUUAUGAGCAAGAGAACACUUGCAUUUAUUUGUUUACCUACUUGUUCUUGCCAUAAAAGCUCUCAUUCUUUUCUUGGUGCAUUAAAUCUUCAUUUGCAUAUUCUUUAGUGCACCUUUGUGAUUAUCCUAGCCUUGAGUUGUAUUUGAGCCAUUGUUGAGCUAGGUUGAGAGAUUCAAACUUGUUAAUUGAGUGUUAAAACCUUCAAGUGAGUAGAGACUUGAAGAGAUUAUGUAAGAGCCCAUUGGAGCAGGAAUCCAAGUGUAAAAAGUGAUUAGAAGCUUGGUAGAAGCUUCAAGUAUAAGUGGAACCCUCACUCGAUUAAGAGCUUGAGGAGAGUGGAUGUAGGCAAGGAAGUGUUGAACCACUAUAAAUCUGAGUUUACUUUCUAUAACCUUAUUUCUUUAUAUUUGUGAUUCCUGUGCUUGAUUUUAUUGUGUUUAAAAAGAAUUUUUUUUUUUAACUCCAAUUCACCCUCCCCCCGCCCGCCACCCCCCCACCCCCUUUUCUUAGGUGUUUUUAUCUAUUUAGAUUAGCCCUUUAUUUUCUUACCGUGCAUAUUGGGCUAUAAAGAAUAUGAACUUUGAUUUGAAUCAAGUUGGAGCUAAAAGGAAAUAUGAUCUGAAUGAACUUAAGGCAUAUCGCAAUAAGAGUUAUGAAUGUUUACGUAAUGCAAGGUAAAAACAUAAAUUCUACCAUGACAAGCUUAUUUUACGAAGGGAGUUCAAGCAAGGUGAAAAUGUGUUGUUGUAUGACUCCAAGCUUCACAUUUUUCCAAGAAAACUUAGGUCAAGGUAGAAUGGCCCUUAUGUGGUCAAAGAAGUCUUCCCUUAUGGCAUAGUGACCAUUAAAAAUCCAAAGACUAGUAGUGAAUUUAAAUUCAAUGGUUAAUGUUUAAAGCAUUUCAUCGAAAGAUUUGAGACACAAGAGGAGAAUUUCCAUUUUCUUGUUGGGGAUGUUCAAAAGUGAAGUAUUUUCCUAAAAUCCAAUAGGUAAAAUUAGAUUUAGGUAACUAUUUUUAUUUAUUUAUUUUUCUUCUUUUAUUUUUAAAAUUUUUUUUUUUUUACUUUUCUUUGUUUAGUUUUGCAUUAUUGAUUAGUCAUUGGCAAUAUGGUUAGCAUUUUUUUAGUUGUUUUUAACUUACUAAUGAGUUUAUGAGUUGUAGCAACUUAGCUUGCAAACAUUCGAGUGAUAUAAGUAAAUGAGAACUUCAAGGGAGUGAAAAGGUAAGCAUCACAUGUGUUCAAGGUGACAAAGCUCCUACAGGUACGUUGAUCCAUAUUUAAGACUGUAGGCCCCCACUAAAAUUUACUCGUGAGGAUUAUUAGUGAACUUUGAAUACAAAGAAUGAAAUACAAAACUGAGUAGCCCUUGGGAUAGAAAUCCUAAAUUUUUACGAUGAAGGGUUAAAGGUAUAGUGGAUAAAUUAAAAUUUCAUUUCUUUUUUAAUUUGAAAUCUCAAAUGGAGAUGACACUUUUGGAGACCAUUAAUGGGUGAUUUCGAUAUUAUGAUUAUUUCGAAUUCAAAUUUUUUUGUCUUGGAAUUGCAAUUUAAAACCCACAAAGAUUAAAUUCAAAUUGAGAUUGAUUUUGAAAUCACUAGUAAAUUUCGAAAUGGGUAGUUUGAACUCACAGACAAUGAGUUUGAAAUACAAGGAAUUUUGAGAUGGAUUUUGAAUUUUGUAAUGAGCAAUUUUGAUGUUUUAAAAUGGACUUCACACACUCAAGUGGGUUAUUUUGAAAUGAAGACAAAUUCGAAAUCAAAAAUUGCAAAUUUGAAAUGGAAGUUGGAAUCAACAAUGAGUCAUUUUGAAAUGGGGCUCAUUCGAAAUGAGUAGACUGCAUUAAGGCUAUAGUUAGCAAAUUCGAAAUGGUGAAUUUUUCAAUUUCAAAAAUUUUUUGCUUUAGAAAUGAGAUUUUUGAACUUCAGAAAGUGACUUCUAAAUUUUCUCUAUUUAGAACUGAUUUCUUUUUCAUUUCGAAAUGAGAUGUCUAAAAUUAUUUGUUUUAUAGUCUACCAUUUAAGAAUAAGGUAGCUUUCAAAGUCAAUGAUUACAUUUCAAAAAGGGCAUUUUUAACCAUCAGUUAACUAAUUUGAAAUAAGGUUACUUUCGAAUUUAGUAGUUAAAUUUCAAAAUGACUCUUUUGGUUUAUAAACUAUCAUUUCCACUUCCAGACCACUUCAUCUUCUCUCCCAUUUUUCUUCCCCUUCCCUUGUUCAUAUUCUUAGCUUCUAUUGAAGGCGAUUUUUAAGAUUUCAUUGUGGGUUUGUCUCAUUCCAGGUACGCACUACACUUAUACUUAUUUCCUAUUUAUUUUUCAUAGAUUUUUCUUGAUCUUCAUGGUUUCAUUAUGCGGUGUUACUCCAUAUAAAAUGUUGUGUUACCCAACUCUCAUCAACAUUGUUUAGGGUGUCUAUAUUUCCAGUUGGAUAGAUAAAUCAAAAACAAUAAAUACAAUGAAAAUAAUAAUUCCCAAGGGGCGUUGCCCCUCUCCCCCCCACGAGUUGACCGGGUAGCUCAAUCCCCACAAGUUCAAUGGGGAGCUUGACCCCCGAAACCCUAAGCGUAGCACAACAAGAUUGAUUUUGGUUUCACACAGUUAAUUUGUUUUGCUUGGAAAUUUUAGGUUUCCUUGAAAAUUCACGGUGUUAGAAUUUUUGGCUUAUACUUGGAGAAAAUUCUUGGAAUUUUUUCUACAUGAUUCCUUAGGGCUUCUUGAACAUCUUAGAAUACUUUGAGAGCAAAGUUCUUAUUUUUCCAUGAGUUUUGCAUAAUUGUUGCCUAAUAUAUGUUUUAUAAGCUCUAGAACAUUUUAAACUCUCUAGUAGAUUUUUCUAUUUGUUCUACACAUUCUCUUAAGCUAACCAGUCACUUUUAUUUCCUUGUCACAUGAUAUUUGAACUUAGGUAUUGUUUAGAUUAUUUCCAAGGCUUUAAAGACUCAUGUUUUCAUCAUUGUUAGACACCUUGAAUGUUUUCCCGCAUUUUAGGAAUGGUCUACCACCAUUUCACAUGAAUUCAUAAAUUUCAUGAGCAUCCAAUUUUUCUCCACAUAGGAUUUCUUUGUUUUAUUUUAUUUUUUUUCUUACUUUUAUUUUAGAUUGUUUUCUUAACCCUUAAGAAUUUUUAUUUUUAUUUUUAUUUUUAUUUAUUUAUUAUCCUUCUUUAAGUUUAGUUUGUUUUUCAACAUUUAUUUCAAAUGGCUUGAGAUAAAAGGAAAUAUGUUGUUCAAAGUGAUAAUGAGACUAGGCAUUCCCCGAGGCAAAAGCGUGCCCGACCUCCUGUCAGUGAUGAUGCAACUAAGUUUUUUACCUCGAUUAUUGAUAUUCCUGAUUUUGUAGGACAAGUUGAUGGUGAGAUCUUCAUUUGUGCUACUGACACUGGUAUGGACAUCAUCAUCAAGGAUGACCCCCCUAUGGUGCAAGAUGCUGGCGAGGCUAUUACACCUAUCGUGGAAAUCAUUGACUAGGCUUCUAUACCUAUGUUGGAGGACAUUGACCAAGUAGCCAUCUCUAUGUUAAAGGAGAUAGAUGAAGUUGUCGAUCCAAUCAUUGGCACUUGAUUUUCAUUUCUAUAUAUUCCUCAUUCGAUAUGGUUGUAUACAUUAUGCUAUUUUUGAAGCAUACUGAUACUCUUAUACUCUCUUUUAGAUUCUCACCAUUUAUAUUUUUCUCUAUGCAUACUUUUGCUACUAAUCUUAUUGCUUUUGUGCAAGACUAGUUUAUAUGAAGUCCUCAUAAAAAACUUAUCACUCAAUGAUCUUGAGGCAACAUUUUCCUUUUUCCUUCAUUUUGACCCAUUAUCCUACUCAUUGGGGACAAUGUGUAAUUUAGGUUGAGGAGAGAAGGUAUAUUAGCCCUAUUUUUUUUUUCAAUAGUUUGCAUGCUAUCUUUGGUUAGUUAAUGUGAUUCUUGAAUUUUCUCAGUAACUCAUGGUUUAUUUUGCAUGAGAAUGAUUUAAGUAGUAUUAUUUCUUUAGAAUUUAAGAAAAGAUACAGUUAGAGCAAGAGUAUUAGUUCACUUACCUUAUCUUUCUAUACCUUUAAGAGCAAAAAUAGUUAGGUUGAAUCCUUGGAAUACCUUCAAUUUUUCUUUAAUGGUUAUUUUUUGUUUAAGACUCAAGGCACACACAAAGCACAUGUACCCUUAUGGUAUCUUGAUUAAGUCAAUUUCUUUAGCUUGAAAAGAGUUGUUCUUAAGCAGCAAGAGGAGGAAAUGAAAAAAAAAUUGAAAAUGACUAAUUUAAGCUUGAGCAAUUAUCCAAGGGGGUAAUGACCUUGUGUCUUCAAGCCCUGGUGCCCAAAACCAACUGGUUAGGAGUCAUCGAUAUCUUGCUCAUUACACAAGCUAAACUCGAUUUUGAAAAAAUAAAAAAAAUUAAAAGAAAUAAAUAUUGCUUGGGAAAUUCGACCUUGUUCUACCUUGAGUUAGGGUGAUACCUAAGGGGUAAGUGGCUUAUAAAGGUCCUCAAUACCUAGUACCUUGAGUGAAAACUCAAGAGUUGUCUGUGGAUCCCUAUUGAGCCAUAUAUAAGGAGAUUUCCUAACUAAGAAAGAAAAAUCAAAAUAAAUUUUCUUCCAUAUUUAACUUAAAGAAUGAUGAAAUUUGCGAUUAAGAAAAAAAUCUUAAGAAGAAUACUAUAAGAGGACACAAAAAUUAAGCACAUGAGGUUUGGGUGGAAAGAACCAAUCAAAGGAAAAUCAAGAGACACUAAGGGAAAUGCUAAACAUGGAUGCACAUUUAUGUAUAUGAAGAUAAGGUGAGAAAACUAAGAAUUGCUUAUCUUGUGUCACCUUGCUCAAUUCUAGGAAAUUUGACUACUUAGGUAUCUUGUGUGUGAAACAAGUUAUGUUCAGUCACUAUGGUUUCAUGAAUCUCAUUACAUAUUUUUCAUUCUUUUUUUUUUUUUUUUUACACUCUUCAUUUGCUAGGGACUAGCAAAGUUUAGGUUGAGGGGGUGAUUGGAGCAAAAAUAUGUGCUCUAAUGACACAUAUUCGAUAUGAUUUGAGCACCAAAAGACACUCAAAUCACCCAACUUGACCUAAAUUGAUGCUAAGGCCCUAGCCAUGAGUUUAACUUGUAUUUUGGAGAUUUAUCUCAAUCUCAAGAAAAGAAAAUGAUGCAAAUUGAAUCACUUUAGAUUUUGAAAAUUCAAGAAAGGGUUAAAUGAAGAAAUAAGUGAGUCAAGACUCAUAGACCAUGAGGAAAGGCAAGAUGAGGAUAUCAUAAGUUUGGAAAAUGAGAAAUGACCAUUAUAGAGUAAGAAAUAAGGCAAGAAAACAUGGGAAAUAAGGCAUGAAGCAAGAUUCAGUUGCAUGGAAAUUUAGAACUCAAAAUCUGAUGGCAACAUAUACUCUAAAUUUGAGGACAAAUUUAGAGUAUUUUUAGGAGUCCAUUUUAUGCAUACUAUAUUUUUUUUUCGAAGCUUGGGAAUUCAGGAGUCUAAUGCUUUAAACGAUGUGCAAAUUAGAGUUGAAAAGAAGAAGUUAUGGCCAUUUGAAGACAACUGCACAAAGCUGAAGGGUCAUUUCAAAAUGAUUUCGAAAUUCAACUUAUGAAUUCAAAAUGACCCCAAUUUCGAAUUCACCCUCUGCUACUUUGAUGUUUUGCCUCCUCUACCUUGGGAAUUGCAUCUAGAGCACUCCAUCCACCCUAAAUGGGCCUCACAUGACUAGAAAUCACCAUUUUAUUAUUAUUAUUUUUAGUCAUUUUAGAUAAUUAUUUUGUAAUAAGUGGCCAAUGAGAGUGUGCCACAUGUUAGGUAAUUGAUGAUAUUAUAUAAACUCUCUUAGUUCUAGGGUUUAGAAAUCUUGGAUCUUUUUCCGGAGAGUUUGGCAUUGAAAGUGGAAGAAGACGAGAACUUUGGUUUGUUUUUUUUAUUUUAUUUUAUUGAAUAUAUUGUUUUUAGUUUCUUUUUAUUCAAAUUAUGGAGUUUUACCCUAUUAUGGAUUCUGAAUGUGACAUCACCCCCAUGAGAGGCUAAGAAGCCAACUUGGAGCUUGAAGAAUGAAAACCUAAGGGCUAGGAAACCUAUAAGGACAAUGGGUAAAUUAUUAUAACAAUGAGAUUUAUUAUUGGUUGGGUGACAAUUUAUCAAAUUUUGUUAUCAUAUCUAUAUGAGUUAGUUUAGGGAAUGAUACAGUAGGUUAUUACCCGAUACUAGUGAUUUUUGAAAAUUCUAAAUCAUUAGUUAUUCUAGUCUUCCCUAUCGUUAUUUGCCCCAAAACAAAGCUAUAAGGAGUAGGAAUGGUUAAAAAGUCAAAUCUUAAACUGGUAAUCAAUCUCAUUCAUUUGAUGGUUUUAGGAAUCUAUUUUAAAAAGGAAAAAUUAGGUUUCAGAUGCAAUUUUGAGUUAUAGAACUCCAGUUGAUCAUGAGCAGCCAAGAAUCCCUAAAUCCUAAGAUCACUUUACUUAAUAAACCCUUUUUUUCUCUUUUUCUAUACCUUAAGUUGGAUUAUGGAAAGCCCCAAACUUGAAUCAAUUGAAUUAAAAAUCAAUAUUCAUUUUUUUUAUUAAUUUAGUUUCAUUCACUCAAUCUCAUUUCAUAAAAGAUAAUUCACAAAUUGUUUUUCACUUUAGGAUUUUAAAAAAAAAAAAACAAUUCAUUUAUUCUAGUAUUGACAAUUUUCAUAUGCCAGUCUCAAAGUAAUACAAAAUUUGUAGUGACUUUUUCUCUAGUUUUUCUUAACCAGAGUUGCUACGUAAAAAGGCUAAGUAUUUUGGUACAAUAGAAAAGUUUGAUCAUGAAGUAAAGACAUUGAUGGAAAAAUUUUCAAAGGUAUUUCCUAUAGAGCUGUCAAUUGGAUUGCCUCCAAAAAGAACCAUCCAACACCAUAUUGAUCUAGUACUAAGGGCCAACCUACCAAACCUGCCACAUUACAGAAUGCCUCUAAAAGAACAUGAAGAACUUCAAAGACAAGUGGAAGAGUUGCUUGCAGAAAGGAUUCAUAAGGGAAUCAAUGAAUUCAUUUGUAGUUCCAACACUAUUAGCUCCAAAUAAAUAUGGUGCUUGGAGAAUGUGCAUCAAUAGUCAAGUAGUAAAUCAUAUAACAAUAAAGUAUCGAUACCCGAUCCUAAGACUAGAUGGUAAUGCUGGAUAUGUUGCAUAGAGCAAAAGUAGUUUUUAAAAUUGAUCUUAAAAGUGGCUAUCACCAAAUUAGGAUUCGGGAAGGUGAUGAGUGGAAAAUGAUUCGUUCCCAUUGCAAUUAUUCCAUUUGAUUCUGGCCCAGAUGGGUGUUAUCAACAAAAUUUAUAAAACCUAACUCACCUUACACUAAGGUAGCAUAGCUAACAUAGUAUAGUGGCUCUAGGAUCAUCCACAGGGAUGGGUUUUCAUCGUACAAUUGACUUUAGUGAAGGAAAUAAAAUGGUGUUUUUCCUUUUGAAAAUUAGCUUUUAAAGAAAAUGGAAUUGUGGUUGCAAAAAUUGAUUUUAAGUUAAGUAAAACUAAUAAGUGAAGUUAACUACUAAGUGAAGUUAACUACAAAGAAAAGGUCUCUUAGAGCUUUAGGUCACUAGGAUUGGGUUCCUUAGGCAAAGGGGAAGACUCCAGAUCUUCUCCUCACGUUGGGGACAAUAACAUAAAGGAUGGUUAUCUCUCGAACCAGUUUUGUAUUUAUCAAUUAAGAUUAGAUCCAAAGGGUUCAUGAAAAAUGGUAAUUGCUUCCCAUUAAUGGCUUCAAACACUCUCGUAAAUGAUAACUAAUAGACAUCCAUGGAUCUAGCAAUAAGCAUCCAUAGAAUCUGAAAAGCUUACCAAGUAUUGGCCAUUCAAGGUGAUUCUCACCUUGAACCACCUUCCAAUGACUCGUAAAUGAUAACUAAUGGACAUCCAUGGAUCUAGCAAUAAGCAUCCAUAGAAUCUGAAAAGCUUACCAAGUAUUGGCCAUUCAAGGUGAUUUUAAGGGAUUUAAAGCUAAACCUUGAAAUAAAAACCAUUAAUGGUUAACAACUACUUUCAUUUAAAGCAAGGACAACUCCCACCUUUGCAUUCGGGUCCUUCACCUAGCUUCCAUCACUCCAAGAAACGUAAAACCUAGCCACUCAUCCCUUGAGAAACCAUCCUUAGAGGUUGUUUGGCUAGAAAGAAAAGUGGAAACAAAAUGAGAAGGAAAGGCAUAGCAAAAGCUCUGUAUAUUUCUUACUACGGGGUAUUUACAAGUGUUCAAUGAAUUCCAUCCAUCUGUGUGUCUCCCUCCGUCUACCAAAGAUGUUACCAAAAAAUAUAAAAAGAUAUAAAAGAAAAUAUCUAGGUUGAUUACAAGGAGAAAAUAGGAAAUUACAUAAAAUAUCUGGAGAUAAAAAAACUAACAGAGUCGAUGCACAGGAAGAUUUCGCAUACCAUGCGAAAUUUCACAUGGUGUGCGAAAUUGUCUUUCCCUUAGUCCUGCUCCUCCUCCUCCUCUUGAUUUCGCAUGCUAUGCGUAAUUUUCACAUAGCCAUGCGAAAAUGCUGGUUGUUGGAUUUCUUCAUCUGGUUUUCUUCCUUGCAUUUCUAAUUGGCUUAGCAACCUAUUGCCAAGCUUGACAAAAGGCUAUGAAGUGCUCCAAAGCUUGGAUUCUUCAUGUAUUUGAGCUUCAACUUGCAUUGCCAUGGAUUUCAAAAAAUUCUCCCUCAUUCUUGGCUUGUUUCAAUUAUCAAAUAGCUACCAAAAAUACCAAAACUUGCCAAAAAUUGAUUAGUAACCCUUGUUAGGUUCCUUAAUGUGCCAAUUGAGUUAAAAGGUAUUAACUACUACUCAAAAGUGUUUAAACAGUUAGUUUCAAGCUAUAAAAUAGUAUUUUUUUUUAGUAGUAAUCACUCCCCCCAACCGACAUAUUGCUAGUCCCUUAGCAAUGAAAGAAAGAUAAAGAAGAAUAGACAAUAAAAUAAUUUACAAAAUCAUGCUAAUCACUCCAAAAAAAAUUUCAAGUGGCAUGAUGCGGAUUAUACUCUCUCGUGGAACAUCAAAGAGGCAAAACUCAACCUUCAACAAAAGUCAUCAAAUCUCUUGUCUAAUCACAAUUUAUAAAGAGUAGGCAUUAUGCAAAUUUAAGCAUCAAAAGAAUUUCUACUCCCAAAAGUCCAAUCUUUAUUUUUCCACAAAAAUCUAAGUGUUAAGCUUAUUAGUUUUCGAUUAUAGUAUGUCGAACUAUUCUCUGCCCCCAACCUAGUUCUUUCUCAAACCUUAGCAAACUGACUAACCUUCAAUAGGCUAAGAAUGCAUCUCUUUUAUUUCACAAUUUUUUUUCAUUGUAGGAGUGCAAUGCUAAAGGUAUUGUUUUCUAAAGUGUCCAUGUAACGGGGAUCCAUCGAUGACUCCCAACCAAUCAAGGUUUAGGGCAUCAAGUUGUAAAGAUCUUUCGACCACUAACUCCUCAGAUUUUCCUCGGACUUUUGAGAUUGAAAUUCAAUAUCCAAGCACCUACAAUAUGUUAAACUCCACUUAUUCACCCUUGUAACGAGUAUUGAGGCCGGUGACGCCCAACUAAUAAAGGCUUAAGGCAUCGGGUUUUAAAGAUUUUCGCCAUAUACCCCUCGGACCUUGCUCGGGUUUCAAGGCAAGUGUAACACUUUGUUCUUUCUUUGUUUUUUUUGUUUUUUUUUUAAGGCUCAUUAGCCUUUUAUAUGGUGUCCCAACACUAUUAAAAUGAGGUCAAAGGUACCAAGUCGAAAUUUUCCUAAGUUCAGGGGGUGAGAUAAUUUUUCAUCUUAUAAUCAGAACCUAAUGUGCACAGAGUGUGGUAAGAUUAAAGUGGAAGAAAUAAGGUUGAAUUUAAUAGGAGUUUCAAUAAUUCAUCAACCUCAAUAAGCAUAAUACAAACUUUAAGAUUCAAGUAGAAAUGUAAGAACUCAAUUUCUCUCAUUUCAUUUUGAGAAUUUUUCCUUAAUAACCAUUGAGAGUAGGGUAAAAAAAUUUUAAAAUUAAGCAAAAAGUAACUAAAUUAACAAAUUAACCUAGCAUUAUUAACAAAACUUCCUUCCUCAACUCUCCCCCCAACCAAGAUCAACAUUGCCCUCAAUGUGUUAAGAGCAAUUGAAAAUAAAGGGAGGAAGUGGUACCUCCUGAGUGAAAUGGAGUCUGAGUCGUAUAGAAGAAGCCACAUGACUCAAAAAAACAAGAAAGUAAUGUGUAGAGAAAAUAGAAAAAUGCUAAGUAUAAUAAAAAAAAUGAUGUCUAUAUAUUAAUCUGAGAAAGUACAAUAUGAGAUAUGAUCAGGUAAUACAUCAAAUCCCAGAAUAUAAAGCAUCAAAACAAAGACAAAUCUCCACUAAUAUAAUAUGUAAAUACAAUAAGAUAAAGAAAUGUCUUAUGAUCAAGUAGUGGCAGCCUCAACCUCAAGUGUAGCUGUGACUGUGUCAACUGUCUGAGGCUCAUCCUGAGGAUCAUCUGAAGUAAUGGCAUAAUCACAAGGCACCUGAGCAAAGGAGGCUCUCUACCUCGGAGUGCGACUCAGAUAAGGGCCAGAAAGGGCUCCUCAAGUCUGCACCAUGUCGGAAAUGGAAGGUAGGCCUCAGGUCCGUGCUCGAAGAGGGCUCAGAGUGCGACUCUUUGAAGUGAGAUGCACAGGACAGGGUAUCGAAUGGAGAGGGACGAGGUGACACUAUGAAGAGAUGAGGUCGCAAAGUGGCAGAGGAAAAUGAGGGAUUCGCAAUAAUAGGGGUGCUUGCGAAAUGGGGAAAUUAGGGCUCGGGGGUUUAAAAAGAUAUGGUAGAGUGUCUUUUGGUUUUCGCACAACGUUUUUUUUUUAUUUUCGCACAGCUUGCAAAAUGGCGUUAGGGGUGUGAAAUGGGUUCGCAGACCCCUUAGGUUUUUGUACAGUGUUUCGCACAGUGUUGGGUGUGUGAAAUUUUUGCAUGCUCUGCAAAAAUUUCGCAUAGUGUGCGAAAUGAGUUCGUAGGGUUAAUUUAUUUUCGCACAGUGUGUGAAAUUGGUUCGUAGGGUGUGCGAAAUGAGCCAUGAAUUUUGCAUGCCUUACAAAAUUUUCGCAGGGUGUGCGAAUUGUCUUGAUUUUUUCUCUGCCAAGAAUCUUUAAGGAAACACCCAACUGCUUUGAAGUCCCCCCUGCAAUUGAUAAUAAAAAACCUAAGUUAAAUCAAACCAAAAUAAAAUUAAAACAAGAAAUCAAAAUCAAAACAAGUAAUAAUACAGGAAAACUCUCAAAUAAAAAAUAAAACAAAAAGAUAUGAACUCGAUAGUCUUUAGAAAGACUAAGUCCAUAAAAAGAAAUGGUCUUGUCAAGCUUGAUGUGGAUCAAGAAGGAUGAAUUUCUCCUUGUCAUAGGAAAAAGUCUCCACAAAGGCUUGAGACGGUGGCCAUUCACUUUGAAGCUCCCAGUGCUAUUAGAGUUGAGUAGUUCCACUACUCCAUUUGAAUGCACUUGGUGAAUGGUAAAAUGACCUAUCCACCUUGAUUUUAGCUUGCUCGGAAAAAUGUGGAGCUUAGAGUCAUAGAGAAAGACUCUUUGUCCCUUUUGAAAAUCCUUGCGGGAAAUCAACUGAUCAUGCCACCUCUUCAAUUUCUCUUUUACAAUUUUUGAAUUGAUGUAGGCAUCAUUUCUCAAUUCCUCCAACUCAUUGAGGUCUAAGAACCUCUUCAACCCAACUCUGCUCAAAUCCAUGUUGAGCUUCUUGAUUGCCUACCAAGCCUUGUAUUCCAAUUCCACAGGGAGAUGACAUGUUUUGCCAUAGACUAGGCGAUAAGGAGACACCCUAAGAAUGGUCUUGUAAGUUGUUCUAUAUGCCCAUAGUGAAUCAAGGAGCUUGACUGACCAAUCUUUUCUAUUUGUGUUCAACACCUUCAUCAAUAUGUUUUUAAUCUCCCGGUUUGCUAACUCAACUUGCUCACUAGUUUGAGGGUGGUAAGGUGUAGCUACCUUAUGCUUCACCCCAUACUUGGCUAGGUUUCAAAAGGCUUGUUACAAAAAUGAGUACCCCUAUCACUAAUUAUGGCUUUGGGCACCCCAAAUCUUGAGAAGAUGUUCUCUUUAAGAAACUUGAGAACCACUCUAUGGUCAUUGUGCUUGCAUGGGACUGCCUCAACCCAUUUAGAAACAUAAUCUACUCCCACCAAGAUGUAAGAGUAGCCAAAAGACAUAGGGAAAGCUCUCAUGAAUUCAAUGGCCCCAAACAUAAAAAAUAUCAACUAUCAAAAUGGGGUUCAAAGGCAUCAAGUUCCUACAUGUCAACUUCCCAAGCCUCUGGCAUUGAUUACAACUCUUGCACAUGGUGUGGGCAUCUUUGAAAAGUGAUGGCCAAUAGAAACCCAAUUGUAACACCCUCAUGGCUGUUUUCUGAGAAGAAAAGUGGCCUCCACAUGCAUUUUCAUGGCAAUGAGUGAGGAUCCCCUUUUUCUCUUCUUCAGGAACGUACUUCCUUAUUAUCUGAUCCUCACAAUACUUGAAUAGAAAUGGAUCAUCCCAAUAAUUGGCAUGAAUUUUUGCAAAGAAGUGCUUCUUAUCUUGUGCUUUCCACUCACUUGGAACUUCUCUUGUGGCUAGGUAGUUCGCAAUGUGAGCAUACCAAGGAGCAACUUCCACCAACAUGAGAGACUCCUCUGGAAAAUCAUCAUUAAUGGGCAAACCAUGGGAAUUAUGUGCGAUAGCUAGCCUUGAAAGUUGGUCUGCAACCACAUUCUCCACUCUUUUCUUGUCUUUGAUCUAGAGAUUGAACUCUUGAAGCAAGAUGAUCCAUCUAAUCAUCCUUGCUUUAGCAUCUUGCUUAGUCAACAGAUACUUCAAAGCAGAGUGAUCAGUGAAAACCACAAUGAAGGACCCCACCAAGUAAGCACGAAACUUAUCCAAGGCAAAAACUACAGCUAACAAUUCUUUCUCGGUGGUUGUGUAGUUUCUUUGCACCUCAUUCAAUGUCUUGCUCACUUAGUAUAUCAGAUAGGGUUUUCAAUCUUUUCUUUGCCUAAGAACAACUCUUAUAGCAAAGUCACUGGCAUCACACAUUACCUCAAAGGGCAGUUGCCUUUUGGGAGCCCUCACUAUUGGUGCAGUUAUCAGAAACAACUUCAAUUCUUCAAAACUCCUUUGGAAUUUAUCAUCCCAUAUGACUUUAGCAUCCUUCACCAAUAGUUCACAAAGAGGCCUUGCAAGCUUAGAGAAAUCCUUGAUAAACCUCCUAUAGAACCCGACAUGGCCAAGGAAUUGCCUUACUCCUUUGACAUUUGUUGGGGAUGGUAACUUAACAAUGAGUUCAACCUUUGCUUUGUCAACUUCAAUGUCUUUCUUGGAGAUGAUGUGCCCAAGGAUAAUCCCUUGGUGUACCAUGAAAUGGCACUUCUCCCAGUUAAGCACUAAGUCUUUCUCAAUGCAUCGGUUCAUAACAACUUCUAAGUUGACCAAGCAUUCAUCAAAUGCACUUCCAUAUAUGGUGAUAUCAUCCAUAAAGACUUCCAUAAUCUACUCCACCAUAUCACUGAAAAUGCUUAACAUGCAUCUUUGGAAAGUUGCGGGUGCAUUGCAUAAGCCAAAAGGCAUUUUCCUGUAUGCAUAGGUUCCAAAUGGGCACAUGAAAGUGGUCUUCUCCUGGUCUUCAACAUCAAUUUCUAUCUGAAAGUACCCGAAGUAGCCAUCCAAGAAACAAUAAAAAUGAUGCCCAGAGACCCUCUCAAGCACCUGAUCAAUAAAGGGCAAUGGGAAAUGGUCCUUCCUUGUCACCGCAUUCAACCUCCUAUAAUCAAUACACACCCUCCAACCUGUAGUGAGGCGUGUAAAGACCUCUCCUCCCUUAUCAUUUUGCACCACCGUGAUCCCCGACUUCUUUGGCACAACUUGAGUAGGACUCACCCAUGGGCUAUCUAAUAUGGGGUAAAUAAUACCGGCCUGAAGUAGCUUAAGAACUUCAGCUCACACCACCUCUUGCAUGUGAGGGUUCAACCUUCUCUGAGGUUGACGAACUGGCUUAGCUUCAUCCUCCAUGUAAAUAUGAUGGUUGCAGACUAAAGGGUUGAUCCCUUUCAAAUCAGCAAUUUGCCACCCUAUUUCCUUCUUACAUCUUCUAAGGACUUCAAGUAGACAAUCCUCCUGAUGAAUGGUAAGAGCUGAAGAUAUAAUAACAGGGCAGUUCUUGUCUUCUUCCAAGUAUGCAUACUUCAACUCUGUGGGUAGUGGCUUAAGAAUAAGCUUUUGGGGCUCCUCCUUAGCAGCUUUUUGUGUCUCCUCCUCAUUGAAUAAGGGAAUAAUUUCUUCUCUCCUCCUCCAAGGGGGCAGGAUAGCAAGCAAAUCUGAGGGUUCAGGUAACCCUUCAUCAAGAUCCCCAAAACUCUCAAUCAAAUCCUCCUGCUUUAUCUGAUCACAAUGCUCCUCCACUAAAGUGUCAAUCAUGCACACUUCCUCUAGACCUUCUUCUUCUUCCGAAUGGAUAUGCUUCUUGCACAAAUGGAAGAUGUUAAGCUCUAAUGUCAUGUUGCCAAACAUGAGUUGCAUGACUUCAUUCCUACAAUUGAUGAUUGCAUUUGAUGUAGCUAGGAAUGGUCUUCCAAGUAUGAUAGGAACAUAACUAGUUCAUUUGACAAACGGAUUAGUAUCAAGAACAAAAAAAUCCAUUGGAUAGUAGAAUUUGUCAACUUGAACCAAGACAUCUUCGAUCAUCCCUCUUGGAAUCUUCACUGAUCUAUCUGCCAGAGAAAGAGUGAUGGAUGUUGGCUUCGACUCUCCAAGUCCCAACUACUUGUAGAGUAGGGUAGCAAAUUCACACUUGCUCCCAAGUCCAACAAAGCUUUCUCCACACAAGUCCCUCCAAUACUCACUAAGAUGGUAGGGCAGCCCGGAUCUUUGUACUUCACUGGAGACUUGCACUGUAUGAUGGCACUCACUUGCUCAAUUAAGAAGGCUUGUUUGUUCACAUUCAACCCUCUCUUUACAGAGCAUAAGUCCUUCAAGAAUUUUGCAUAUGUCGGCACUUGUUUGAUCAUGUCUAGCAAAGGGAUAUUGACCUUCACUUACCUCAACACUUCAAAAAUUUCUGAUGCAUUAUUGGUUCCCUUUUGCCAUGCAAAGCUUAGGAGAAAGGUGGAGGCAUCUGUUUCUUCAUUAUAUCUUCCUUGAUGACUAUCCUCUCGGGUUCUUCAUCCACACUAGAAUCAUGGUCAUCUUUCUUUGUACUUUUCCCUUUUCUCUUUCCUUUAAUUUCCUCACUCUUUUCUUUUUCUGCUACACUCUCUUCAUCAUGCUUUGGCUUGGAUGUGGGCUGAUCAACCUCUUUACCACUCCUCAAGUUGAUAACUGCUUUGACUUCCCUCACCUUUAAAGAUUCUCCCUCUUGAGCCUCCACUUCAUGGAUACCCUUGGGAUUUUGAUGAGGUUAAGAAGGAAACUUUCCUUUCUCUUGCACUAUGUUGAGGUUGGUAAGCCUUGAGAUUGCGUAUUGGACAUUGUCUAUCUUCUGAGAUAGAUCAUUUUGCAUCUCAUCCAUCCUUUUGUUCAAUGUACUUUCCACACUGUCAAUUAUCUGAUUCAGUUGAGCAUUGAUGGACUUCUGAUCUCCCAUAAAGUCUCCCACAACCUUGUUAAGGUUCACAAUAGCUUGUUCAAGAUUCGAGGCUUGCUGAGGUGCUUGAGCAGGUUGUGUGUACUAAGGUGGCUUUGGUUUCCAAGAGAAAUUUGGAUGGUUCCUCCAAUUUGAAUUGUAGGUGUUGCCAUAUGAAGCAUUGUUAUUGGGCUUGAAUUGACCAAUAACAUUUUCUUGAUCACCAAACAUCUCUCUCACUACUGGAAUUAUAGGACACUCCUCCACCUUGCGCUCAUUAGAUUGAAAAAUGGAAUAAGGCAUAGCAUGCACUGGUGUCUCAAAAAUGGCUUGUACUUCUUGUACCUUCUUCAUUUCUAGCUCUUCCAAUCUCCUUACCAUAGCUGCAACCUUUGCCUUCAUGUCAAUGUCUUCAUUCAAAACAUACAUCCCACCCUUAGCAUUAGGUUGAGACUUCAUUCUUCCCACCUCUCUAGCAUUUAGUUCAUCCCAUCCUCUUAAAACUUCAGCCACAUAACUCAAAAAGUCCAUGGCUUCCUCCGGAUUUGAUUCGUGCCCAGCUAGUGUAUGCCUUGUUGAUUGGUGUUCAAUCAACUGGUGUGCUUUGAUUUCAGUCCUCAGACGGGAGUAAUCAACAAAAUUUAUAAACCUAUUUCACCAUAUACUAGGGUAGCAUUAGCUAGCAUAGCAUAGUGGCUCUAGGAUCAUCCAUAGGAAUGGGUUUUCAAAUUACAACUGAUAUUAGUUCAAAAACUGAAUUGGUGUUUUUUCUUUUCAAGGUUAGCUUUAAAAGAAAACAUAAGUAUGUGUGAAAAGGUUGGUUUGAAGUGAAACAAAAAAUAAAGUAACUAAAAUUACUUACAAAGAAAAGCGCUUCUUGGAGUUUUAGAUCACUAGGAUCAGGUUCUUAUACAAAAAGGGAGAUUCCGGUCACUUGGAUCUUUUCCUCGCAUUGGGGAUUUAACAUAUAGUUAUUUCCUGAACCGGUGUGGUACAGAUGCUUCCCCUUAAUGGGUUCAAACACUAAAUCUCUAUCACUGAAUCAUCUUGCAAUGGUUCAUACCUCUCACCUAGUAUUGGCCAUUCAAGGUGAUCCUUAACCUUGGAUUACCCGUUAAAAGUUCGCAAGAGAUAACUAAUGGAUGUCUCCUAGGAGUCUAAAAGCUUACCAAGUGUUGGCUAUUCUAGAUAAUCCUGCCUUUAAACCACCUCCCAAAGCCUCACAAGAGAUAAACUAGUGGAUCUCAAUGGACGGAGUCCACUUGCCUUACCAGGUUAUUUUAAGGGAUUUUAAGUUAACUAAAAAGAUAAAAACCAUUAACGGGUCACACUUUCUCUUCAUUAAAAACUGAAACAACGAAACUUUCACUUUUGUAUCCGGAACCUUACCUAGCUUCCUUCACUCCAAGAAACAAAAAGCCUAGCCACUCAUCCUCUGGGAAAACAUCCUCAGAGUUUGAUUUGCUAGAAAUAAAAAUAAAAGAGAAAACAAAAUGAGAAGGUAAGGCAGAGCAAAGCUCUAUGUAUUACUUUCUGAAAAACUAUACAAAGUUCGUCUCUGAGAAAAAACUCUCUCAAGAUCUUUUUUAAAAGAAAAUUACAAUAGAUAUUAUAUAGAGAGGCUAUUCACCCCUCCUGCUAACUUCCCAACCAAGAAAAUUUGUCAUUAGUGGGUUACAAGGAGAAAGUAGGGAUUUACACAAAAUAUCUGAAGAUAAACAUCAAAUGGAGUCGGUGCGCAAAUAUCUCAGAUUACAGGUGGAUUUCGCAAGUUCAAAUGCAACUUGUGAAAAUUUUGCAAGUUGAAAUUGUGGUUUUGCAAGUUGCAAAAUUGUCCUGCAACUAAUCAGCUCUCUGUCCUACAGCGAUUCAUUUCCUCUUCCUAUUUUGCAAGUUGCGAAAAUUUCGCAAGUUGGAUUCCACAACUUGCAAAAUUGCUGGAUGGUUGAUUUCUUCUAUGAUUUUCUUCCUUGCAUCCUCGUUUGGCUUUGGCAAAGGGUUAUGAAGCUCCAAAUCUUAGUUUCUUCAUGAAUUUGAGCUUCAACUUGCUUUGCCAUGAACUAUACAAAGAUCUCCGUCAUUCUUGGAUUGCUUUGGUGAUCAAAAAGCUAUGAAAAACACCAAAACUUAACACAAUUUGAUUAGAAACGAUUGCAAGGGUCCUUAACAUGCCAAUUGAGUUAAAAGGUAAUAACUACUACUCAAAAGUGUUUAAAAGAGUUAAUUACAAGCUAUAAAAUAACACUUUUUGAGUAGUAAUCAGGAUUCUUACUCAUGAAGUCUCCUCCACACAUAGUUUCUAGGAGUUGCUUCAUUGAAGAAGAUAUACCAUCGUAAAAAUAGCUCACUAAGAGACAUGUGUCAAAGCCAUGGUAAGGACAAUCAUUAAUAGCUUCCAUGUACCUCUCCCAACACUCGUAGAAUUUCUCAUUCUCCUUAGCUGAGAAGUUCGAAAUUUGUCUUUUCAAACCAUUGGUCUUAUGAGUAGGGAAGAACUUCUUAAGAAACUCGGCUUGCAAAUCAAUCCAAGUUCGGAUACUCCUUGGCCUUAGAGAACUAAGCCAAAUCUUGGCCUUAUCCUUCAAGGUGAAAGGAAAUAGCUUGAGUGUCAUCAUGUCAAUUGAAGCUCCUCCUUCUUGGAAUGUAUUACAAAACUUCCUUGAAUUCCUUAAUAUGCGAGUAGGGAUUCUCACUUUCCAUCCCAUGGAAAGUAGGUAGGAGUGGCACAAUGUGAGGUCGGGUUACUAGCUGCUCAGUGGGAGGCACUAUGCAUGACGGUGCACUCAUACGAGGUGGAUGCAUGCGGUCCCUCAUGGAUCGGUAUGGAUUGACAUUAUCCUCUUGACCAUGUUGGCUAUUCUAGUCUUCAGGUGGAACAUCCAUGAUGUUCAAGCACACUUCCAACUCAGUUUCUUGAGGAGUUUCAAUCUUCACAAGUAUCCCCUCACUAUCUCGUAUCCAAUAGGGCAUGCACAACUAGAUAUCACUAAAACAAAAACAAAGAAAACAGAAGAAAUACAAUUCUAGGAAAAAGUUAAGGUUAGCUAAAAACUAAAUAAAAGAUAAGCUAAAAUAGAGACAAAGAAAAAGAAUUAGUAAAAGAAAAAUCACCAAACUUGUGAUAAAGAUCACAAGUGUUCACCAAAGGUCAUGUCAAUUUACUAUGGCACCAUCCCCGGCAACGGCGCCAUUUGAUUUCAUUCCCAUUGCAGUCGUUCCAUUUAAUUCUGGCCCAGACGGGUAUUAUAAAUAAAAUUUAUAAAACCUAAAUCACCUUACACUAGGGUAGCAUAGCUAACAUAGUAUAGUGGCUCUAGGAUCGUCCACAGGGAUGGGUUUUCAUCGUACAGUUGACUUUAGUGAAGGAAAUAAAAUGGUGUUUUUCCUUUUGAAAAUUAGCUUUUAAAGAAAAUGGAAUUGUGGUUGCAAAGAUUGAUUUUAAGUUAAGCAAAAAUAAUAAUUGAAGUUAACUACAAAGAAAAUAUCUCUUGGAGCUUUAGGUCACUAGGAUCAGGUUCCUUAAGCAAAGGGGGAGAUUCUGAAUCUUCUCCUCGCGUUGGGGAUAAUAACAUAAAGGAUGAGUAUCUCCCAAACCGGUUUUGUAUUUAGCAAUUAAGAUUAGAUCCAAAGGGUUCAUGAAAAAUGGUAAUUGCUUCCCAUUAAUGGCUUCAAACACUAAAGACCCUCACCUUGAACCACUUUCCAAUGGCUCGUAAAUGAUAACUAAUAGACAUCCAUGGAUCUAGCAAUAAGCAUCCAUAGGAUCUGAAAAACUUACCAAGUAUUGGCCAUUCAAGGUGAUUCUCACCUUGAACCACCUUCCAAUGGCUCGUAAAUGAUAACUAAUGGACAUCCAUGGAUCUAGCAAUAAGCAUCCAUAGAAUCCGAAAAACUUACCAAGUAUUGGCCAUUCAAGGUGAUUUUAAGGGAUUUAAAGCUAAACCUUGAAAUAAAAACCAUUAAUGGUUAACAACUACUUUCAUUUAAAGCAAGGACAAUUCUCAUCUUUGCAUUUGGGUCCUUCACCUAGCUUCCAUCACUCCAAGAAACGUAAAACCUAGCCACUCAUCCCCUAAGAAAUCAUCCUCAGAGGUUGUUUGGCUAGAAAGAAAAGUGAAAACAAAAUGAGAAGGAAAGGUAGAGCAAAAGCUCUGUAUAUUUCUUACUACAGGAAUUUACAAGUGUUCAAUGAAUUCCAUCCAUCUGUGUGUCUCCCUCCGUCUACCAAAGAUGUUACCAAAAAAUAUAAAAAGAUAUAAAAGAAAAUGAUUACAAGGAGAAAAUAGGAAAUUACACAAAAUAUCUGGAGAUAAAAAUCUAACGGAGUCGGUGCACAGGAAGAUUUCGCAUACCAUGCGAAAUUUUGCAUGGUGUGCGAAAUUCUUUGGCUGCCUCUUGUGGUUUCGCAUGGUGUGCGAAAUUGUCUUUCCCUCAGUCCUGCUACUCCUCCUCCUCUUGAUUUCGCAUGCUAUGCGAAAUUUUCACAUAGCCAUGCGAAAAUGCUGGUUGUUGGAUUUCUUCCUCUAGUUUUCUUCCUUGCAUCUCUGAUUGGCUUGGCAACCUAUUUCCAAGCUUAGCAAAAGGCUAUAAAGUGCUCCAAAGCUCGGAUUCUUCAUGUAUUUGAGUUUGAACUUGCAUUGCCAUGGAUUUCACAAAAUUCUCCCUCAUUCUUGGCUUGUUUCACUGAUCAAAUAGCUACCCAAAACACUAAAACUUGCCAAAAACUUAUUAGUAACCCUUGCUAGGUUCCUUAAUGUGCCAAUUGAGUGAAAAGGUAUUAACUACUACUUAAAAGUGUUUAAAACAGUUAGUUUCAAGCUAUAAAAGAGUACUUUUUGAGUAGUAAUCAAAAAACAACCUUCAAAACUAAACAUGGUUUUUAUAAAUGGAUUGUGAUGCCUUUUGGUUUGUAAAAUGCACCUAACACAUUUAUGCAUUUAAUGAAUCAAAUUUUGAAUCCAUUCAUUGGAAAGUUUGUGGUGGUGCAUUUUGAUGAUAUACUUAUUCAUAGCCCAUCCAAGGAGUUUCAUUUGCAACACCUGAAAGGAGUAUUGGAAGUUUGCAAAAGAGAAAAGCUUUAUGCCAAUAUGAAGAAGUGAAAACUUUUCACUAAUUAUUUGUUGUUUCUAGGAUAUAUGGUUAGUGUUGAAAGGAUAAAAGUUGAUGAUAGUAAGGUUGAAGCAAUUAGAAAUUGACCAAUGCCGAAAACAGUGAAGAAAUACGCAGUUUUCAUGAUCUAACCUUAUUUUAUAGAUGCUUCAUCAAUAAUUUCAACACUGUGAUUGCUCCUAUAACUUAUUGCAUGAAGAAAUGGAGGUUUCAAUAGUCAAAAUAAGCUAAGGAAAGUUUUCAAAAGAUUAAAGAGAUGCUUAGCUUAGGCGCAGUACUAGUGCUGCCAAACUUUUAAAGGGUCUUUGAAAUAAAGUGUGAUUCUUUUGAAAUUGGGAUUGAAGUUGUUUAGAGUCAAGAAAGCAGACUUGUGUCAUUUUACAACAAAAAAUUGAAUGACACAAAAAAAGAGAUACAACACUUAAGAUAUAGAAUUUAUGUCAUCAUUCAGGCUCUUAAGCAUUGGGAGCAUGACUUGAUACAUUAAGAAUUUAUUUUGCAUAUAGAUCAUGAAGCUUUAAAGCAUCUAAAUGGACAACAAAAGUUAUGCAAGAGGCAUGCCCAUUAGGUUUCUUACUUGCAACGAUUCACAUUUGUGAUAAAGCACAAGUUCGGAAUAAGUAACAAAGUGGCAGAUGUACUUAGUUGAAGAAGUUUAUUGUUGACUAGUAUGACUAUUACUAUUAAGGCUUUCAAUUCUUGUAAGGAUCUUUAUCUUGGUGACCCUUUUUUUGGUUCAAUUUAGAAGGAUUGUACUAAAAGGCAACCGGGAAAGUAUUUGUUGCAUGAUGGCUUACUAUUAAAAGGGAAUAAACUUUGUAUUCUAGAUUUCUCUUUGAGGGAAAAGAACAUUCAAGACAUGCAUGGUGGAGGCUUAGGAGGACAUUUUAGGCAAGAUAAAAUACAUUCUAUGAUUGAAUAGAAGUUCUUUUGGUCAAAAAUGAGGAAGGAUGUUUACAAUUUUGUUAACUGGUUUCAAGCAUGCUAGGAAUCAAAAGGAAAAGUUCAAAAUACAGAUUUGUACACUCCGCUGCCAAUUCCUACAACUCCUUGGGAAGAUGUAAGUAUGGACUGUGUGGUGGGAUUACCUAGAAGUCAACAGGGAAUGGAUUCCAUCUUUGGUGGUUGAUAGAUUUUUAAAAAUGACUCAUUUUCAUUUGUUGCAAAAAGAUUAUGGAUGCAUCAAAUAUAGAAAAAUCUCUACUUUAGAGAGGUUGUGUGAUUGCAUGGAGUUCCAAAAUCAAUCUCCUUAAAUUGAGACUCCAAAUUUUUCUCUCAUUUUUGGAGAACUUUAUGGAAGAAGUUUGGGACCAGGCUACAGUAUAGUACUUCUUAUCAUCCUCAAACGGAUGGACAAACUUUGGUUGUCGAUAAAAGUUUGGGUGAUUUAUUGAUGUGUCUGGUUGGAGAAAAUCCUAAGCAGUGGGAAGUUAUGGUUGCACAAGUAUAAUUUGCCUAUAACUAUUCCAAGAAUCAAACUACAGGCAAAAGUCUUUUAGAGUUGUUUAUGGGAAGCAACCAAUGCAUCCUUAUGAUUUAGCUCUUUUACCAUAAAUGGGAAGAAAUAGUUUAAAGGGUGAAAACAUGGUUGACUUAAUGAAAAACUUACAUGUAGAAAUCAUAUUAAAGAUUGAGGAGUCGAAUGCAAAAUAUAAGAAAUAUGUAGAUAAGAAUAGGCACAACCAAAGAUUUCAAGAAGGCAACAUGGUAAUGGUAUACCUACGUAAGGAAAGAUUUCCAACUGGCUCUUAUUCCAAGCUAAGUAAAAGAAAGAUAGGACCCUGCAGAAUCAUCAAGAAGAUUAGGGAGAAUGCUUACGUGGUAGAUUUUCUGAAACAUAUGGGAAUAGAUUCAACAUUCAACAUUUCAUAUUUAUAUUUUUACACCGGUGAAAACAUAAAAGAUAUUUCUAGCAGCACCAAACUCAAGGACAAGCUUCUUCUAAGGAAGGGAGAAUGAUGCAAUCAAUACUAGACAAUUUAUGGCAAUUUGAAAACAAAAAAGGUUUGCAUGGGAAAGGUAGUUAUUAAAUAAGAAGUCCAAAAGUAAGUUUUUUUUAUUAAUGGCUACUAAUUGUAAGACCUUUUGAUGAUUAUCCAUAUAUAUAUAUAUAUAUAUAUAUAUAUAUAUAUAUAUAUAUAUAUAUAUAUAUAUAUAUAUAUAUAUAUAUAUAUAUAUGUAUAUAUAUUAUAUAAGAAGUCAUUAACCAAGUGGCUUGAGAGUCUGUGACAAACUGAUUAAUAGGUGGACCACUAUAGAGUGCUAUGAGCCGUUAAGUAAAAGGGGGGUCCUACACUAGUACUACCUGAAAAUGCAAGGUGAAGGAGACCAAAUAUGAUGAAUAAUAUGUGUUAAAUGUCACGGACUUAGUCUUUUCCUAAGCUUGUGCAGCACUUAGACAAGUCAAGACACUUGAUCUUGCUAAGUAAGCCUUACUCCCAAUGCUUAGCUUGCUAGGCUAAGAUGCUCAUGACUUGGAAGCUUUAGAAGGCGUAGUAGGCAAUUCUUAAAGAAUGGAAGCUUUUAUUACUGAAAGAAAGCUUUACAAGUGCUUUGGGAACUCACUUACUUGGUGCCUUGGCCAAAUGAGGCUCUCACCUAUUUAUAGGCACCAAUGGAACCCUUUGUAACUGAUUACUACCCAAAAAGUGCUAUUUUACACCUUUAAUGCAUUAUGUUUUAAGCACUUUUGUGUAGUAGUUCUCCAUCUUUAGUCCAAUUGGCAUGUUAAGGACCUAGCAAUGUCUUCUAAUCAUAUUUGUGGCUAGUUUUAAUGUUUUGACAGCUUUUUGAAUCAUUAAGACAAGUCAAGCAAAGGAGAGAAGCAAAGAGAAGCAAAGUGAAAAAAUCAGAGGACAGCAGCUGCAGUCUUCUUUCAUACUUUUGGAGCACUUCCCGAAGUCCAUUUUUUACAUAAUAUAUACCAUUUCAAAGCUCUGGAAGUCAAAAAUCCAACGCUUCAAACCGUGCACGAUUUGGAGCUGAAAUGAGGAAGAUAUGGCCUUCGGAAGCUAACUGCUCCAGGUUAUGCGAAAAUUUCGCAUUCCACAAGGUGUUAUGCGAAAUUCGCAUAACACCUUCAAAAUUCGCAUAACCCAUGCGUGUUGCGAAUUUUCCUCUGCCUUUGCCGACUCCACUUUAGAUAUUUUCCUUUGUAUUUUGUGAUGUAAUUUCCUUUCUUAUCCUUGUAACUAACCAAUCACAAGCUUUUGCUUUUGUAAAGACUUUAUAAGGGGUGGAAAUCACCUCUUGGAAUAUAUAGAAUACGUAUUACGUUUGACACUGAGAAUUUUUACAGAGCUCUCUCGUUUCUCUUUUCUCUUUAUUAUUUUCUUUUUCUUGGAAGCCAAACAACCUCUGAGGAUGUUUGCCCGGAGGAUGAGAGGCUAAACUUUCGGUUUCUUGGAGUAAAGGAAGCUAGGUGAAAAGUCCAGAUGAAAAGGUGGAAAGCUUCCAUGCAUUAAAGUCAAGUAGUUGGAAUUCAUAAAUGGCUUCUAAAUCCAAAGUUUUGCUUUAAAUCCCUUAGAAUCACUUUGAAUGACCAAUACAUGGUAAGCUUCAGGUCUUUAUGGAUGCUUAUUGCUAGAUCCAUAUUAGUCCAUUAGUUAUCAUGUACGAGUCAUUGGAAAGUGAUUCAAGGUGAAGACCCAUAGUGUCUUAAGCCAUUAAUGGACCUUGACUACCAUUUCUAUUGACCUUUUAUGGAUUAAAUCUUCAUUGUCAAACCUAUAUCGGUUCGGGAAAUAACUAUAGGUUAAAUCCCCAAUGCAAGGAGAAAAAUCUGGAAUUUUCCACUUUCUAUUCUGAACUUGAUCCUAGCAACCCUUAGCUCCGGGAGACUUUCUUUCUUCCAUUUUUAAUUAGUUUAUGUUAGUUUAGUUUCAAACACUUUCAAAACAAAUUUUAUUUUCUUUUAAACUUUAAGUUUUUUAUCAAGGAAAUCAUUAAAUACAAUUUCUAAUCUUGAGUAUAUCACUGGUAGAAUGAAAACCCAUCCCAGAGUUCGACCCUAGAGCCAGUAUACUAUAGUAGCUUUGCUACGUUAGUAUGAGGUCAUAGGUUUUAUAAAUUUUUUUGAUUAAAUGACCCAAUUGGAGUUACACGCGAAUCAGUAACCUUGGAGGUUUCCUCACAAAUCAAGAAGAUUCUAGAACAUCCUACACAAUUCUAUGUACAAGCCUAUGUACAAGAGAUCUCUAGAAUUUUCUAGAAAGCCUUGGACUCCUCUCAUGCCUUCCACCAUAAUGUAGAGAUGUGUGGACUUCUAUAGGUAUCUCUAGAACCUUCCACUCUCUUCCCACUAAUGGCUAAGGAAUCUCAAAACGCUUCCUAGGCUCUAUAUAAACCCAUGGGGAGGCUCAUUUGAAGCAUCUUGUGACAUAAAGCACAAAAUGGAGGAUCUAUAAUUAUACUUGCUCACGAUUUUGCCAUCCUAUAUACACAUGCAAUAUGUCCAAGGUUUUUGUACUAAUAAUGGUAGAGCAGAAGUAGAUUCAAUAGGAUCAUAAAUGACAAUUUCAAUUGGUACAAGGCUAGUUGUUUUGAAUGGUAGGAUUGGCAUCGACAAAGGGCUAUUUCAAAGUAGCUAAGGGUCUUAAUUUUGUGGUUGGAUUGUCACAAGUGAGUUGGACACGUGAGUUACAAUGGUAUUUUAUAAAUGAUCUUCAUUUGAAAUCUUCAUGUAAAAAUUUAUAUCCUGAAAUAUGGAAAAUGACAUCAAGGGACACAAAAUAUUUUUUCAAUUCGGGGGAAUGACAUCUAUACUUUUUCUUUGUUAGAGAAUAACCUGUAAACACACACUUAAGAGUAGGGGGUCAAGUUUAUAUUUGAUAACAUCAUGAACAUGAAUGAAGGCAGUGUAAUAAAAAAUCUUUGGAGGCAAAGAAGAAAAGACUCGAUGAUGAGGGUAAAUUUGAAUGAGAAUAUUCAAAGGGGUUUUAAAAUUCAAAGUUCAGGAUGACAUUUGAUUUAUGAAAUAGGAUAGUGCUAAAAUAACAUCUCCCUAAUAUAGUUUAGGUUUUUUCAUGGUGAACAUAAGGAACCUUGCUACUUCUAGAAGAUGUCUAUUUUUCACACGUUUGACAAUCUCAUUUUAUUAAAAAGUGUUUACACAAGAACCUUGGUGAAUAAUUCCUUUUCUAUAAAACAAUUUCCCUAAAAUUGUAUUUAAAUAUUCUCACCCAUUAUCUGAUCUGAAAAUUUUAAUGGUGGUUUGGAAUUGAUUUUGUAUUAUGGAAAAAAAAAUUAAAGUGGUCUCAGCUUCAAUUUUUUCUUUCAAAAGGUAUACCUAACAAACCCUAGAAUGAUCAUCAAUAAAAGUAAUAAAUCAUUUUAUUCUAGUCAAAUUUAUCACCUUUGAUGGUCCCAAAUAUCGUUGUGGAUCAUAAGAAAAGGUUUAGAUGCUUUAUAAGGAUAUAUAGGAAACAAAAAAUGAUGAUGUUUUGCAAACUAGCAAAUUUCACAUAAAAAAUAGCUAACAUCUUUAUUUUUUAAUAAUGAAGGAAACAAAUGCUUAAGAUAUGGUAAGCUAGGGUGACUUAAUCUAUAGUGCCAAACCAUCAUUUCACCAUCUUUAUUAUAAGGAAUAACUUCUUUUUUCUGAACGUGUCCACACACCUUGAUUUCAUCAUUAAACAAGUAAAGCUCUUCAUAUUCUCUAGCACUCUCAAUUGUCUUCCUUGAAAAUAGAUCUUAAAAUUAACAAGAAGAAAAUGUGAAUUUAAUAACAUACUUUAGAUCAUGGAUCAAUUUAUUGAUAGACAACAAAUUGUGUAAUAGAUUAGGCACAUAAAAAAUUGAAUUUAAAGUCAAAUUUUGUGAGAUAGGCAUAAAGCCUUUUCCUACAACAAUUGACAAAGAAUCAUCAUCAAUUUUAAUUUUGAAGGAGCCAAGGCAUGGAACAUAAGUGUUGAAAAAAUGAGCACUACCAGUAAUAUGAUUAGUGGCUCUUGAAUCUAUGAUACAGAGACCAUGAAUAUCGAAUUUAGUGAUGAGAGCACUUAUAAAGUUACUUUUUUGGUCUAUAAAAUAGAAGGGAUUAGAAUUAGGAAUGGGUUGAGAUUGACUAAAAAAAAUUUCAAGGUGUUUGAGUUACUUUUUAUUAGAUGGUGUCUUAGUUGUGCCAUUUUCGGUUUUGGGUUGAACUUCAAUCACUACAACAGUGGGAUUUUAUUUCGAAUAAAUUUCUAUUAGAAGUUUGAUUAUUAUGCUAGUUUGUUGGACGUCCAUGUAGCUUCCAUCACGAUUCUUUGGUAUGAUCGAGGCGAUGACAGUAAUUGCACUAGAGUUUCCCAUCUCUCUUUAUUUGCUUAUCAUUUUGAGAGUCAAAAUUUAUGGAAACCAAAAAAGAAUUCUCGACAAUAGCAUAAGUAAGUGGCAACUGUAGUCGAGUGGUCCAUAUGAUAAGGGGAAUAUAUUCCUUUAUUUUUUAUAAAGGGAAAUAAGAAAGAGAUAAGACUCAUGCACAUGUCUGAUAGGCCUUGGGAGGUCAUAGACUAUAGUCUUUUUCUCUUUACUUACAAGUUAAGGCUCAAAUUGUUGAGGGUGUCAACAACAUCACUAUAGUUGGCAUCAGAUUCUUGAGGAGAUUUGUUGUAAGGCAAGCUACAACUGGUGAUUAUAUCUCUAUAAUACUAUACAAGCUUUUGGAAGUAGGUACCAUGGUAGUAGGGGACCUCUGCAAUGUGGAUUCAAGAGUGUAUUUUUCAUUCUUUAUGUGAAUAAAUGACGUGUUCACUCAUAGUAGGAGAGAAUUCUAUAUUAGAAGCAAUUUCGCAACUCCUCCAAUUCCCUAUUUACUUUUGGACAAAAUUAAUAUAGGGCCAUGUGGUUUCGCAUGAUAUGAUGCCAAGAUUUAUUGAAUGGUUGUUGAUAAGGAUCCUAUGUUGAGAGGGGCAUAUGUGUCUUUCGUAGCUUGGAUCACUUAUAAACUUUGGAGCUUUACUUUUGAUAAGAACUUCGAUAAAGGGCUUUGUAGACAUAACUUCCUAAGCAAACAUGAUACAACAUGAUAAAGUGUAGUCCAAUUCAUCAGUUUGGUCUAGGAAAAAGAAAAUGACUUCCAUUAAUACUGAUGUUGUUAGUAUAAUUUUCAUGUCAUCUUGAACAAUUGUAAGAGGAUUCUUGAAAUCAUUAAGUAUAAUAGUAGCACGAGGCACUAGAUAUUGGAGUUGGCAUUGACAAUCAUUCCUUUCUAAAUGAAUGAGUUCACAAUUUGAAAAUUUUUUCUUACAAGGCAAGUCAAAAUAGUAGUUACAUUCCUAAACAAUGCUUAAUCCAGGAAUAUUGAUAUUUUCACAAGCAAUGUUGGAUAGUUUUUGAAAGAUCUUUUCCAAAAUCUGAGAUUCAAAUUUUGAUCGAGUCUUAGGGUCUUUAGUAAAAAAGAAAUAUCACUAAAAGAUCUUAUGGAUCCUAGUGGUGGAAAUUCUAACUCUGAUAAGAAAGACUUACCUUUAUCUUCAGUGUCUUUUGUGAAAACAUUAGAAGAUAAUAGAUGAUUUUUCUCAUCAAAGUGUUUUAUAAUUUCACAAUAAUCUCGUUUUGCAAGAAUUAAAGGAGAAAAGAAAAUUUUGUUUGUCUUUAGAGAAUAUUUUGUAUUCCAUAUAGCAGCCUCAAGGCUAUAAUAUCCUUUGAAAACCGGGUUUUUAAAUCCUCAAAUUUGUUCAAGGACUUUUAACCACAUGAGAUAAAUACCAGGAGUAUAGCUUUUGUAAAUAACAUAGAAUGAUAAAUAUUUUAAAAAUGAUUUUUCUUUUAUUUUUGAAAAAUAGACACCAAGAGAAAUUAAAGAGAUAAUCAAAGCACUUUUAUCAUGAAGAGAGCAAAAAAGGUUAUCUACAAGGCAUUGUUGGCUAUCGUCAAGAGUGUCACCGACAGGUUUCUUGAAUAUCCUAUCUCCUUUGAGAUAUAGGGGAAGCAAGUAGCUGUCAAAUCUCGUUUUUCCAUGUUGUUGAUCCAUUUUCCUGUAGAAUACACUUCACAAGAUAAAUAGUCAGCAAGCAUAUUAUCAAUACCUUUAACAUACUCAAAAUUAACUUUAUAACCAUUACCUUUUAUGGUAUUUUCAAAAUUUAUCCACCUUUUUGUACUAUGUUUCCUUUCAUUCAUCUUAGGAUAGAAUUUUACAAUAGCUGCACAACCUGUUCUUAAGGUGAAUGAUUUAUUUAAGUGACUAAAUACAAUUAGGAACAUAUCUCAUAAAUUAGUUUAUUAUUUUAUUUUAGAUGAUGGUGUUAAAUAAAUUUAGGAAUAUAUCUCAUAAAUAGUAAGGAGAAAAAUAAAAAAUAAAAAAUAUAUAUACAUAUAUAAUUCAUAAAUUAUAUAGAACUUUAUGGUAUGACAUGAAUGUAUACUUAAAUUCUUAAAUUAAUAAAAUUGGAAAUAUUGUUUAAAGACAUUAACGUUGUGUUUGAUUCUCGAAAAGUACUAAGGAAACAAAAAAAAUGCUAAAGAAAAUAAUUUUCACGUUAAAAAUUUAUACAUUUUAAAAUUAUUUAAUGUUUAAACAAUGAGGGAGAAUAAACAAAAUAAAUUUGUAGAAGGAUAUAAAAAUAAUUUAUUAAUUUUGGAUCUAUUUUUUCUUUUCUUCCACUUUCCUUUUCUAUUUUCUUUCUCUCAUAUUUUCCCUCAAAUUUUUUGGACCGAAAAUAGCCUAGAUAUUUGAAAUAUGAAAUCAAAAUAUAAGAUGAGGGUGGUGGAGAAGUGAGUGCAUUAAAGUUGGUGGAGGCUCCUAUAGAGAAGCUUUCCGCUAAGAUUUUUUUUUAUUUUUUUUAUUUGUAGAGAAAGUAAAACUAGACGCCAACACUUCUCAAAAAAAUUUGGGGAGCAACGUCAUGGAUGUAAAACAAGAGUUUCCGAUCAAAGUAACCCGUUUUUGAAAAAAAUUCUCAAUCUAAACCUGUGUUAAAGAUGUUUGUCAAAGUAGUGCUUCCGUAUAGCAUCAAGUUCAACUUUAUUAUUAUUUUUUAUUUUUUAUUUUUUUGUUUUAAAACCACAAUUGGUACCUAUGGUUUUAGCUUUAAAUUUAGAACCAUGUUGGUAGCUUUAAAUUUAAAACCACAGUUACUAAUUGUGGUUCUUAAAACCACCGUUAGUAACUGUGAUUUUAAAUUUAAAGCUAAAACCACAAUCAUCAACUGUAUUUUUUACACUAAAAAAAAAAAAAAGUCAUGUGAAUGAACAUGUGAUUAUAAAGACUAUAUUGGUGAAUAUUUUGGGAGGGGAUCUAUUUCCAUUAUUUUUUUCUUCAAAAAUGACCUUGUCACUAGAUGCUUCAAAUGAGCCUCCCCAUGGGUUUAUAUAGAGCCCAGGAAGCUUCUGGAGAUUCCUACACUUAGCCAUUAGUGGGAAGAGUGGGAAGGUUCUAGAGAUGCCUAGGGAAGUCCACACAUCUCUACACUAUGGUGGAAGGCAUGAGAGGAGCCCAAGGCUUUCUAGAAAAUUCUAGAGAUCUCUUGUACAUAAGCUUGUACAUAGAAUUGUGUAGGAUGUUCUCGAAUCUUCUUGAUUUGUGAGGAACCCUCCAAGGUUCCAGAGAGUUCCAUUGGUGCCUAUAAAUAGGUAAGGGUCUCAUUUGGCCUAGGCACCAAGCAAGUAAGUUCCCAAAGCACUUGUAAAGCUUCCUUUGAGUAAUAAAAGCUUCCAUUCUUUAAGAGUUGCCUACUAUGCCUUCUAAAGCUUCCGAGUCGUGAGCAUCUUAGCCUAGCAAGCUAAGCAUUGGGAGUAAGGUUGACUUAGCAAGAUCAAUUGUCUUGACUUGUUUAAGUGUCGUACGAGCUUUUGAAAAGACUAAGUCUGUGACAAUUGGUAUCAGAGCGCGGCUACGAAGCGGGCAUAGUAAAAAAAGCAUGUUGGGCUCCAACGUGGAGGAAACUAGUGAGCAAACCCAUGGGAGGAAGAUCAAGCCUACUGCACAGGGCAGGGGUAAGAAGGAUAAAUCUCGUGAUGCCAUAGCCAACAUGGAGGCAAGGCUAGCCAAGAUGGAGCUAGCCAUGGCAGACAUGCAGGUCAGGGUGGACUUGAUCGAGCAAGGCAUGGAGAAGGGUUUAGAGGAUCUAAGGGAGCAGAUCCAAGACCUUCGUGAGGGGGUGCUAGGCUCACAAGUUCAACCAGUGUCACACAAGGAGUUCAUAUCCUUCCAAGACAAGGUCAUGAGCAUGUUCGCUAGUAUAAAGUCAAGGGUGGAGGCCUUGGCUAUGCGCAUGGAGAUCCGAGAGUAGGAGGUUCGACAAGUGUUGGCCAUCCAUAAGACUACCAUAUUAGCACGAGUCAUGGCCACUCAUGAGGCACCAAGGGUGGAGGUGCCCAAGCCACAUACCUUUAGUGGCAAAAGGGAUGCCAAAGAGCUAGACAACUUCUUGUGGCACAUGGAGCUACUUUGAGGCUAUUGCACUAACGGAUGAAGCCACUAAGGUAUGCACCACGACCCUCUACCUCAUUGAUAAUGCUACUCUAUGAUGGCAUUGGAGGUUUCCUGAUAUAGAAAAAGGGAAGUACACCAUAGACACAUGGGAUGUCUUUAAGCGAGAAAUCAAAAGGCAAUUCUACCCUGAGAAUGUGGCUUACCUAGCAAGGAAGAAUAUGAAGCGUCUCAAGCACACAGGCUCGAUCUGUGAGUAUGUCAAAGAGUUCUCUAUGCUUAUGCUUGAAUACCCAACAUGUCCGAGGAAGAGCUACUGUUCAACUUCAUGGACAACUUGCAAAGUUGGGACGAGCAAAAGUUGAGGAGACGUGGUGUCUAAGACCUAGCCACGACCAUGGCGGUAGCAGAGUCCUUGGUGGAAUAUAAAAGGGGAGACUCCUCCAAGCCCAAGCCACAGUCCAAGGGUAAUCAUGCUAAAGGUGGGGGAGACAAGGGAUCAAGGGAGUACACUCCUAAGGAAGGAUCAAGUAAGACCUCUAGUGGCAAGGAUGGUAAGGGCAAAGACAAACGAAAGGAAUUCAUGCCUAGGACCAAUUGCUUCCUAUGUGAUGGGCCACACUGGGCGCGAGACUACCCCAAGAGGAAAGGCCUAAAUUCUAUGAUCGAGAAAAAGGAGAAGAAGGGCGAUGCUCAUGUGGGAUCAUUACAACUCUUAAACGCCGUCAAGGCCAAGUCAGUACCUAAGAUGCAUCAAAGCAAAGGGCUAAUGUAUGUAGAGGCCCUUGUAAAUGGGAAGACCACUAAGGCCCUGGUGGACACUGGUUCCCCUCAUAACUUUGUCUCGGAGGAUGAGGCAAAGAGGCUAGAGCUCCAAGCAUCCAAGGAAGGAGGUUGGCUCAAGGCAGUUAAUUCAGCUGCCAAGCCAUCACACGGAGUAGCCCCUAGGGUGGCUAUGCACAUUUGCUCUUGGGAAGGAAGGGUCGACUUUACAGUGGCACCCAUGGACAACUUCAAGAUGGUAUUAGGAAUGGACUUCCUACAGAAGGUCAAGGUCGUGCCACUACCCUUCCUAUGGUCAAUGGCUAUCCUAGAGGAGGAGAAGCCAUGCAUGGUCCCUAUGGUCACCGAAUGUUCGCCCAAGACCCCUAUGUUAUCAGCUAUGCAAGUAAAGAAGGGGUUAAAGAAGAAAGAGGUGACCUACCUCGCCACCCUUAAGGAAGAAAAUGAUGAUGGGUCGAGAAAGCCCAUGCCUAUGGAAAUCAAGGGAGUCUUUGAUUAGUUUAAGGAUGUGAUGCCGCCCGAGUUGCCCAAGAGACUCCCUCUUAGAAAAGAGGAGGAUCAUAAGAUCGAGUUGGAGUCGGGAGCUAAGCCCCCUACUAUGAGGCCAUACAGAAUGGCACCACUCGAGCUGGAGGAGCUAAUGAGACAACUUAAGGAGUUGCUGGACGCAGGGUUCAUCCAACCAUCUGAGGCUCCUUAUGGAGCGUCGGUCUUGUUUCAGAAGAAACAUACUGGGUACCUACGGAUGUGUAUCGAUUACUAGGCACUUAACAAGGUGACGGUAAAGAACAAGUACCCUAUUCCGCUCAUCACCAACUUGUUCGAUCAACUUGGUAGGGCGAGAUACUUCACGAAGCUAGACUUGAGGUCGGGCUACUACCAAGUAAGGAUUGCGGAGGGUGACGAGUCGAAGACUACAUGUGUGACCAGGUAUGGCUCAUACAAGUUCUUAGUGAUGCCCUUCGGCCUCACCAAUGCCCCAACGAUGUUCUGCACACUCAUAAAUAAGAUCUCCCACCCAUAUUUGACAAGUUCGUGGUAGUAUACUUGGAUGACAUAGUCAUCUACAGUAACACCUUGAAGGAGCACGUAGAGCAUUUAAGGAAGGUCUUCAAGAUCCUAAGGUAGAAUGAGCUAUAUGUGAAGAAGGAGAAAUGCUCUUUUGCUAAGGAAGAAGUGAGCUUCCUAGGGCAUCGCAUCAAGGAUGGCAAGUUAAUGAUGAAUGAUAGCAAGGUGAAAGCCAUCCAGGAAUGGGAUCCACCAACCAAGGUACCUCAACUUAGAUCUUUUCUUGGUUUAGUUAAUUAUUAUCAGCGGUUCAUCAAGAGUUAUUCAGCAAGGGCAGCUCCACUCAUUGAUCUUUUUAAGAAGAAUAAGGCAUGAGAAUGGGACGAAAUGUGCCAACAAGCCUUUGAAGAUCCAAAGAAGGCUGUGAUUGAGGAGUCGAUGUUGGCACUACCCGACCACACCAAGGUUUUUGAGGUACACACAGAUGCCUCAGACUUCGCUAUAGGGGGAGUCUUUAUGCAAGAUAGGCAUCCGAUUGCCUUCGAGAAUCACAAGCUAAAUGACACGGAGAGGCGUUACACAAUGCAAGAAAAUGAGAUAACCACCAUCGUCUAUUGCUUGCGCACUUGAAGACACUAUCUUCUAGGGUCUCACUUUAUAGAGAAGACCAACAAUGUUGCCACUAGCUACUUCCAAACCCAGAAGAAGCUAAGUCCUAAGCAAGCUAGAUGGCAAGACUUCUUGGCCGAGUUCGACUAUACGCUGGAGUAUAAGCUAGGAAACGCUAAUCAUGUGGUCGAUGCCCUAAGACGUAAGGCAGAACUAGCAUCCAUGAUGAGCCAGCCCCAAGGAGACAUCAUAGAUCAUUUAAGGGAGGGGCUGCAACAUGAUCCAGUGGCUAAGAGCCUCAUUGCCCUAGCUCAUGAAGGAAAAACUAAGCAAUUUUGGGUGGAAGAUGACUUACUCUACACUAAGGGGAGACUACUCUACGUGCCUAAGUGGGGGAACAUAAGGAGGAAUCUGAUUAAGGAGUGCCAUGACACCAAGUGGGUGGGGCACCCUGGGCAACAACGCACGAGGGCACUACUUGAGUCAGCUUACUACUGGCCUCAAAUAUGGAAUGAGGUUGAGGCCUAUGUGAGGACUUGUCUUGUGUGCUAAUAAGACAAGGUGGAGCAACAACAACCUAGAGACCUGUUGGAACCACUACCAAUAGUAGAGCACCCAUGGGACAGUGUCACAAUGGACUUCAUCAUCGGGCUACCCAAGUCGAAGGACAACGACUUCAUCAUAGUAAUAGUGGAUAGGUUCUCUAAGUAUACGACCUUCAUAGCAGCCCCUACUGACUGCAUUGCAGAGGAGAUGACAAGGCUAUUCUUAAAGCACGUAGUCAAGUAUUGGGGGUUGCCUAAGUAUAUCAUUAGUGAUCGUGACCCACGGUUCACUGGGAAGUUUUGGACAAAACUCUUCAAGCUUAUGAGUUCAAAGCUUCAUUUCUCCACAAGCUUUCACCCACAGACAGAUGGGCAAAUUGAAAGGGUAACGUCUUAUUGGAGCUAUACUUGAGGCACUUCGUGAGUGCCAACCAGAAGGAUUGGGUUAAGUUGCUAGAUAUAACCCAGUUCUCAUACAACUUACAAAGGAGUGAGGUAACCAAAAAGAGCCGUCUGAGCUAGCCACAGGGUAGCAACCGUUAACUCCUCACACACUAACUAUAGGCUAUAUGGGGAGAAGUCCAACGACUUUCAAGUUUGUGAAGGGGUGGCACGAGCAAGCUGACAUAGCAUGCUCAUACUUGGAUAAGGCCGCUAGGAAAAUGAAAAAGUGGGCUAAUAAGAAGUGACGUCAUACAGAGUACAAGGCUGGAGACAUGUUGCUUGUCAAGCUCAUUCCUCAACAAUUCAAGUCAUUAAGGUCGGUGCAUAAGGGCCUUGUGAGGAGGUAUGAAGAACCCUUCCCCAUACUUGGGAAGGUCGGUAAGGUGUCCUAUAAAGUUGAGUUACCACCUAGGUUGAAGAUUUAUCAUGUCUUCCACAUAAGUUACUUGAAACCAUAUCACGAAGACAAGAAUAAUCCAAACUAAUGGUUUUCUAAGAGGGCACCUACAGCGGUCGUGACCUCCUAUGACAAGGAGGUAGAACACAUCAUUGCAGAUCGAGUCAUUAGAAAAUGAGGUGUGCCUCAUGCUACGGAUUACUUAGUGAAAUGGAAGGGACUACCAGAGAGCGAGACUAGUUGGGAGCUAGCAGAUGCACUAUGAUAGUUCUAGGAGCAGAUUCAGUGGUUUCGAGCAGAAGGUGCGACGAGGACGUCUGCGGCUUAGGUGGGGGAAAGUGUCACAAGAUGCUUCAAAUGAGCCUCCUCAUGGGUUUAUAUAAAGCCCAGAAAGCUUUUGGAGAUUCCUACUCUUAGCCAUUAGUGGGAAGAGUGUGGAAGGUUCUAGAGAUGCCUAGAGAAGUCCACACAUCUCUACACUAUGGUGGAAGACAUGAGAGGAGUCCAAAGCUUUCUAGAGAAUUCUAGAGAUCUCUUGUACAUAGGCUUGUACAUAGAAUUGUGUAGGAUGUUCUAGAAUCUUCUUGAUUUGUAAGGAACCCUCCAAGGUUCCAAAGAGUUCCAUUGGUGCCUAUAAAUAGGUGAGGGCCUCAUUUGGCUAAGGCACCAAGCAAGUGAGUUCCCAAAGCACUUGUAAAGCUUUCUUUGAUUAGUAAAAGUUUCCAUUCUUUAAGAGUUGCCUAUUACACCUUUUAAAGCUUCCGAGUUGUGAGCAUCUUAGCCUAGCAAACUAAGCAUUGAGAGUAAGGUUGACUUCGUAAGAUGAAGUGUCUUGACUUGUCUAAGUGUCGCAUGAGCUUAGAAAAAACUAAGUCCGUGACAUUAAACUUUGUAAAACAAUCUUGACACGAACCCACCAACCAAGACUCGACGUGUGGUCUCAUAUUUUUUCCUUUCGUAGGUGGUGUCUCUCCAUUAGGGGCGCCACAGUUGCUCCACAAAUUCUUAGUUGCUCUAUCUCCUCUACUGUCGUUAUAUGUUGCCAUCAUUAUAAAAAAUGAUCUCUCAUUAAAACACACCUUGUUUUUCUCUCAAGAAGUUAGUGCACUUGACUCCCUAUGUUUUUUCUCGAGUGUUUGGCUAGGUAGAAAUUUUGGCUUACCCGAAUAAGAUCCCUCAAUCUUUGGAUUCUAUUUCUAAUUAGUUUUUAUUUAGUUUAAGGAAUAAAGGAUCCUUAGAUUAGUUAUAUUUUAUUUAGUUUCUCUUUAAUUUAGGAAAUAAAUGAUGUUUAGGAUUAAUUUUUAUUUUAUUUAGAUUCUACUUUAUUCAGUUUCUAUUUCUAUUUUGUAGCCUAGGGAGAGUGUAAUUGGAAAGAUAUGAAAAAAUAUUGUCAAUAAAAGAAAUUGGUUCUUUGAAUAAGAAUUUUAACUUUGUGCAUCUUCUUCUUGGGUCAUAAGAAUUUUAACUUUGUCACUUUGACUUGUUAUCUAUGUUGAUAUUUUGAGAGCUUGGUUCAUAACAAUUUUAACUUUGUGCAACUUCUCCUUUGCUCAUAAGAAUUUUAACUUUGUGCACAGUUGACCACACUUUGACUUGUUCUCUAUAUUUUUAUUUUAAGAGAGGUGUGUGGAAUUGAAUUGGUUUUGGUCGGGAGUAGGAGAAAGUGAGUGAUUGUUGAAUUUGUGGAGAUCACGAGAUGGUGGCGUCGAAAGUGGUGAUAUUGGCUUUGCUGUCAACCAACUUGCUCAAUUCAUGCAUCAACCUACGGUCUUCCAUUGGCAGCAAGUUAAAAGACUCCUACGAUAUCUCAAACAUACCAUUCAUUUUGGUAUUCUAUUAUGACGACAACUCAAUCCAAUUUUUCGUGGCUUCUCCGAUGCUAACUGGGGGGAGGGGGUAAUCUUGAUGAUCGCAAGUCUACAAUUGCCUACAUUUUAUUUCUUGGUAACAACCCAAUCAGUUGGUGCACCCGUAAGCAAAAAGUCGUUGCUUGUUCAUCCACCGAAGCAGAGUAUCAAGCCCUCACAACUGUUGCCUCUGACAUGGCCUGAAUUCAAUCUCUUCUCAAUGAACUUGGUAUCAAGCUUCAUGACACUCCACUACAGCUAUGUGAUAACGUCGGUGCCACACAACUCAGUCUCAAUCCCGUCAUGCAUUCCAGGAUGAAACACAUAGCCAUUGAUCUUCGUUUUGUAUGAGACUUUGUUCAAUGAGGCAGUUGCGUGUAGCACAUGUACAUACAGAUGAUCAGCUUACCUAUUUACUUACCAAGCCCCUUGCACGAUCUCGCUUUCAACAACUGCGUAGCAAAAUCAAUGUUGUUGAUGGCACCUUAAUUUUGAGGGGCCGUAUAAGGGAAUUUGCAUAACAAUGACAAUUCCAUGAUUUACGUUCAUUCCAGAAUUAUCUUUGUAAAUUGGUUUGUAAUCACUCUUUCUACCUUCUGUUUAUAUAUGUACAUUCCUUAAUUAGUCACAGCAUUGUAUUAUAUAUAGUCCAGUUAUAAUAAGAAUACAGUUGUUUUUCUUGCCAAAUUGUCUGUGCGAUCCUUAUAUUUAACUUUGUGACUUUGACUUGUUAUCUAUAUUUUUAUUUUGAGAGCUUGGUUCAUAAGAAUUUUAACUUUGUGCAACUUCUCCUUCGGUCAUAAGAAUUUUAACUUUGUGCACAAUUGACCACACUUUGACCGAUUCUUUUCGGAUUUUUUAUAAUUGUAUGGUGGAUUUAAAAUUAAUUUUUUAAAAUACAAUACAUUGAAAAAUAUUUCUAAAUCUACGAUACUUUUUGCCACUUUAAAAGGUGCCUUUUGAAAAGACACUUUCCAUCAUUUUUAUAUCAAUGAUACACGUUUAAAAAAAUUUAUAUUGAAGGUGUCUUUUCAAGAGACACCUUCCACAAUUUUUAUAUCAAUAACAAACGUUAAAAAAAUUUGAAUUUACAUUAAAAGUGUUUCUUCAAGAGACACCUUUUACAAUUCUACAAAAUCGAAUUUAUAUUAAAAAUAUAUUUUAAAGAGACACUUUUCACGAUUUUCAUAUUAGUUGCAUAGUGAAAAAAUUGAAUUUAUACUAAAGAUAUCUCCUUGACAGACACUUUAUAUAAUUUCACAAAAUAAAAUUUAUAUUAAAGUCCUCUUUUGAAGAAAUACCUUCAACAAUUCUUAUAUCAGUCAUCCAUUGAAAUAAUUGAAUUUAUACUAAAAGUGUCUUUUCAAAAGACACAUUUCACAAUUUUAUAAAAUUAAUGUAAAUUCAAUUUUUUUGUUAACUAUGUGAUUGAUAUGAAAAUUGUGGAAGAUAUAUUUUCAAAAGAUAACUUUAGUAUAAAUUUGAUUUUCUCGUAUUGUGGAAAGAAUAUUUCUUUAAUAUAAAUUUAAUUUUUUUUAACAUGUAUGACUAAUAAAAAAAUUAUGGAAAAAUGUCUUUUGAAUAAACAUAUUUAGUAUAAAUUUAAUUUUAUGAAAUUAUAGAAGAUGUUUCUUGGAGAGACACCUUUAGUGCAAAAAGUAUAGUACAUUUAUCAAUAGUUUUUUAGUUAUCAUAUUUAAUUUUUUUUUAAAAGUACCAUUUUUUAAGAAUUAUUUUUUAAAAUAGCCGUACAAGGAAGAAAAAAAAAAGCCCUGUGCUCUUCUCCUCAGGUCAUAAGAAUAUUAACUUCGUGCUUGACUACGCUUUGACUUGUGCAGAGGUGUGUGGAAUUGAAUUGGUUUUGGUGGGUAGUAGGAGAAAGUGAGAGAGUGAUUGUUGAAUUUGUGGAGAUCACGAGAUGGUGGCGUCGAAUGUGGUGCACGAGGGAUGGAUGGUGCGGUACGGACUGAGGAAGAUCGGCACAUCCUACAUCCAUAUGCGGUAUUUCGUGUUGGAGUCGCGUCUGCUUGCUUACUACAAGAGAAAGCCUGUGCAAGAUGCGGUACUGCCUCAAAAACUUUUCCCUUCUUUUAAGUAGAAUCAAAGUGGAAAGUCGAUUUAGGAAAAGGCGGAAUUAGAAUUAGAAUUGAAAAUUGUAGUUGGAAUGGUGCAGACUGUUUUUAUCUUUUUAAGCAUCUAUGUGAAAUUAUUUGUGCGGAUGGAAGGCUAGGAUUUGAUUCGGUGUGUUUUUUCCUUUUGAUUAGGUUCCGAUCAAGACGCUUCUAAUUGGUGGGAACUGUAGGGUGGAAGACAGAGGGUUGAAGACUCACCGUGGACAUGUGAGAUGCUGUCAUUUCUUUUGUUGUUGUUUUUUUUUCCCUGCUUUUUCUAUAUGUUCAUUCGAUGGGAAAUUGAACUAAAUAACACUAUUUCUUGGUGCAUUCUUCCAAUUCGGUUCUGGAUUCUGUUGCUUUUUUUUAAAAAAGACGGCCUGAGCAGUAUAUUUUUCAAUGUAAUCACUGAGAUUUCAGAAAACUAUAGUGGUGAACCAUAAUUCUGAAAAUCACGACUUGGUUCUGAAUUUUUUGAUCUAGAAUGUUUCAAUUCUUUUCUUAAAUUUUAGGAACAGAACCAAAAGUAUGGCCCUGGGGGUUGGACUAGCAACUAGUGGGUUCAAUUUGAUUAGGAGUAUGUCCUGGUUUUAUUUUUCUGGGAUAUCAUGCAUGCUUGAGGCUCAUGAACUUUGGAACGAUUGUAGUUGUAUUAGCUGUUUGGUUGAUUUGACCUGAUUGGAUGCUUGUGAUCCUGGUGGAGGCCUUGUUUGCUUUGGGAAUUUUUGGUCCUUCCAAUUGUUGGUAUGAAGCAGUUUUCUUUUUGUUCUGAUGGAUGUAUGAAGUGUUUGAAGCACUUGUGUCCUUGCAUUUUCCCUUGGUUAUAUUGGUUUAUUUUCUAUGUGCAAGUCAUUUGUUUUAGCAUUUGCAUACUGGUGAAGCAACCUAAGCCAUCCAAGUACACAUUUUACACAUGAGAAGAAGAUAGUUCCAUUGUUAUAUUAUGGUUAUUUUGUUGAUGCUUCCCAUAAUCUUCAAGAAUAAUUAUUUCCAAGAAUGGAGAAGCAUAUUUGAGAAUCUGUCUCCUUGAAAUUUUUCGGAGAGCUAGAAAUUCCACCAUUAGGCUUUGAAUGGAGAAUACGUAUUUGUAUGGAUGGUUCUAUAGGAUCUAAAAUUUGAACUAGCUAUACACUCUAACCACUUGUGAAAGUACAAUUCCUAUAUCUAGAGGGAAAAGUGCUUAGGCUUAGCUAACCACUCUAGAAUGAAAAUAAUAAUCAUGGAUUAGAUGAGAGGGACAAUUUGAACUACAAUCAAUAUGGUAGAUUAAGGGUUGUGUUUCUCACUGAUUAGAUUCACAUUGAAAUUGGAUAAAUAGUAAGAAAAAGUUAGGAGAAAGUGACUGGACUAUUGGAGAGGUUGGAUUGUGCACUAUCAAUUAUAUCUAUAUCGAUGUCAAGUGUCUUCUGGAGUUAAAAGAAUAUCCAAACUGCAAGAGAGUAAGACUCUAAUGUUCAACUCUCCUCCUCAAGCUGGUGCAAAAAAGUUGUGCAUGGCCAUCUUGUCCAAAAUAUCAUGGAACUUCUUAAAUUGCACCUCAUUGGUGAAUAUCAGCUAGCUGCUCUCCCCUUUUUAACAAAAGAGACUGCAAAUAAGAUCCUUAUUCAUCUUCUUCUUAAUGAAUUGUUAGCCCACCUGUUCCAUCACACUGUACUGGAGUAUGUUGUGUUCAUAGUUUCUUUGUUAUUGUAAUUUAUUUCUGUAGGUUCCUUGCAAGUGACUCUAAACUCUAUUUUUGUGACAUUUAACCAUAGAAGGUUGCAAAUCCCAUAUGCCAUUAGUUCAAAUCGAUCCUUUGCACAGGAUGACAUUUAACCAUAGAAGGUUGCAAAUCCUAUAUGCCAUUAGUUCAGAUCCAUCCUUUGCACAGUAGUAUCUAUCAAUGAUGAUGUUAUCUUCAUUUCCUCCAUGUCUCUGGAUUAUUGCAAAGAGAAGUACAAUAUACUGAGGUCUCAGAUCACUGUAAGACUCUUCUCUCACAUGGCCUUGUUACCGAAGGGAAAAUCUUUUCUUGGAGUAGACUUUAGGUGUUGAAGGAUACUAAAGACCAAGUUCUAAUUAAGGGGAUCUAGGAGCCUGCAUGAAUUGUAAUAUCAGCAUGAAUAUCUGGCAAAUUUAGUUUAGUUUUUUUCUGUCUUCCUGUUCAUCAUCAUUAUCUGCUCCCUACCUUUGAUUAGGUUCAAUUGGUGUUUCAACAGGUAUGCAUCAAACAGACUUAUCAGAAAAAAAAAAAAGAAGGUAUGCAUCAAACAGAUGUUUCAACUUACAAUAUCAAAGAUGCACUUCCUUUGAGAAAUCUCUUUUUGGGUCCUGAGAAGUAAUGAACUCAAUUUGAAGCAAGUGCUUUCAGGUGCUUCCCUCUGGGAUCAUCAGAAAAGGAGGUAUUUUUAUGGUCCAAGAAGUCCGUUAUUUUGACGAGUCUCUAAUUCAGAUUACCAUGAAGUUCAAUCAAAUGGAAGCUAGUAGAUCCCCUGAGCUUUUAAGACCCAUCUCUCUACCCACUGUAGAAAAGGGUCAAUUGCUUUGUGAAUCGGGAAUGUCCAUUCUCUUGGAAACCCAAUGACAUUGGUGUGACAUAUCUCCUCUCUAUUAUUGAAAGCCAAGUGCCUCCAUACCUCCUUGUUGAAUAUUUCCUCCUCCAUUGUGAACCCCUCCUCUCCAAUUCUCUAAAUUUUACUUGGCACAGAACUCUUCUUCAGUAUGCUUUCUGUGUAACAUUAUGAUUUUCAUUUCUGUUCUUCACAUAAUAUAUAUAUAUAUAUUUUUGAUAAGUAAAGAAAAUUCAUUUAUAAAGAGACGCCAAAGGAGCGACUCAAGGUAUACAACCUAUGUAAAGUAUACAAACCUAUACACCCACCACCAAAAGAGGCCAAAGACAAAUAAGAGACCCACCAACCAAAAGGCCCAAAAACCUUACAAUGAUCCCAACCAAUCUAUAAAAUUCACCAAAGUUUGAGGGCAUUCUACUAUAAAUAGCUUUGCCUCAGACCAAAGCGAGCAUAAAAAGGAAUAUUUCAAUCUCUGUAUUGAUAUUUCAUCAUCCUUGAAAGCUAAUCGAUUUCUCGCCUUCCAAACCGUCCAAAAAAUAUGCAGGGGAGCCGCUCUCCACACUUUCCUGUGUUUCUUGCCCACAGAAGAAGUCUGCUAACUAAGCAAAGUCUCUCUAACUGAACACGGCAACACCAAAGACACCCCAAACAAAGAAAAAAGCAACUCCCAUAAGACCCUUGUUUUUGAGCAGUGGAGAAGCAGAUGAUCUAUGGUCUCCUCCUUUUCAAUACACAUGAAACAUCUAUUCGCCAAUGACCAUCCUCUUCUCUGAACAAGAUCUAGGGUUAGCGCCUUACCCCAUGCGGCCUCCCACGCAAAAAAGCUGAUUUUGGGUUGUACCCACGCCUUCCAAAUACAGCUAGAUGGAAAAGAAAUAGGGCAGUCCUCUUUUAGAGCAAGGUAUAGAGACUCAGCCGAGAAAAUGCCGCUCUUUGUUUCAGUCCAAAUAGCCUUAUCAUCUACGUCUCCAAGGACUCUCUUCCCGUGAAGACACCCCAAAAAUAAUUCCGCCUCCUCCACCUCCCAAUCGUUUAGGGCUCUUGAAAAACAAGGGUUCCAACCCCCCCUACCCCCCUGCACCAAGGGAUCCCAAACAUCCGCCACCCAAGCUUCCUUUUCAAUCGAUAAGGCAUAGAGGGAAGGAAACGACUCACACAGAGGGGCAUCCCCACACCAUCUAUCCCUCCAAAACCUCACCCUCCUUCCAUUGCCAACACUAAAACAAAUCCGCGCACCCACCAAAUCCCAGUCCAUUCUUAUUCCCUUCCAAAGCCCCACGCCAUGCGCCUCUCUCACUUCCCGAGUGCACCAACCCCCUCUAUCUUCCCCAUACUUCCCUCUAAUCACUUGAUUCCACAAAGCCUCUCUCUCGUUUGCAAAACGCCAAUUCCUUUUAGAAAGGAGUACCUUAUUGAGAAUGGCAAGGCAUUUGAUCCCUAAACCCCCUUUCUUCUUGCUUAAGCACACCACCUUCCAUCUUACUAAAUGUGGUUUUCGCUCCAAACUGCCACCGCCCCAAAGAAAAUCCUUUUGGAUUUGCUCUAGUCUUCUUCUAACUGAACUUGGUAAUCUCAGGACAGACAUAUAGUAAAUGGGAAGAUUUGACAAAGUACUUCGGAUCAAGGUUGCUCUUCCUCCCUUGGAUAAGUAUUGUCUCUUCCACAUAGUCAAUCUUUUGCUGAACCGCUCUUCCACUCCAUCCCACACUGCCAUUGACUUAAACGGAGCACCCAAAGGAAGACCCAAAUAAGUGGACGGGAGACUACCCACUUUACAUCCAAAGUCCAAGGCAAGAUCAUCAAUAUCCACUACCCUCCCUACUGGAAUGAGUUCACUCUUGUCCAAGUUAAUUCUCAUCCCCGAAGCGACCUCAAACCACAUUAGCAGCCAACUUAGGUAAGUCAGCUGAUCUUGGGAGGCUUGGCAGAACACCAAAGUGUCAGCGGUAAACAACAAGUGUGAAAUCUGAAUCCCACCUUCAUUCCUUCCCUUCACCUGACAGCCCGAAAUAUAACCAUUGUCCACAACCCUUUUAAGGAACGAGCUGAAGACCUCCAUGGCAAUCAAAAAGAGAUAAGGCGAGAGAGGAUCACCUUGCCUUAAACCCCUUGAGCUUUGGAAAAAACCCUUAGGCGUUCCAUUAAUCAACACAGAGAAACUUGCAGUGGAUAUGCACCACUUGAUCCACUCUAACCAUUUCUCCCCAAAACCCAUUUUCUGCAUUACUGUAAGAAGAAAGGACCAAUCCACAUUGUCAUAUGCCUUCUCUAUGUCAAGUUUGCACAAGAUCCCAUUUUCAUUGUUCUUUAGAAUCGAGUUGAUGGCUUCAUUAGCUAUUAGCACCGCAUCUAGAAUUUGUCUCCCCUCCACAAAAGCCCCUUGAGCCUUAGAAACCACCUUUCCAACCGCUCUUUUAAGUCUAUUGGCUAAAACCUUAGCCAACCACUUGUAUAGGCUUUCCACUGAACUUAUGGGCCUGAAAUCCCUCAAAUCCUCAGCCCCCAUUUUUUUUGGGAUUAAAACCAAAAAAGUUGUAUUUAACCUUUUAACAAAUUUACCAUGUUCAUGAAACUCCCUAAAGAAUCUCAACACAUCUUCCUUCACAAAAUCCCAUGCAAACUGCCAAAAAGACAUUGUAAAUCCAUCAGGACCCGGGGCUUUGUCCCCACUACAACCUACUAGCGCACCGUGUACCUCUUCUUCCGUGAACGACACCUCUAAAGGCAUCAGCAUCCAGGUUCUGUAGCUGUUCACACUGCAGUCCAGCCAACGAAGGGCGCCAUUCCCCCGGAUUGGACGACAAGGUUCUAAAGGCAUUUACUAUCCCUUCACUCAUCCCAUUCUCCUCCGACUUCCAAACACCAUUAAUUCUUAUUCGUUCCAUGUUGUUUCUUCUCCUGUGAGCAUUUGCCAUCCUGUGGAAGAAGCUCGUAUUUCUGUCCCCUUCUUUCAACCACACUUCCCUAGAUUUUUGUCUCCAAGUAACCUCUUCUAAAAGAACCCAUUUUUUGUAUUCUUCCCUCGCCUCUCUUCUAGCCUCCAUCUCUUCCAACGUCAAUCGGCUUGUCUUCUCCUUUGCAUCCCAGAACUGCAUCUGAUCCAAAGCAACAUUUUUCCUAUACUCCACCUUGCCAAAAACGUCUCUGUUCCACUCCUUCAGUUUAGUCUUCACCACCUUUAGUUUUUCAGCCAGAACAAAGCUUGCAGCACCAUUAAAGUUAUCCCCCUCCUACCAGGCUUUCAAUAAAUCCUUAAACCCCUCCACCUUAAGCCACAUGUUCUCAAAUCUGAAAGGGGAUGGUCCAUUUCUCAAGCCCCCUCCUUCUAACAGAAUUGGGAAAUGGUCUGACACUGGUCUCAGUAGAACGCUUUGCCUUGAAUGGCUAAAACGGCAAUCCCACCCUUCAUUGACCAAGAUCUAUCUAGUCUUGAAAGGGUUUGGUUGUUCACCCCUCNCUCCAGUGAAAGGACCCCCAAACAGANNNNNNNNNNNNNNNNNNNNNNNNNNNNNNNNNNNNNNNNNNNNNNNNNNNNNNNNNNNNNNNNNNNNNNNNNNNNNNNNNNNNNNNNNNNNNNNNNNNNGGUUUGGUUGUUCACCCCUCCACUCCAAGUGAAAGGACCCCCAAACAGAGGCAAGUCCUUUAACUGUAAUUCUUCUAUUACAUCUGCGAAUCUUCUCAUAUCUGAAUUAAAGCUCCCUCCUCUACUACGCUCUUCAGGACUUAGGAUAGCAUUAAAAUCCCCAGCAACACACCACGGCCCAUUCCAAAGGCCGUAGAUGGCCCCCAGCUCAUUCCAAAGACUUUCCCUAUCUCUCCUCUUAGUCGGACCAUAAACCCCUGUGAAGGUCCACGUAAAGCCAUCCUCACAAUUUUUAAAAUGGCAGGAAAUUGAACAUUCUCCCUUUUCUAGCUCGAUCAUCUCCAGCACCCUAUUAUCCCAAAACACCACUAUGUCGCCCGCUGAUCCCCUUGAGUCCACAGUUCCCCAAUCUAAGAACCUUCCCACCCCUAUACUCCGAAUAAUCCCUCUUGUCAUCUCCUGUAUUUUUGUUUCCUGCAAACAAACCAAGUCCACCUUAUUCUUCUUAAUCAAGGCUUUAAUCACCUUUUUCUUGUCACAAUUAUUUGCCCCUCUAACAUUCCAAGAUAGAAUUCGGAUCUUCAUUUAAUUUUGGAAGAACUGCCCCCCCCCCCCCCCCCCCCCCUUCUCCUCCAAUGUAAUUCACGGUCCAUUCCAACUUCCUCAAUUCCCUUUCGAAUUUGGAGGAUUCCAUUUUUCUCUUUUUCCUACCAGCCAGGUUCCCCUUUUUCCCCUUCUGAAGUUUUCUUUCUUUCAUUCUUUUGAGCAGAAGCAGAAUCUCUCCUUCAAAGCCCUCCGUCGGCAUCCCGAGGCAUCGGCUGAACCUAGCCAAGCAACUGGACUGCCAACACUGCUCACCCACUUCGUUUCUCUCUUCCAUAAUUUCCUGAUUAUCCCAUCCCACCACUUUGUCUACCUCCUUUCCAACAGUCCCGAGAGCCAUCCCCGGCGACCCUAGGACCUCUGCCUCCCUUCCAUCCGCCAUAAUCAUCCUUAGAGGGUCCAUGUCUAUUCCCCGAAGUCACUGCCCCCAACUGAAUCGACAAUCAUCUCGUCCCACCCAGAAAGAGAAGAAGAAGAAUAGAGAACCCGCUCCCCAAACGAAAAAAACAUCCCGAGGACAAGAAGAUGUGUACCUGGCCGCCUCCUCCUUUAGAACUUCGUCGGUAAGCUCUUUGAAGUUACAACCCGGAGAGGACGAGCCCUGUAGGGCGCCGACCAAAACCCUAUCAGGCCACCCAUAUGCCUCCUCCCGACAAGCCUCGCGAGCCCUAACACCAGCGGGAACUAUGGGAUAAGAGAUGGGAUGCCCAAACCCAGCUGAGCCCUUAUGUGGAACCAACUGGGGGCGGCCCAUUUCUUUUGCAGGAAUAUUUGGUAAUGGGCCUAAAUGGGGCGGCCCACAUACCUCAAGUCGGUCCUCCUCAGUUGGCCCCUUCUGGGCUUUUGGCUUUGUCACUUUUAAAGGUGGGCCUAAGAGAUCCAGCCCACUAACUUCUUUGAUGGCCACCGGGAUCUCCUCACUGGGCCUCCUCUCCGCUUCUGAAUCCAGGACCCAGCCUGACCUACCAUUAGCUUUAACUGCAGGCCCAACUUUUGGCAAAUUCUCCCCACCAUCCUUCUGCCUCUCUGCCACUGCCCCUCUUGUCUGUAUCAUGUCAGAAGAAGUAGUCUCCAAGGCUGGUCUGCAGCUACUUUCUCCAUCUUCAGACGGCACUGCCAUCUUUUCAAGUUGUCCCUUUGCUUGCACCAUUUCCACCGCACAACCAGCGCGUGUCUUCCCCCCUUCUUCUUCCCUAACCUCCAACUUCUUCCCCGUCCCAAAUCUGCUAGCUGGAAUCACAUCAGUCACCCUUGGCAACAUCUCCCACCAAAGUUGAAUAGCGUAACAGGUAGUGCCGAUUACCACUUGCAGAGAGCUUGGCCCUUCUAUCCCCUCCAAUUUCACCAAUAUUCUGGCCCAUUGUAGCUCCUUUAAUGCACCGGUACUUUCAUCCACUGCAACAAAUCCCCCACAACAGUCUCCAAUCUUUUUAAACACUUCCCGGCUCCAGAGAUGCAGUGGUAAUCCCAUCACUCUCACCCAAACUUCCUUAACUUGUUCGCGACUCUGAGAACAUCCCACACUUGGGUCCCAUCUUUCCAAAUGUAUAACCGAUUCCUUAAAGCGCCGGAAGCCUCGUUGUAACACAUUAUUUGCCUCUGCUUUUAACUCAAACACAAUCAGAAAACAAAAGCCCCCCAUCCUUGCUAUCCUCAUUCCUCCUUGGAGUUUCCAGUGAUGUUUUCCCCACUUUUCCAUAUCUCUCAAGUUAGAAUCCAUAACCCCCGUCUCUCCCCAACUCCCAACCAAGCAGCGGUCCAAAAACUCCCUUCCUUUUGCCACAUCUUCUUCUCCCAGUUGAAUCCACACUGCCUCCCCUAGCCUUUUUUCUCUUGGAACUUCUCUUGUAUUCACUACUUCAACGUAGGAUUUCUCUUUCUUCCCCUAGAAGCCCCAACUUUGCUCUCAGUCUUAUGGGAUAUAUCUGCUUCCCUAGUCUCAUCUCUUGACAAUAUUCCUAUUGAGCGAAGUUUUUCAGCCAGCAAGGCCCAUCCUCCCAAAAAACCUUUACCUUCCGGGAACACCAAGCAAUGUCUCUUUGCUUCCGAAUCAACCACAGAACAUAAUAAAAACCUACCGGCAUCAUUUGUUCAACAUUCUAGUCUGAACUUCCUACCUCCAUCCUCCCACCUUUUUACAAAACUCUGCCCACCCUCACCCCUACAACUAGUCUCCACUCCCUCCAACAGCCAGCCCAAGCUGGACUCCCCAAAUCUGAUCCACGAAGUGAAGCCUCUGCUUCUUUCCACAAUAAUCCCCCUUUGUUUCUUCCCAAACACCUCCACAGAGAUUUCAAAAGUCUUUGAGUCUAUUGCAAACCAGCAGCUCCCACCUCUUUCCCCCCCCCCCCCUACCAUUCUACCUACCUAUCCACCAAUUAUAUAUUCACAUAAUAUAUAUAUAUACACACACGCACAUUGAAUUUUCCUUCUUUCUUUCUUUUUUUAACAGGCCUUAUGAUCAGGCCAAACAGUUGAGCCAGUUGAUCCAUGGGCUGUUGAUGAGCCAAAAGAGACUUUAGCUUGUCAUGCUCUUUGUUAGAAACCUGAAUUUUCCUAUUUGAGGUCUCUUGUAUAUAUUUAUGUAAUAUAUAGUUGUAAAUUAGAUUAGGAAAGUGUGUAUUAAGAAGAAUAAUCUCUGAUUUAUAAGGAUUGUCCUGAUUUAUAGGGAUUAUUAGUUUAUUUUUUUUCCUUAAAUUUCUUUGUAAAUAUAGGAUAUAAAUAGCUGAUUGAAUAAGAAUUUUUACCACUUUCUCCCACAUGGUAUCAGAGCCACUUUGACAGUCUUCAUCAGCCUUCAUUGCUGAUUUUAGUUCAAGUUUUUCAGCCUUCAUUUCUGAAGAUUUCAAGCCUAAUUCUUUCAGCCUUCAUUGCUGUGUGUUUUGUUUAUUUCUUUUUUCAUCUUUCAUCCGUUCUACCUGCAAUUUUUGGGAUUUCACCAUGUCUAAUAUGCUUGAGACUUUUGCCACACCCAUAGCUCUCUUUGGUGAAACUUUGCCUCAUCAAACCAUUGGAGAGUUAUAGAAUAUCAAUUCAGCGUAUCGGUUGAAUGGCUGAAACUAUCUCUAAUGGUCUCAACUAGUGCGAACUGUUUUGAAAGGGAAAGACAAACUAAGUCAUCUAAUCGGCAUAGGUCUAGGGCUUGAAGAUCCGAAGUUUAAUCAGUGGGAUGAAGAGGAUUCCAUGAUUAUGUCUUGGUUAUGGAAUUCUAUGUUGCCCAAAAUCAGUGGCAUUUGUAUGUUCCUCACCAUGGCUACAAAGAUUUGGGAGACAGUAAGACAAACUUAUUCUAAGGUACGUGAUGCGGCUUAGAUCUAUGAAAUUAAGCAAAAAAUUUCAACCACUAAACAGGGAACAAGAUCGGUGAUUGAAUAUUAUAAUCUCAUGAAAAGUCUUUGGCAAGAAAUGGAUUAUUACCAAAAUCUUCUAAUGAAAUGUAGUGAAGAUGCCACAAUGUUAAGAAGGUUUGUUGAUAGGGAGCGGAUUUUCAAGUUUCUUGUUGGCCUUAAUAUUGAAUUUGAUCAAGUUCGAGUUUUGUUGGAAAACCGAAACUGAUAUGAAAAGAAAUAACUUUGUAAAGCUGUAAAUUAUUUAUUAGUUGUCAAUUUUUGUAUUUUUAGGAAAGUAAUUAUUAGGAGUUAUUUAUUAGUUGUCAAUCUUUGUAUUUUUAGGAAAGUAAUUGUUAGGAGUUAUUCUUUCCUUUUAAUCAGUGAUUUAGUUUCCUAAUUUGAAGGAUUUGUAUAUGCUGUAAACUCUAUAAAAGAAUAAUCUCAAUGAAAGAAAAUUAUUCCCGUGAAACCCUAUUCUUCAACUUGGUAUCAGAGCUAGCAAUUUGCUUGCCGAAAUCCUCCUUUUUCCUCUCUUUCAAUCCCUGUUCUCUAAAACCAUGUCGGAUAUUUCAAACGAGUCCACUAUUGUUCCUCAACCUUCUCUGAACAAUCCCAUCAUCACUGAUUCUUCAAAAAUCAGUCCUACCACCUCGGAAUCUCACUCUGUCCAAAUCACCACAAUUCGCUUGAAUGGUGACAACUUUCUGAGAUGGUCUCAAUCAGUUUGGAUGUACAUCAGAGGACGUGGAAAGAUGGGCUACCUAACGGGUGAAAAGAAGGCUCCUACAGUGGAUGAUCCGAACUAUGCUAUAUGGGAUGCUGAGAAUUCCAUGGUGAUGACAUGGCUUGUGAAUUCUAUGGAAGAAGACAUUAGCUCUAAUUACAUGUGCUAUCCAACAACACAAGAGCUUUGGGAGAAUGUAAAUCAGAUGUAUUCUGAUUUAGGGAAUCAAUCACAGUUCUUUGAAAUUAACCCUCAAACUUGGUGAAAUACGACAAGGGGAGGACAACGUCACAAAGUACUUCAACUCCUUGAAGCGGAUUUGGCAAGACCUUGACCUUUUCAACACCUAUGAGUGGAAAUCUGCCGAGGAUGGACUUCAUCAUAAGAAGACCAUGGAAGACAAUCGGAUCUUCAAGUUCUUGGCUGGCCUUAAUGUCGAGUUUGAUAAGGUAAGGGGGAGAAUCAUUGGAAGACAACCCCUGCCUUCAAUUGGUGAAGUUUUUUCAAAAGUUAGAAGAGAAGAGAGUCGGAGGAAUGUGAUGCUGGGCAAGAAGGGACCUGGAGUUGCUAUUGAAGGUUCAGCCUUGGUUACCAUGGGUGGAGGCUAUAAUAAAGCUGCUGCGUUUCAGCGCAAAUCAGAUGAAAGACCACGGGUUUGGUGUGAUUUUUGCAACAAACCUCGCCAUACUCGUGAGAACUGUUGGAAAAUCCAUAGGAAACCUGCAAAUUGGAAAGGAAAAAUAGGUGACAAACCAGGCCGAGCCAUUAUUCCUACUGCUAAUGAGGUUGAGACCAACCCCUUCACCACUGAGCAAAUGGAGCCUCUUCUUGCACCGCUGAAAUCCAACUUCACAUUCGGUACUUCUAGUGUUUCUUUGGCACACACAGGUAAUGAAUUAUAUGCUCUAUCUUGUCGUUUUAAAUCUACUCCAUGAAUAAUCUACUCCACGAAGGGAAGAAGAUGAUGCAGUGAGAAAGGGGAAAGCUUCUGAGGUUCAGACGAGAGGCUCUACGAAGAAGGAAGAAAAGUUCGGUUCAAAGAAGCUGUGGACUACCCUUUUUCCUCCAAGUUUUGAUUGCCGACAAGGACUUCAAAGCCGCAGCAAGCCUCUUUUGCUUGGGAAGUCAUCGUCAGAUAGCGAAGAAUGUCAAAAGGAAGAGGAUUUUGGGGCGGGAUCUCAGAUGGAAUGAGGAUUUAGAGUGAGUCUUUUCUUUCACUGUCAAUCGUCAAGGUAUCGAAAUCAGUGUUCGGGGGAAGGGACCUCGUCGUCAAAAGGCGAAGCGGGUUUGCGCAAACCCCAUUUCGAAGAAGACAAAGACGGUUUUUUGGGCCAAGUGGGGUCCGAUCUUCGUGGUUCAUCAGUCACGCAUUUGCCUUCUAAUCCAAAAAUCAGAGGUAAAGGGGUCAACUUUAAGGGGAAUUGUGAAAUGUCGGUAGUGGAAAACAUGGAGGUAUUCCUGUCUUCACCUUCUCAGUCACCCGAGUCUUCUUCUCUUCCUUCUUGUGGCUUGGCACUUCCUUUGCCGAGUCCCUCUGGUCUAGAUCUUCCUAGUUCAAUCUCUCAUUCUCAGUCUCCUAUGGAAAACCGAGUAAUUUCUAAAAUUUUUUCUAAAAAAGACGUUGGCACUUUUUAUCAAAAAUAUGUUGGCAAUCCUAUCCGAGAUGAGGUGGAGGCCCAGUUUGCUUAUUCAAACCAGUUGUCCGAGGGUUUUAACCCUAGUAAGUCUAAACCCAAUCUGCCUAAGGAGGUUUCCAACCUGGUUUCAGUUAGCCAGGGUGAUACUGUGGUCUCCCCAUCAGGCGAGUUCCAAUUAGAUGGCCUGUCCCCUAGGAAAAUGGCUAAAGUGCGUGAGGUUUUAAGUUUUCUGGAUAUUAAGGUUUAUUCUAGGAGGAAGAGUAGAUGCUCCACAGGUAUGUGAGACUUGGUGGAACUGGUUUGGUGGUUUAGGGUCUGUGAGGUUUAUCCAUGAAAAUAAUAAGUUGGAAUACCAGGGGUUUGGGAUCAAGGAAUAAGGGAAGGGUGGUUAAAGAUUUUCUGAGGUCAGAGAAUUCGGAUGUUGUGAUGAUUCAGGAAACAAAAAAGGUGGAGUGUGAUAGAAGGUUCGUGGGUAGUGUUUGGACAGUUAGAAAUAAGGAAUGGGUUGCUCUUCUGACGUGCAGGGCUUCAGGUGGGAUUUUGAUUAUUUGGGACUCUAAAAAUCUGCGCAGUGAGGAGGUGGUGAUAGGAUCCUUUUCGGUCUCAGUCAAGUUUGCUUUGGAUGGUUGUGGACCUUUUUGGCUAUCCACAAUUUAUGGCCCAAACAACCCCUCAUUUAGGAAGGAUUUUUGGGUGGAGCUUUUAGACAUUUUUGGCCUAUUUUUCCGUUAUGGUGUGUGGGCGGUAAUUUUAAUGUCAUAAGGAGAAGUUCAGAAAAAUUGGGUGGUUCUAGUUUAACUUCAAGCGUGAAGGACUUUGGUGGUUUUAUAAGAGAAUGUGAAUUGCUUGAUCCACCUUUACGGAACGCAUCAUUCACUUGGUCAAACAUGCAAGAGUCCCCCGUGUGUAAGAGAUUGGAUAGUUUUCUUUACUCAAAUGAGUGGGGGCAUUUCUUUCCUCAAAGCCUUCAAGAAGCUCUUCCUAGAAGGACAUCGGAUCAUUGGUCGAUUAUUUUGGAUACCAAUCCAUUCAAGUGGGGCCUAACUCCUUUUAGGUUUGAGAAUAUGUGGUUGCAACAUCCUAGUUUCAAGGAGAGUUUUAGAAGUUGGUGGAGAGGUUUUCAAGGAAAUGGGUGGGAAGGUCACAAGUUCAUGAGAAGAUUACAAUUUGUUAAAGCUAAAUUGAAAUAGUGGAAUAAGGUUUCUUUUGGAGAGCUAAAUGAAAGGAAAAAAAGCAUCCUCAAUGAUAUAGCUAACUUUGAUGCCAUUGAGCAAGUAGGGGGUCUCACUUCUGAACUUUUAGUUCAAAGAGCCUUAAGAAAAGGGGAGCUAGAGGAAUUAAUUUUGAGGGAAUAAAUUUAUUGGAGACAAAAAGCUAGGGUGAAAUGAGUUAAGGAAAGGGAUUGUAACUCAAAAGUUUUCUCAUAAAGUGGCUAAUGGUAGACAAAAUAGGAAAUUUAUUAAGGCAUUGGAGAAUGAAAGUGGCUUAGAGUUGAAUAAUCCCGAGAGCAUCACAGAGGAGAUUUUACUGUACUUUGAAAAGCUCUACGUGAGUCCUAUUGGAGAGUCUUGGAGUGUUGAAGGUUUAGAUUGGUCCCCUAUUUCGGAAGAGAGUGCGUCUAGGUUGGACUCCUUUUUCACUGAAGAAGAGAUUUCUAAGGCCAUUUUUCAGUUGGAUAGGGAUAAGGUGCCGGGGCCUGAUGGUUUUACCAUUGCAGUAUUUCAAGAUUGUUGGGAUGUGAUCAAGGAGGAUUUAGUGAGAGUGUUUGCAGAGUUUCACAGAAGCGGGAUUAUCAAUCAAAGCACUAAUGCCUCCUUCAUAGUUCUAUUACCCAAAAAAAGCUUGACAAAGAAAAUUUCAGACUUUAGACCUAUUAGCUUGAUCACUAGUCUCUACAAGAUAAUAACCAAAGUGCUUUCAAGGAGUAUAAGAGGGGUACUACAUGAAACCAUCCAUUCUAGUCAAGGCUCUUAUGUUCAAGGGAGACAAAUAUUGGAUGCGGUUCUCAUAGCCAAUGAGAUAGUGGAUGAGAAAAGACGAUCAGGGGAGGAAGGAGUCGUCUUCAAAAUUGACUUUGAAAAGGCUUACGACCAUGUAAGUUGGGAUUUUUGGGAUCAUGUGCUGGAGAAGAAGGGGUUUAGUCCUAGAUGGAGGAAAUGGAUGAGUGGUUGUUUGUCCAUGGUAUCUUAUGCAGUCUUGGUGAAUGGAAAUGCUAAAGGGUGGGUUAAGGCAUCUAGAGGCUUAAGACAAGGCAACCCUUUAUCCCCUUUUAUGUUCACUUUAGUCGUAGAUGUACUGAGCAGGAUGUUAUUGAGAGCAGAGGAAAGAAAUUCGUUGGAGGGUUUCAGGAUAGGUAAGAAUAGAACUAGGGUGUCCCAUUUGCAAUUUGCAGAUGAUACCAUUUUCUUUUCUAACACUAGGGAGGAAGAAUUGUAGACUCUCAAGAGUCUACUGCUAGUGUUUGGGCAUAUUUCUAGGCUCAAGGUCAACCUUGACAAGAGUAAUAUUUAUGGCAUCAAUCUUGAUCAGAAUCAUCUUUCUAGGUUGGCAGAGUUGCUUGAUUGCAAGACUUCUGGUUGGCCUAUACUCUAUCUGGGUCUUCCUUUGGGAGGGAAUCCUAAGACUUGUGGCUUUUGGGAUCCCAGUGAUUGAGAGGAUCUCGAGAAGAUUUGAUGGGUGGCAAAAGGCUUAUUUAUCUUUUGGAGGAAGGGUAACUCUUGUCCAAUCUUGUCUCACCCACAUGCCCCGUUACUUCCUUUCCUUGUUUAAGAUACCCGUUUCAGUGGCUACAAAAAUUGAGAGAUUGCAAAGGGAUUUUUUAUGGUCAGGGGUUGGGGAAGGUAAAAGAGAUCAUCUAGUUAGUUGGGAUGUAGUGUGUAACCCGACGGCAAAAGGGGGAUUGGGAUUUGGGAAGAUUUCUCUAAGGAAUCUUGCGCUCUUAGGGAAAUGGUUGUGGAGGUACCCUAGAGAGGGUUCAGCUCUAUGACAUCAGGUUAUUUUAAGCAUUUAUGGAUCACACUCUAAUGGUUAGGAUGCUAACACUAUUGCACAAGUCUUUCAGGAGUUUUCCAAGUUUACUCGGUUUGUGGUAGGAGAUGGGGAAAGAAUUCGGUUCUAGGAAGAUUUGUGAUGGGGGGACCAACCUUUGGGAUCCCAAUAUCUAAGACUAUUUGGAGUAGUCUUGGAUAAAAAUAUUUCUAUUUCUUCAAUUCUUGAUUCUACUCGCCCUUUCUCUUGGAACUUUAAUUUCCAUCGUAACCUUUCCGAUUCUGAGAUAGAAGAUUUAGAAGGUCUCAUGCGGUCUCUUGAUGGUUUGCAUUUAUCACCUUCGGUUUUAGAUGCGAGAUCUUGACCUUUAUCUUCUUCAGGGCUUUUCUCAGUCAAAUCUUUCUUUUUAGCCUUAUCCCAAUCUUCUAGUUCUCCUAUAGUUUUCCCCACUAAGUUCGUUUGGAAUUCUCAAGUCCCUUUCAAAGGCAAGUCCUUUGUUUGGUUAGUGGCACACAAGAAGGUAAAUACUAAUGACUUGCUACAAUUGAGAAGACCCUACAAAGCUUUUAGUCCUGAUAUUUGUAAUCUAUGCAUGAAGCAUGGAGAAUCAGUAGAUCAUCUUUUCCUACAUUGCUCUUUCACGAUGGGGUUGUGGCACAGAUUAUUUCAGUUAGCCAACUUGGAUUGGGUCCCCCCGAGGAGCAUCUUUGACAUGUUGUCCAUCAAUUAUAAUGGUUUUAGUUUAUCUAAGAGAGGGAUAGUUUUGUGGUAAGUUGCGAGCUUCGCUUUAAUUUGGGUUGUAUGGCGAGAAGGAAACUCGAGGAUUUUUGAGGAGAAAGCAAGGAAUUCAGAGUAUCUUUGGGAUUCUAUUCAUUUCCUUGCUUCUCUUUGGGCUUUCUGUUUCAAGGUUUUUAAGGGGAUUCCCCUUAAUGGAUUGGGUCCCCCCGAGGAGCAUCCUUGACAUGAUGUACAUCAAAUUUAAUGGAUUUGGUUCGUCUAAGAGGGGGAUAGCCUUGUGGCAAGCUGCAAACAUCGCUCUUAUUCAGAUUGUGUGGAGGGAAAGAAAUGCGAGAAUUUUUGAGGAUAAAGCAAGGAAUUCAGAGUUUCUUUGGGACUCUAUUGUUUUCUUUGCUUUUCUUUGGGCUUAUUAUUCCAAGGUUUUUAAGGGGACUCCCCUUAAUGUGAUACAACUUGAUUGGAUAGCAGUGUGUACUCCAUAAGGAGUGGUCUUUUUAAAAGUGUUUGCUUGUUUUUCAGUGUAUUUUUCUAUAGUUUAGCUUUCUUUGGCAGGAGGAUUCCUCAUCCUUCUUUUGUACUUAUUUUUAUCUAUCAAUAAAUCUUUGUGUCGUUUCCAAUAAAAAAAAGAGGAUUCCCCUUAAUGUGUUACAACUUGACUGGUUAGCGGUGUGCAAUUCAAAAGGGUUGGUUUAACCUAGAGAGUUUGUUUGUUUUUUCUAUGUAUUUUCUUGUUUUUGUUUUCUUGUAGUUUAGUUUUCUUUGGUGGGAGGAUUUCUCAUCCUUCUCUUGUACUUCUUUUUUCUUUCAAUAUAUCCCUUUGUCGUUUCCUAUAAAUAAAAAAUAAAAAAAAAAUCUGAUGAGAGUGCGUCUAGGUUGGACUCCCCUUUUACUGAAGAAGAGAUUUAUAAGGCCAUUUUUCAGUUGGAUAGAGAUAAGGCACCGGGUCCUGAUGACUUUACCAUUGCAGUGUUUCAAGAUUGUUGGGAUGUGAUCAAAGAGGAUUUAGUGAGAGUAUUUGCAGAGUUUCACAGUAGCGGGAUUAUCAAUCAAAGCACUAAUGCCUCUUUCAUACUUCUGUUGCCCAAAAAAAGCAUGACAAAGAAAAUCUUAGACUUUAGACCUAUUAGCUUUGAUCACUAGCCUUUACAAGAUAAUAACCAAAGUGUUAUCAGGGCAUCUAAGAGGGGUACUACAUGAAACUAUUCAUUCUACUAAGGCGCGUUUGUUCAAGAGAGACAAAUAUUGGAUGCAGUUCUCAUAGGCAAUGAGAUAGUGGAUGAGAAAAGACGUUCAGGAGAGGAAGGAGUUGUAUUCAAAAUCGACUUUGAAAAGGCUUACGACCAUGUGAGUUGGGAUUUUUUGGAUCAUGUGUUGGAAAAGAAGGGGUAUAGUCCUAGGUGGAGGAAAUGGAUGAGAGGUUGUUUGUCCACGGUAUCUUUUGCAGUCUUAGUGAAUGGAAAUGCUAAAGAGUGGGUCAAGGCGUCUAGAGGUUUAAGACAAGGCAACCCUUUGUCCCAUUUUUUGUUUACUUUAGUCGCAGAUGUACUGAGCAGGAUGUUAUUGGGAGUAGAGGAAAGAAAUUCGUUGGAGGGUUUCAGGGUGGGUAGGAACAGUAUAAGGGUGUCCCAUUUACAAUUUGCAGAUGAUACCAUUUUCUUUUCUAACACUAGGGGGGAAGAAUUGUAGACUCUCAAGAGUCUAUUGCUAGUGUUUGGGCAUAUUUCUAGGCUCAAGGUCAACCUUGACAAGAGUAAUAUUUAUGGCAUCAAUCUUGAUCAGAAUCAUCUUUCUAGGUUGGCUAAGUUGCUUGAUUGCAAGGCUUCUGGUUGGCCUAUACUCUAUUUGGGUCUUCCUUUGAGAGGGAAUCCUAAGGCUUGUGGCUUUUGGGAUCCAGUGAUUGAGAGGAUCUCGAGAAGAUUAGAUGGGUGGCAAAAGGCUUAUUUAUCGUUUGGAGGUAGGAUAACUCUUAUCCAAUCUUGCCUCACCCACAUGCCUUGCUACUUCCUUUCCUUGUUUAAGAUACCUGCUUCAGUGGCUGCAAAAAUUGAGAGAUUGCAAAGGGAUUUUUUAUGGUCAGGGGUUAGGGAAGGUAAAAGAGAUCAUCUAGUUAGUUGGGAUGUAGUAUGUAAGUCGAAGGCAAAAGGGGGUUUGGGAUUUGGAAAGAUUGUUCUAAGGAAUGUCGCUCUCUUAGGGAAAUGGUUGUGGAGGUACCCUAGGGAGGGUUCAGCUCUAUGGCAUCAGGUUAUUUUAAGCAUUUACGGAUCAUACUCUAAUGGUUGGGAUGCCAACACCAUAGUCAGAUGGUUACAUCGUUGUCCUUGGAAGGCUAUUGCACAAGUCUUUCAGGAGUUUUCCAAGUUUACUUGGUUUGUGGUAGGAGAUGGGGAAAGAAUUCGGUUCUGGGAAGACUUGUGGUGGGGGGAUCAACCUUUGGGAUCCCAAUAUCCAAGACUAUUUAGAGUAGUCACGGAUAAAAAUAUUCCUAUUUCUUCAAUUCUCGGAUCUACUCGUCCUUUAUCUUGGAACUUUAAUUUUCGCCGCAACCUAUCCAAUUCUGAGAUAGAAGAUUUAGAAGGCCUCAUGCGGUCACUAAAUUGUUUGCAUUUUUCAUCUUCGGUUUUAGAUGCGAGAUCCUGGUCUUUAUCUUCUUCAGGGCUUUUAACAGUUAAAUUUUUCUUUCUUGCCUUAUCCCAAUGUUCUUGCUCUCCUCCAGUUUUCCCUACUAAAUUCGUUUGGAAUUCUCAAAUCCCUUUCAAAGUCAAGUCUUUUGUCUGGUUGGUGGCACAUAAGAAGGUAAAUACUAAUGACUUGCUACAAUUGAAAAGACCCUACAAAGCUCUUAAUCCUGAUAUUUGUAAGUUAUGCAUGAGGCAUGGAGAAUCAGUAGAUCAUCAUUUCCUACAUUGUUCUUUGAUGAUGGGGUUAUGACACAGAUUAUUUCAAUUAGCCAAGAUGGAUUGGGUUCCCCUGAGGAGCAUUUUUGACAUGCUGUCCAUCAAUUACAAUGGUUUUGGUUAAUCUAAGAUAGGGACAGUUUUGUGGCAAGCUGCGUGCAUAGCUAUAAUUUGGGUUGUGUGACGGGAAAGAAACGCGAGGAUCUUUGAGGAUAAAGCAAGGAAUUCAGAGAAUCUUUGGGAUUCUAUUCAUUUCCUUGCUUUUCUUUGGGCUUUUUGUUCCAAGGUCUUUAAGGGGACUCCACUUAUUGUGUUACAACUUGAUUAGCUAGCGGCGUGUAAUUCUUUUGGGUUGGUCUAGUCUAUAGUGUUUGUUCGUUUUCACAUUGUAUUUUCUUGUUUUCAUACUCUUGUAGUUUAGUUUUCUUUGGUGGGAGGAUUUCUCAUCCUUCUCUUGUUCUUCUUUUUUCUAUUAAUAUAUUCCUUUGUCGUUUCCUAUAAAAAAAAAUAUAAAAAAAUGAUUGUACUUGUGUUACUUGGAUCUUCCUUUUAAAACAAAAGUUGGAUGUGAGCAUUUUUUUUCCAAAUUACCAUAAUAUGGUCAAAAAUCAAUUUAGGGUGUCAAUUAAAUGGGUUAGAUCGGAUAAUGCAAAGGACUAUUUCAAUCAAACACUUUCAUCUUAUUUUCAAAAAGAGGGAAUUAUUCAUGAGUCUUCAUGUGUCGAUUCACCCUAACAAAACGGAGUAGCUAAGAGGAAAAAUGGUCACCUACUAAAUGUUACUAGGGCUCUCCUAUUCCCAAAAAAUGUUCCAAAAACCUAUUGGGGGGAGGUUGUUCUUACAAUUGCUCUUUAAAAAAUAGGGUUCCUUCUCGAGUUUUGGGUUUAAAGGAUCCUAUGGAAAUGUUCACAACAUUUUUUCCUUAGUUCAAUACAUCGAGUAAGCUUCCUCCUAAAGUGUUUGUGUGUCCCGUGAUUGUUCAUAUUCAUGCUCAUCAUCAAGGAAAGUUGGAUUCAAGAGCAUUAAAGUGUGUUUUUGUUGGAUAUUCAUUAACACAGAAAUGGUAUAAAUGUUUCCAUCGUCCAACUAAUUGUUUUUUUUUGUUUCCAUGGAUGCCACUUUUGUAGAAACAAAGGGAUAAUUUUCAGUUCCUUAUCUUUAGGGGGAGACACAAUCUAUGAAAGAUAAGGACAUGUUCUUGCUUGAGUUCCCUAACUCUUCCCCAUCCGAACUUUCAAAUACCCCAUCCAAACCUUCAAAUGGAACCCAAAAAGAGUUCAGAAGUCAUGAAAAAGGUCCAAAAAUUUCUAGCACACCUCAAAUAGCUACAACAAUCCCAAAAAUAGUUGAAACCUGCCCUAUUUUAGAUAUUGGAACAACAGAAAAGGAGUCGGAACCGAUUGCUACAAAGCCACUACAAGUUUAUUCAAGGAGGAGGGUGACUAAACGUAGACCCAUGCAAGUCCAAACAUUUGAACCAACUCUUGGAAACGAGGAACACAAUUAUAUUGCUCCUUUUGACUCACAUGAUGAUGUUGACAAUGUUGAUCUUCCUAUUGUCAUUAGGAAAGGUACACGUAAAUGCGUGCAACACUCAUUGUCCAAUUUUGUGUCAUUUGGAAAAUUCUCACCAUCUCAUAAAACUUUUCUUACCCAAAUAAAUUCCAUACCAAUUCCACAAACCUCAACCAAGGCACUUGGUAAUGAGAAAUGGAAACAAGCUAUGAAAGUCGAGAUGGAAGCAUUGGAGAAGAAUGAGACUUGAGAAAUUAUGGAGUUACCAAAAUGGAAGAAAGUAGUGGGUUGCAAGUGGGUAUUUACAGUUAAAUAAAAGACUGAUGGAUCCCUUGAAUGAUAUAAAGCAAGGCUGGUUGCAAAGGGAUACACACAAACAUAAGGAGUGACUAUCAAGAAACUUUUGCACAGGUAGCAAAGAUGAAUAUGAUGAGAAUUUUAUUAUAUUUAGCAGCUCAUUUUGAUUGGAAUUUGCAUCAAUUUGAUGUAAAAAAUGCCUUUCUCCAUGGUGAAAUUGAUGAAGAAAUCUAUAUGGGAGUUUCUUCUGGUUUUGGGGCAAGUUUAGACAAGAAUAAGGUUUAUAGGUUGAAGAAGGCCAAUUAUGGAUUGAAACAAUCUCUUAGAGCAUGGUUUGGAAGAUUUACAAAAGUUAUGUUAUCUCUAGGGUUUAAACAAAGCCAAGGAGAUCACACUUUGUUCAUUAAACAUUUCGAUUCAGGGAGGGUUACAACAUUACUAGUAUAUGUUGAUGACAUAAUCGUGAUCGGGAAUGAUUGAAAAGAAAAAGAGGCACUUCGGCAAUGUCUUGCAAAGGAGUUUGAGAUAAAGGAUUUGGGCAAAGUACAGUACUUUUUGCGAAUUGAAGUGGCAUGGUCAAAAGAGGGUAUUUUUGUAUCACAACACAAAUAUAUCCUUGACUUACUUAAGGAGACGGGAAAGCUUGGAUGUAAACCGAUUGAGACUCCAAUUGAAGCAAAUCAUAAGCUUGGGGAAGCAUUGGAAGACAAAGGAGUGGAUCGAGGUAUGCAUUAAAGGUUAGUGGGAUGAUUGGUUUACUUGUCACACACAAGACCAGAUAUUGCCUAUGCCGUGAAUGUAGUGAGCCAAUUUAUGCAUAAUCUGAAGGAGGUCCACUUACAAGCUAUCUAUAAGAUUUUACAGUAUCUUAAAGGUAGCUCAGGAAUGGGAAUUCUCUUCAGAAAAGGUACGGAUUUGUUCCUUGAAGCUUAUACGGAGGUUGACUAUGUUGGAUCAAUGGUAGGCAAAAGAUCAACAUCAGGUUACUGCACCUUUCUUGGAGGAAACUUAGUAACUUGGAGGAGUAAAAAACAACCAAUGUUGCAAGGUCUAGUGCAGAGGCAAAGUUUAGAGCUAUGGCACAAGGGAUUUGUGAGCUAUUAUGGCUUAAAAUUAUUCUUGAGCGCCUACGGAUUAAAUGGGAAGGACCCAUGAGGUCAUAUUGCGAUAACAAAUUAGCUAUAAACAUUGCUCAUAAUCUGGUACAAUAUGACUGGACAAAGCAUGUUGAGGUUGAUAGACACUUCAUGAAGAAAGUUAGGAAGUGGGUUAAUUUGCACUUCGCUUGUGUUGUCAGAUAGACAACUUGCAGAUAUUUUGACCAAGGGUUUGAUGAGCACAACAUUUCAAGCAAAUAUAAGCAAGUUGGGUAUGGAUAAUAUCUAUUCACCAGCUUGAGGGGGAGUGUAAGAAAUCUAAAUUUUCCUAUUUGAGGCCUCUUGUAUAUAUUUAUGUAAUAUAUAGCUGUAAAUUAGAUUAGGAAAGUGUGUAUAACUAUAAAUCAGAUUAUGAAGAAUAAUCUCUGAUUUUUAAGGAUUGUCCUGAUUUAUAGGGAUUAUUAAUUUAUUUUUUUUCCUUAAAUUUCUUUGUAAAUAUAGGAUAUAAAUUUGGAUUGUAACAGUUGAUUGAAUAAGAAUUUUUUACCACUUUCUCCCACACUCUCCAGGGUGGUUAAUACUCAUUGCAAUGUCACUAAAAUAGCCUAGGUUGUUGAUCCACUUUGACCAGACACUCUGAUUCUAAAUGGAAUCUUUUUAACUGAGAGAGAGAGAGAGAGAGUGGAGAUUCUGUCUCUCGUUAUUUUAUAUCAAUGCUCAUUAUAUUUCUAUCAAUGCCCGAUACCUUUAUAAAAGGUGAUUCUGUCUCUCGUUAUAUUUAUAUCAAUGUCCAAUACCUUUAUAAAAUUCAUUUUUUUCCUCUCAUUUACAAAAUUAUUAUUACUUUGUUCCUUUUUUCCAUUCUAUCUCACACUAUAUUUAUCUCAGCAUCCCAAUACCUUUACAAAAUUCAUUUUUUUCCAUCCUUAUCUGUGCUUAAAUAUGAUGCAUCAUAAAAAUAUUAUGGUACAAGAAAGCAUUCCCUUGCCUUACGAAAUUUAUAUGUUUUUGUUUCCUCAUUUUACCUUAUCUUUGUUUGGCAGAUGGUUUAUGUUUUGUCUAUUUACAACAAGAAAGAGAAGAACCAUCAAAUCAUGGUGCGUGGUUUUUCCAUUCCUUUUCUGUAAAAGUAGUAAAGAUAAUAUCUCUGAUGUCUUUCUUUCUCUUUACAGAUUUUUGGUUAGUGAAGUCAGAUUAAGUGGUUUACGUCAUUCACAUUCUAUUAACUCUCUUUUACUGCACAUUUUUAAUGAAGUAUCCAUAUCAUGUUGUUGUUCUAAGAAAACUUGAUUAUUUUAGUUGUGCUGAAAUUUUUGGGAUAUAUUUUUCUUUACACACAUAGUUAUUUAAUUUUUUCCCCUUUUUUCUUCUUUUCCUAGCAUGGUAUGCAUAUCCUCUAUCCAAGGCUAGCUUAGUUUUUUGAUCUUUUGGGUUGCAAUCUACCAACAUUGAUCUCCCAAAGUUUGAAGCUAUCAGCUCUCUUUGUAAAGUCUCAAAAUAUCUUCUCGUGUAUCAAUCUGCGAACAUUGGUUUAAACUGUGAAUCUCCCUCUGAAAUAUAUAUACAGAGAAAAAUUCCACCAGUAUUUUGUCAUUUUUGUUGUUGUUUCCCAGUGCUGUUGGCUGUUUAUUCAAGUUUUUGCCCUUUCUCACACUUGACAAGGUUUUGUCCUUUUUGCACAUCUGGAAUAUAUUUUUGUUUCUCCUUUAGAAACUAGGAUGAAACAACUCAACAAUGAAGCACUUCACAUAAUUAAGCAUGGAGUCCACAUAAAAAUAUUUUUACUGCAAUCAGCAUGUCAAAUUUUAAGUGGGGAAUCGGCCUCUGCAAUUUCUGAAGUGAGGAUUGUUUGUCAGAAUGUCAUAUGGCUUAUUUUCUUGUCUCCUUUAUUAUCAUGUUUUGUUCUAAUGUCAUUAUGUUUGCAUAUUGAAAGCUGAAAUUUAAUGGACUAUGAAUCUUUGAUGAAGAAAAUUAUUGAAGCGAUGUUCUUUGUUCCAGAUGGCAGCAUUCAAUAUCCAGGAGGCAUUAAUCUGGAAAGAAAAAAUUGAGGCUGUAAUUGAUCAGGUCCGUUUCCUUCAAAUUUCAUGACACUAGAAUCCUUUCUCAUUCAUUCCCCUCCCUCUCCCCCCUCUCUCUCUCUGUCUCCCUCUCCCUCUCUCCCUCUCUUGUUUAAUAAAAAACACAAACACAUGAGUGAUAAUGAGUUGUGUCACUGUAGUGGAUGUUUUUCUCAAAAAUUGUUGCUUCCCAUUCAUUACUUGGGUCAAAACAAAAUUGUUGCUUCCCAUCCAUUACUUUGGUUAAUGGCCAUUAGAUCUGCAAGCAUAUUGAUCUACAGCAUAGUUACAGGUCUUGUUUGGCAUUUUAUAUAAAUCUGUAAGAUUCUGUUAAUUAGACAGGCAACUGUAUUCAGGACUGAUUAUGUAUUGAUGGUGUUCAGCAUCAGGACUCACAAGUUGCAAAUGGAAAUAAAUAUAUUUCAUUUGAAUAUAAAUCUGGGAUGGAUAAUGGAAGGGCUGCUUCCUCAUCUGACCAUGAAAGUCAGUAAGUACCAAUUUUAACUUUAUUUAUUAUCUGCUUGUGGUUAUAAGUGUGUGGAUGCUAGUGAAAAAUGCUGUCAUGUUCUGAACCAUAUCCACAGUAUAUUUUCAUUUCUUUCCUUUAUGCUGCAAAGUUUGGAAUCUCUCCACAGGUAAACAUUUUCCAAUCCUGAUAAAUUUUUAGGGUUAAUUGGUUAAAGGGGUCAAAAUAACCCCCAUAUUUGCAAAUAUAACCCACUAGUCAAAAAGCAAAAAAAUUGACCUGAUCGAGACAAAAAUGCCCUUCUUAUUUUUUCUCUCCAACACAUACAACUUCUCAUUUCCCCUUUCCCCCUCAUUUUUCCCUCCAAGACAACUUUCCCUUUCCCUUUGUUUUAUAGUAGAUUAGGUUCUAAUUUUUUUAUUCGGUCAAUGGUUGCUCUUCUCUCUCUUUUCCUGUGGAGAUCAAGUUUAACUUCUUACGAUUGUUUCAUCUAUUCUUCAUUCUUGGUCACGAAAAUAUGAAAAAAAUGUAAGCAACCAACAAUUUCUUUUUUAUAAUAUUAAUUUAUUUCUUUCUGUUUCUUGAAAAUUCAAAAUCUCACUUCAACAUUAUAGGUAAAAAAUAGAGACUCCAUUGUUAGUUCUGAACAAGUGAAAAGUUCGUUCAAAGAAUUUUCACUUGAACUUAACAGUAGUUGAGUUGCAUUAACAAAGAACUUAACCACAAUUAAGUUCACAGUCAGAAUUUUCACCUGAACUUAACAGUAGUUGAAUUGCAUUAACAAAGAACUUAACCAUAGUUAAGUUCACAGUAAGAUAUUUCACCUGAACUUAACAAUAGUUGAGUUUCAUUAACAAAGAACUUAAGCACAGUUAAGUUCACAAUCACUGUUUCACAAUAGUUGGGAUUUUUGCUCACUAGCUUCGCUUUCCUUUGCUUCACUUUCUUCUGCUUCACUUUUUUCUUCUGUUCGCUUUAGUCUUGUGUAACCAAUUUAAUCUAAUUCUGUUCUAUCCAUCUAAAUUUGUAUGGAAAUCUAAUUUCCCAUCUAUGCUCAAGACAUUUUCUUGGCUAAUGGCACACAAGAAAGUGUACACAAAUGGCAUGCUACAAUUGAGAAAAUCCUACAAAGCCCUUAGUUAUGAUGUUGGCUUAUUGUGUAUGGAGAGUGGAGAAAUGAUGAAUCAUCUUUUCUUACUUUGUUUGUUGACUUUGGGGCUAUGACAUAUAGACUUUCCAGAUCAGCUAACUUGGACUAGGUUCCUCCUAGGAGCAUUUGUGACAUGAUGAUCAUCUCAUAUAAGGGAUUGGGAAGCUCCAUUAGAGGCAACGUUCUUUGGCAAACCACUUGUCUCACAUUUAUUUAGGUUGUUUGGUGGGAAAAAAAAUGGGAGGAUUUUUUAAGGCAAGGUGAGGACUUCAAAGGCUCUUUGGGUUAUCAUUCAUUUCUUUUCCUCCUUUUGGGCCGCUUUCCAAAUCCCCUUCCAUCUUGGGCUUGCACACUAUGUCUCAGCUAAUGAGAUGAUCUCUUUUCCUCCCCUAUCCAUGACCAUAGAAAAUCCCUUUGCAUUUUUUCAAUCUUUGUUGCUACUACUAUACAAUGAAAGGAAAUAAUUAGGAAUGUGAGUCAAGCAAGACUAGAUUACGGUAAUUCUUCCACCUAAAGACAAAAAAACUUUUUUCCAACCAUUUGAUCUUCUCUAAAUUCGGUAUUCUUGAUCCUAAAAGACACUAGCCUUUGGAUAGACCCGAAUAGGUUAUUUAGCCAUUCAUAAACCUUAUAUUUGAGCAUCGAAGCUGGCCUAGAAAUCUGAUUCUAACUCAUGUUGGAAAUUAUGUUUCUUAUAGACUUAAUCUACUUCAUUUGCACUUAUGCCAAUCAUUGAUAUGUGUUUAUAAAUCUGUGUUUGUGAUCGAUGUUUUUGUAAGUCUUUGGUGAUUUGGGAGAAAACCAGAACAAUUAAGUUAGUUGUUUUGAGAAUUCAUAAAUCUCCUCCCUCAAAAGAAAAAGAAAGACGUUCUUAGAGUUGUGGAAAGGACUAAUCUGGGGAGGAAGUUAGUGAUGAUAAAAAAGUGUGGUUAUUGUUAUUGUACUGGAAGUGUAUAAAGCUAUCACUUCUCAUAGAAAGACUAACAUGAGAACAAGGAACAAGAAGAAAAAUAAAAAGAAAAGACUUAAUAUAUUUUGUUUUACGAUACCGUGUUUUAUUUAAACAAGGAAAAGGCACCUAGGUCUAAUAGAUUCACCAUUACAAUGUUUCAGGAGUGUUGGGAUGUGAUUAAGGAUGAUUUUUUUCCAUGUACUUCCUCGAAAGUUUUUCUGAUUGUGUUGCUGUGAAUUCUACAAUUUGGUUUGAUACUUUUUUUUUUCUCUAGGAUUCAUUGAUAUUACUUAUGUUGAACAUAUUAUUUAGAUUACUCCACCUUUUUCUCAAAACAUCUUAGAUUGGGAAUAUUCCUCAUCCAUUUGAAAUUUCUGUAUAGGUUUAGUGCAGAGGAUGAUGAAGAAGAUACUCAUCGUGCUUUGGUUCGGAGAAAAACAAUUGGAAAUGGUUGUCUUUGAUUCCCUUUAUUUCUUGAUUCAUAACUGGUUCAGUAUAAUUCCUGUUUGAGUCUCAUCAUCUUCCUUUAACUGGCAGAUUUUCCUGACUCAGUGUUUGACUGGACUCGAGAAAUGGAUUCAGAAUUGUUAAACCAGGAUAUCAACAAUCAAGCCUUUUCCUCUGAUCAAAAAAAAGAAAAAAACAAUCAAGCCUUCCCCAAAAAGCAUUGGCGUCUUCUCCAAUGCCAAAAUGGUAAAUCAUUUUUGCAGCCAUUUGCAUUAUUUUUUCUGUUUAACACAGAGAUGAUAAUCAAGGAAUCAAGAUAACCUAUCCAGGGAGGGAAGUUAGACAAUUGAGUAACUGGCUAUCCCAUAAUUAAAUCCAUGAAUAAUUACAUUUCGUCUGGAUAAUUGCAGGACUUCGAAUUUUUGAAGAGCUUCUUGAAGUUGAUUACCUUGUAAGGCAUUGUUUCUUUAUUUCAUUCUACAGCCGUCUCAUGAUUUUGCUUUUGCAGUAGGCUAUUUCUCAUCAACGUAACAUGUACCUUUCCUUUUUGCAGCCAAGGAGCUGUAGUAGAGCAAUGAAAGCUGUAGGGGUUGUGAAGGCAACCUGUGAAGAAAUAUUUGAGCUUGUAAUGAGCAUGGAUGGAACACGGUUUGAGUAAGUUCUUUCUAUUUCAAGUAAAGAUUUUUAUGAAUUAAUUCCAAAUGGUCAUUAUUAUGGUCUUUUGAAGAAUGUAUUCUGUAUAUAUCAUCCGGCAGGUCUGCUUCAAACCUCAUUUAAGUUAUUUUCUUUUAGAAACUUUUCGCAUGUUCUUUCUUUAUAGCAUACAUAAAAGUGGUCAUGCCCCUAUGCAAGUCAAAGUUACAGUGAUGGGAAUUACUUCUCAUGAAAUUUGCCUCAUCUUUUACUGAUUUUUUGGACCAUUUAUUAAUUUUUUGAUAGGAUUUUCUUGACACCUUAUGAAAAGCAUAUACUCACUGACAUGAUUCUUAGUUUAAAGUUCAUAAUAUGAGCAUUCAUACAUGACAUAUAACAUGUCAAACCGAAUAUAUUUACUACCUUACGUGCAUUAGUUAUGUUUUAUGGUUAAAAUAUCCAAAACUUAUGAAAAUAAAUUAAAUAAUUUUUAGGGUUUAUUACACUUUACCCCCCUAAUUUAUAGCGCGUUUUGCACAUUGCCUCCUUGAGUUUAAAAUCGAGUAAUGUACCCUCUAUGCUUUAUAAUUGCAUGCAAUAUGCAUUUGUUGUACGACGACGUUAGCUAUAAUGAACGGAAGACACAUGUGCUAAAUAUGUGACAUGUUUAAAUGAGGGCAAAAUUGUCAUUUUGUUUUCAAAUCUUCAAAUCCCCAGAACCCCAACUUGCCCUCCUCCUUCCUUCGAUCGUCUGGUAGAUUCCUAAAUCCCCAAAUUGAAGUUGAAGCCAUAGAAUGGCCACUAUUGGAGGAAUUCAAGAUUCUAAUGGAUCUCAAAACGCACUUGAGAUUGAAAACCUUGUUCGAUUCGCCAUUGAUGAGCACAACAAGAAACAUGUUUUGUUUUUUAGUUUUUAAUCUCAUUUUUCCUUUCUCUGUUUCUGUUUGUUUCUUGAGAAAUUCUCUCCUUUUGUAUUUUUUUUUUUGUUUUUAAUCUCAUUUUUCCUUUCUUUGUUUCCGCUUAUUUCCUGAGAAAUUCUCUCCUUCUUCUUGUUCUUUUUUUCUUUUUUUUUGGAGGAAGGUAGAGUUUGGCUUAUGAACGUUUGCUUUUUUCUGAGGAACCAAACAAGGAUUUUUAUUUUUAAACAAAAUUCAUUCGUUCCAUAAGUACAAUAAAAUAUUAUUUUUAGGGCAAAAGAAAUGAUCAUUUGGUUGAUGGAAUUGAAGUUUUCAUUUUUUUAUUUUGUGAAAUAAAUCAUUGCAAGGAGUUAGAUCCACAAUUGAAUUUUUGUUUCCCUUCCUAGGGUUUUUGAGUAGCCAAACGAGGUGCUUUGUUGGUUUUUUUUCCUCUUUAAUCAUUCCUUGAAAAAUCAAUUUUUUAGAUGAGUUUCUGAUCAAGGAUUCCGCUUCUCAAAUAGUAGGAACCUCCUUUAUAUCCAUUUCCAAUUUUCUCUUUUAUUUUUGGUUGAUUUGUUUGAUUAUGUAAUUUGAAUUGAUUGUUUUAAUUUAGUUUUGAUAAAUUGAAAAAGGCUACUGCAAUUUAGGGAGACGAUCUCGACCCCAAUUUAGGAAGACGAUCGGAGGAAGGAGGAGGGUUAGGGUUUUAAAAUGAAAUAACGAUUUUGCCCUCAUUUAAACAUGUCACAUGUUUAGCCCAUAUAUCUUCCGUUCAUUAUAGCUAACGUUGUUGCACGACAAAUGCACAUUGCAUGCAAUUAUAAAGCAUAGAGGGUACAUUGCUCGAUUUUAAACUUGAGAGGGUAAUGUGCAAAACAUGAUAUAGGUUAGGGAGGUAAAGUGUAAUAAAGCCUAAUUUUUAUUUAUGGAAAUCUUUAAGGUGAAAUUAAUUCCCUCCUUUAAAGUAAUGAAAUCAAUACGAAGAUUUUUUUUUUGUCCCAUAGUUGUAGCAAAUGAUUGUCCUUCACUUUUCAGCAAUAUAAAUAAAGAUUUAUUGUGUAUUAAUUUGAAGCUCCUCUGCAAUAUAUUUUUAGCUUUACCAUGCCCUUGGGCAUUUAACGGUUCAAAAUUAUGAAUUUUGAUUAAGGAAAUUUUUUUAUUUUCAACAGUGUAUGAAAAUUUACAAUAGUUGGGAAUCAAGAAGGAUGAUUUGAAACUUAUAUAGAAGCUUUUUUUGCAUAUGGGAUUGUUUGUUGGGUUCACACUCAUGCUACCAUUUUUAGUUCUUUGAUCCCUAAUAUUAAAAGAUCUAUUCUUCUCAGUGACUGUCAACCAAUUAACCUUGUAGGAAGUUCAUGCAUAGCGAUCACCAGAGCUUUGUUAACAAUAAAUAAAUAAACGAGCUCUUUGAAGUUUGUUGUGAUAUGACAUGUUAUUCACUGAGGGGGCCUUUGUGAAGGUGGACAAUCAUAUAUUCAAAUUUAUGAGGACAGUGUUGGACAUUGUGGGAAGCUGGAUAAUGGGGAUUGGUUGUGAAAUUGGAGUUUCUUAGAUUAUGUGAGACAGAUUUUGGGGUUCUGUGAUGGAAGUUAAUAAGGGGUUGAAUGCUCUUUUGGGGCUUCAAUAGGUUUGGUUGGUUCAAUUUUAUGAGCUAACAAAUGUCUUAAGUAGAUCUACAUCCAUAGUGGAAUAGAAAAUCUCUUUCUAGGUUCCCAUUUAAAAGAAAUUGGCAGUCUCCUAUAUAGCAUCUAUGGUUUGCUAAUGAUGUGAUCAUUUUCAUCUCAAUGUGGAAAGCGUAAAAAUUUUGAAUUUUACUGCCUUUUGUUUUGAGAUAGUUUCUGGCUUUAAAAUUUAAGAGCAUUACUUUGUCACCAUCUGAAGAACUAUGUUAUGUGGACACUUCAAAAUACACAGGUCUGAUGACACAUAAUUAGGAUUUAAGGGUGUGGAUAUGGUUUGUUCUCUCUCUUCCACAUCCAUAUUCCCAAUGUGAGUGAAUGUCUAACAAGAGGAACAGAGGAUUGAUGGAGACAAGUGGCAGCCACCUUUAAAAUUUUAUCAGAGAAGUAAAGGAGUGGGCUCCAAGGCUCAAACUUUAAUUUGGCACUCUCUUGAUGAUAAUGGGCUUAGUUGGGAUCUUAUAUAAGUCAAUAUAGGUUUAGCCUAGAAAGUACUUUCAGAAAUUAAGUUAUGGGCCUAGUCAAUGGUUAUAAGUUACCAUUUUCAGUCAUUAUUAUUGUCAUUUUCCAAUAGUCUUUAAUGUGGUUAGUAGUCAGUCCAAGUUUGUCAUUUUCAAGUUGCAUUAUUAUUGUGUCUAGUUCCAAGGAGUUAUAAGUCUCUAGAAAAGUCUUAUAUAGUAGUUGAUUAGUUUUUUGAGAGGAAUGAAUGAAUGAAUGAAUGAAUUUUUAACCACUUUUUUCCUUUGUGUGAUGCAAAGAGUACUUGGGUGUGAAGCCUAAGGUUUCUAGGAGUGAUUCCUAAGGUCCUUUCAAUUGUACUCUCCUUGCAUUUUACUUUCUGUACUGCAUCACCAAAAAUCUAGUUUUCUAGAAGUUCCUUUAUGUCCUUGAUUCGUUCCUUUCAAUUAUGGUACUUCAAAUGAAUCAAGUACUAGGGUGCAAUAGGCCAUUGUACAAGUACUAGUUUUCAGCUGAAGAUAGGCAUGUAGAAAAUUACAUUGAUAAUGCAACUAUGUUUCCAAGUCCUAAGGUUUGGAUGUUAGAGAAGACACUAUUUUACACCUAAUCCACAUACUUGCAUGCAAAAAUUGCAAGGUAUUGGAGCAAAAUUGACAGUGUGGAAUAAGAUCACUUUUAGAGAUAUAAGAGAGAGGAAGGAUUCCAUCAUUAAGGAUAUUGCCAUGGUAUAGAUUCUCUUGAGCCAUCCUUAAGGGCUACGAAGAAAGUAGAGUUGGAGGAAAUGUUGUUAAGGACAAAGAGGCAUUGGAGGCAAAAAAUCUAGAGUAAAGAGGGCCAAGGAGGAGGAUUUAAUUCCAUAUAUUUUCAUAGAAUUAUUAAUGGAAGAAGGAAAAAGAAGUUUAUUAAAUCUUUAUUGAGUGAGGAUGGAACCAUGUUAGAUGACCAAGUUAGCAUUUUAAAGGAAAUCUUGAUAUUCUUUGAUGAAAUAUAUAGCAAGUCUAAUGAAGUUUUGUGGAGAGUAGAAGGAUUAGAGUGGGCCCCUAUCCACUUUUUUCAUUUCUUUUUUACUAUUUUAGCAUAUCUUUUGAGUAGAUUGAUGUUCAAAUAGGAGUUUGGUAUUUUUUAGGGCUUCUUAGUGGUAGAAGUACGGCAAUGGUGCUUCAUUAAUGGUUUGUUGAUGACACCAUACUCUUUUUUUUUUGAUAGGAAACGACAAAGAAAUAUAUUGAUAGAAUUAAGGAGUACAAAAGAAGGAUGAGGAAUCCUCCCACAAAAGCAAACUAAACAACAAGAAUACAAAAACAAGAUGCUAAAAGGUAACAACAAUGAACAAACUCUCUUAGCUAGACCACCCCAUUGGAGCUGCACAUUGCUAGCCAAUCUAGUUGCAGCACACUAAGGGGAAUACCCUUAAAAACCAUGGAGCAAAAAGCCCAGAAAAAAGCAAGGAAGUGAAUGGAAUCCCAUAGAUUCUCUAAAUUCCUAGCUUUAUCCUCAAAAAUCCUAGCAUUUCUUUCCCGCCACACAACCCAAAUUAUAGCAAUACACUCAGUUUGCCACAAAACUAUGCCUCUCUUGGAUUUUCCAAAACCUUUAUAAUCGAUGGUCAUCAUGUCAGAAAUGCUCCUCGGAGGGACCCAAUCCAUCUUAGCUAUCUGAAAUAAUCUGUGCCACAACCCCAUCAUCAAAGAACAAUGUAAGAAAAGAUGAUCUGUUGAUUCUUCAUGCUUCAUACACAAUUACAGAUGUCAGGAUUAAGAGCUUUGUAGGGUCUUCUCAAUUGUAGCAAGUCAUUAGUAUUUACCUUCUUGUGUGCCACUAACCAGACAAAGGACUUGACCUUAAAAGAGACUUGAGAAUUCCAAACAAAAUUAGUAGGGAAAACUGGAGAUAAAUUAGAAAGGUGGGACAAGGGUAGAAAAAAAGACUUGACUGUAAAUAACCCUGAAGAAGAUAAAUACCAGGAUCUCGCAUCUAAAACUGAUGGGGAUAAGUGCAACCAAUCAAAUGACCACAUAAGGCUUUCUAAAUCUUCUAUCUCAAAAUCAGAAAGGUUACUACGGAAAUUAAAGUUCCAAGAGAAGGGACGAGCAGAACCGAGAAUUGAAGAUAUGGGAAUAUUUUUAGCUGUAACUACUCUAAAUAGUCUUGGAUAUUGGAAUCCCAAAGGUUGGUCCCCUUAUCAUAAGUCUUUCCAAAAGCGAAUUAUUUCCCCGUCUCCUACCACAAACCGAGUAUACUUGGAAAAAUCCUGAAAGACAUGUGCAAUAGCCUUCUGUUGAAAUUUGGCAUUCAAAGUUAGGGUUUUAAUUUAGGAAAGUAUUUUAGGAAUAAAAAAGGAGAGAUCAUUUAGGAUAUUUCCUUAGGAUUCAGUUUCCUAAUGUUAGGAGAGAAUCAAGCUAGAUUGAUAUUUUCUUAUUCAGUCAUUUUGUGUAUAUAUAUGUGUAUGGUGUGUACCGAAUAAAAAAAAAAAAAAGGAAUUCAUAAAUUCUUCAUGGUAUCAGAGCCAGUUUUCUGAAACCCUAAUCCCUUCUGGCCGCCUCUUAUUCAGGCCAUCAUUCAUUCCGGCCAAGUCUCUCUAGCCAUCUCUCAAUCCGACCAUCUCUCUCUCUGGCCAUCUCUCAUUCCGGCCAUCAGUCCCUGUUCUCAGAGCCAAGGGAGAAAACGCUUUUUGGUCGGUCGAAUCGUCGUCAGAAAACAUUCACCGCCGGCGACAUCUUUUUCCCACACCACAAGGAGCGCCUGGAGGAGAUCUCCAAUUUUUCCCAAAGCACCGAAGCCAGAAAACCACCCACGCGCCGGCCACGCGCGUUUUUCUGGUCGGCGACUACAUCUCACGCACCGGCGCGUGAGCCACUUUUCGGCGACGCGCUUCCUCCUCCAGCCUCGCCUGACGCCGACUAGCCACCCUUCAUACCCGUUCUGCCAUCCGAGCCCUGCACGUGCCUCUUUUGGGGUUCUUUUGCCUCCGUGGGCCCUCUGAACAGUUUUCCGACGUCCUCCGACUAUUUUUUUCUCAACCCCAAUCCCUGCACGUGCCUAGGGAAGUGUUCUUCUACCUUUCCGGUGGUGCCACGGUUGUUUUUCUUUUCCAUUAGGCCGGUAUCUCUGAUUUUCUCCUUUUCCCAAUUUCCAGCAACCAUAUUCGGCUGUCUUCCUCAUCUCCAUGACAAAAUACGGAAUGGCAUCAUCACAAGUAUCCAGCGCCACGACACUAGAAUCAGGGGGUAGUUAUGAAAUUCCAAACCUUGGUGGCAGUGAUUCCUCUCCUAUUCUCAUCACAAGACACAAAUUAAAUGGCCAUAACUAUUUACAGUGGUCACAAUUUGUGUUGUUGUUCAUUUGCGGUAAAGGAAAGGAUGAGUAUCUCACUGGAGAAGCAGCCAUGCCAGAAACUACAGAACCGAGUUUCAGGAAGUGGAAGAUUGAAAACAGCAUGAUCAUGUCAUGGCUUAUCAAUUCCAUGAACAAUGACAUAGGUGAAAUUUUUUUGCUGUUUGGGACUGCAAAGGACAUCUGGGAUGCAGCCAAAGAAACUUACUCAAGUUUUGAAAAUACUUCAGAACUUUUUCAGGUUGAAUCAGCCCUACAUGACUUCCGCCAAGGAGAGCAGUCAGUUACUCAGUAUUACAACACACUCACAAGGUAUUGGCAGCAACUUGACUUAUUCGAGACUCAGUCAUGGAAAUGUUCGGAUGAUGCAGCAACAUACAGGCAAAUUGUGGAACAAAAGAGACUGUUUAAGUUUUUCCUAGGACUAAACAGGGAAUUGGAUGAUGUUAGAGGCCGAAUCAUGGGCAUUAAACCCCUGCCAAGUCUCAAGGAGGCUUUUUCAGAGGUUAGGCGUGAAGAAAGUAGAAAGAAAGUGAUGAUGGGAUCCAAAGAGCAACUUGCCCCAACAUUGGAUGCCUCUGCCCUUGCUGCUCGGUCAUUUAAUAGUAGUGGUGGAGAUCGUCAGAAACGGGAUAGGCCUUGGUGUGAUUAUUGUAAGAAACCAGGCCAUUAUAAGGAGGCUUGCUGGAAGCUUCAUGGAAAACCGGUUGAUUGGAAACCAAAGCCACGGUUUGACAGAGAUGGCAGAGCACACGUGGCUGCCAACUCUGAGAGCACAUCUGUUCCCGAGCCGAGUCCAUUCAACAAAGAGCAGAUGGAGAUGCUACAGAAACUAUUAAGCCAAGUUGGCAGUGGCAGUACUACUGGGAUAGCCUUCACUGCUAAUUGAGGAGGAAUGAAGCCGUGGAUAGUGGACACAGGUGCUUCUGAUCACAUGACAGGAGAUGCUUCCAUUCUUCAAAAUUACAAGCCAAGUAAUGGUCAUUCAUCCGUCCAUAUUGCUGAUGGUUCAAAGUAAAAAAUUGUCGGGACAGGUUCCAUAAAACUUACUAAAGACUUGUAUCUUGACUCUGUCCUCCAUGUUCCAAAUUUGGAUUGUAAUCUUUUGUCCAUUAGCAAAUUGGCCCGUGAUCUCCAAUGUGUUACUAAAUUUUAUCCAAACUCGUGUGUUUUUCAGGACUUGAAAUCGGGGAAGAUGAUUGGCAGUGCUGAACUGUGUUCCGGGCUCUACCUCCUCCCAUGUGGCCAAUUCUCAAACCAAGUCUCUCAAGCAAGUUGCGUACAGUCUCAGAGUAUGUUAGAGUCUUUCAAUUCUGUGUCAAAUUAUAAGGUCAAUAAAGAUAGUGAGAUUAUAAUGUUACACUAUCGCCUUGGUCAUCCUAGCUUUGUUUACCUUGCAAAAUUGUUUCCCAAAUUAUUUAUCAAUAAAAAUCCAGCAUCUUAGCACUGUGAAAUUUGUCAGUUUGCAAAGCAUACUCGAACAGUAUAUCCUCAAAUCCCAUACAAACCUUCGACUAUUUUCUCUUUAGUACAUAGUGAUGUGUGGGGUCCCUCACGAUGGUUUGUGACAUUCGUUGAUGAUCAUACACAGGUAACAUGGGUUUUCCUUAUGAAAGAAAAGUCAGAGGUCGGGCACAUUUUUCAAACCUUCAAUCUUAUGGUUCAAAAUCAAUUCAAUUCCAAAAUUCAAGUCCUCAAGUCAGAUAAUGCAAAGGAAUACUUUACUAGUAGUCUCAGUACUUAUCUUCAAAAUCAUGGCAUUAUCCACAUAAGUUCUUGCGUUGACACCCCACAACAAAAUGGGGUGGCUGAAUGCAAGAAUAGACAUCUCUUGGAGGUUGCCCAGUGCCUUAUGUUUUCCUCUAAUAUUCCAAACUAUUUUUGGGGGGAAGCCAUUCUCACAGUUACCUAUUUGAUUAAUCGUAUGCCAUCCAGAGUGCUUACCUUUCAAUCCCCACGUCAACUUCUCUUAAAAAAAUUCCCUCACACCCGUGUAGCCUCUUCUGAUUUACCACUCAAAGUAUUUGGUUGCAGGGCAUUCGUUCAUGUGUAUCCUCAAAAUCGUAGCAAAUUUGCUCCUCGAGCCAAUAAGUGCAUUUUCCUAGGGUCUUCUCCAACCCAAAAAGGUUACAAAUGCUAUUCUCCAACCAACAAAAGAUUUUACACCACCAUGGACGUCUUUUUCUUUGAACAUGUCUUCUUUUAUCCCAAAUCUCAUGUUCAGGGGGAGAGCAUGAAUGAGCAUCAAGUUUGGGAGUCUCUUCUUGAGGUUGUAUCUUUUUCUCACUCAGAGUCACCAAAUCCUUCCCAAUUCGCGCCCACUGAGUUGUCCACACCCAUGCCGUCAUCAGUCCAGCCAGCCCAGCCCACAAAUGUUCCUUCUCCCGUGACCAUCCAGUCUCCCAUGCCUAUUCAACCUAUAGCCCCACAACUUGCUAAUGAGAACUUACAAGUUUACAUCAGGAGGAGGAAAAGACAGGAAUUAGAGCACGAAUCACAGCCAACAUGUGGCCAAUAUAUUGACUCUAUUUCAAGUCUACCUGAAGAGAACAUAGGUGAGGAUAGGGCUGGAGAGGUGUUAAUUCCCAGCAUUGAUGAUUCUACUCUGCUGAUUGCAUUGAGGAAGGGUGUUAGGAGAUGUACAGAUCAUCCAAUUGGGAAUUAUGUUACGUAUGAAGGGCUAUCACCAUCUUACAGAGCAUUUGCUGCUUCUCUUGAUGAUACUCAGGUUCCCAACACAAUACAAGAGGCAUUCAAAAUUUCAGAAUGGAAGAAGGCAGUACAAGAUGAGAUUGAUGCACUUGAGAAGAAUGGGACAUGGACUAUCACAGAUUUGCCGGUUGGGAAGAGGCCCGUGGGGUGCAAGUGGAUUUUCACCAUAAAAUACAAAGCAGAUGGAUCAGUCGAGAGAUUCAAGGCUCGUUUGGUAGCAUGAGGGUUUACACAAUCCUAUGGGAUAGACUAUCAGGAGACUUUUGCUCCUGUUGCAAAACUGAACACUAUCAGGAUUCUUCUCUCAUUGGUUGUCAAUCAAGAUUGGUGCUUGCAACAACUGGACAUAAAAAAUGCGUUUCUAAAUGGUGACCUAGAAGAGGAAGUCUACAUGGAAAUACCACCUGGUUUCGAAGGAAGUAUGGCAAAGAAUCAGGUUUGCAAACUCCAAAAAUCCUUGUACGGCCUUAAACAAUCUCCCCGAGCCUGGUUUGAUAGAUUCACAAAGGCAGUCUUGAAGCUGGGCUACAAACAAGGUCAGACUAAUCAUACUCUAUUUGUCAAGAAGUCUCAUGCCGGGAAAAUGGCCAUAUUGAUAGUCUAUGUCGAUGAUAUUAUUCUAUCUGGGAAUGAUAUGGAGGAAUUACAGAAUUUGAAGAAGUAUUUGUCAGAAGAGUUUGAAGUUAAAGACCUUGGAAAUUUGAAAUAUUUCCUUGGUAUGGAAGUGGCUAGAUUAAGGAAGGGAAUUGUAGUCUCUCAAAGAAAAUACAUACUCGAUCUUCUUAAGGAGACCGGUAUGCUUGGAUGCAAACCAAUUGAUACUCUUAUGGAUAGUCAGAAGAAACUUGGUAUCGAGAAAGAGAGUACACCGGUAGACAGGGGGAGAUAUCAGCGACUCAUCGGGCGCUUGAUUUAUCUCUCACACACUCGGCCAGAUAUUGGCUUUGCAGUGAGUGCUAUAAGUCAAUUCAUGCAUAGCCCCACUGAGGAACACAUGGAAGUAGUUUACAGGAUUCUUAGAUAUUUAAAAAUGACACCAGGGAAAGGUCUAUUCUUCAGAAAGACAGAGUAUCGUGACACUAAAGUAUACUCAGAUGCGGAUUGGGCAGGAAACAUCAUUGACAGGCGGUCCACUUCUGGAUACUGUUCUUUUGUCUAGGGAAAUCUUGUUACCUGGAGGAGUAAGAAGCAAUCAGUUGUAGCCAGAAGUAGUGCAGAAGCUGAGUACAGUGCACUAGCACAGGGAAUCUGUGAAGGGAUUUGGAUAAAAAGGGUUCUUAGUGAACUGGGACAAACGAGUUCAUCUCCGAUUCUGAUGAUGUGUGAUAAUCAGGCAACUAUAAGCAUAGCAAAGAACCCCGUGCAUCAUGACAGAACCAAGCACGUUGAGAUUGACAGACACUUCAUCACAGAGAAGGUGACUAGUGAGACGGUUAAAUUGAACUACGUUCCUACCAAGCACCAAACUGCAGACAUCCUCACCAAAGCUUUACCUAGGCCUAACUUCGAAGACUUAACUUGCAAGUUGGGAUUAUAUUAUAUAUAUUCUCCAGCUUGAGGGGGAGUGUUGAAAUUUGGCAUUCAAAGUUAGGGUUUUAAUUUAGGAAAGUAUUUUAAGAAUAAAAAAGGAGAGAUUAUCUAGGAUAUUUCCUUAGGAUUCAGUUUCCUAAUUUUAGGAGAGAAUCAAGCUAGAUUGAUAUUUUCUUAUUCAGUCAUUUUGUGUAUAUAUAUGUGUAUGGUGUGUACCGAAUAAAAAAAAAAAAAGGAAUUCAGAAAUUCUUCACCUUCCAAGGGCAACGAUGUGACCAUCUGACUAUAGUGUUGACAUCCCAACCAUUAGAAUGUGUCCCAUAAAUGAUUAGAAUGACCUGAUGCCACAAAGUUGAACUCUCCCUAAGAUACCUCCACAACCAUUUCCCUAAAAGAGAAAUCUUCCCAAACCCCAAUCCCCUUUUUGUCUUCGGUUUACACACUACAUCCCAACUAAUAAGAUGAUCUCUUUUACAUUCCCCAACUCUUGACCAAGGAAAACCCUUUACAAUCUCUCAAUUUUUGUAGCCAUUGAAGCAGGAAUCUUGAAGAAGGAUAGAAAGUAACUAGAAAUGUGGGAUAGGCAUGAGUGGAUAAGAGUUAUCCUACCUCCAAAAGAUAAAUAAGCCUUUUUCCACCCAUCUAAUCUCCACGAAAUUCUCUCAAUCACUAGAUCUCAAAAGCCACAAGCCUUUGGAUUCCCUCCCAAAGGAAGACCCAAGUAGAGUAUAGGCCAAUCAGAAACCUUGCAAUCAAGCAACAAGGCUAAUUUAGAGAGAUGAUCUUGAUCAAGGUUGAUGCCAUAAAGGUUACUUUUGUCAAGAUUGACCUUAAGCCCAUAAAUUUGCCCAAAUACUAACAAAAUAAACUUAAGAGUUUGUUGUUCUUCCACACAUGUGCUAGAAAAGAAGAUGGUAUCAUCUGCGAAUUGCAGAUGAGACACCCUUAUUCUAUUCUUACAGUGAAACCCUCCAACAUACUUCUUUCCUCUACUCUUAACAACAUCCUACUCAACACAUCAAUGACAAUAAUAAACAGAAAAGGGGAUAGAGGAUCACCUUGUCUUAAUCAUCUAGUUGCCUUGACCCACCCUUUAGCAUUUCCAUUCACUAAAAUUGCAUAAGAGAUCGAUGACAAACAACCUCUCAUCCAGGACCUCCAUCUAGUACUAAACCCCUUCCUAUCCAACACAUGAUCCAAAAAAUCCCAAUCUACAUGGUCAUAAGCCUUUUCAAAGUCAAUUUUGAAGACAACUCCUUCCUCCCCUGAUCGUCUUUUCUCAUCCACUAACUCAUUGGCUAUUGGAACUGCAUCUAAAAUUUGUCUCUCUUGAACAAAAGCACCUUGAGUAGAAUGGACUUUUGUUAUUAUCUUGUAGAGACAAGUGAUCAAGCUAAUAGGUCUAAAGUCUGAAAUUUUUUUGUCUGGAUUUUUUUAGGCAAAAGAGCUAUGAAGGUGGCAUUGGUGCUUUGAUUAAUUAUCCCGCAUCUGUGAAACUCUGCGAACACCCUCACUAAGUCCUCCUUGAUCACAUCCCAACAAUCUUGAAACACUGCAAUGGUAAAUCCAUCAUGCCCCGGCUUCUUAUCCCUACCUAACUGAAAAAUGGCUUUAGAAAUCCCUUCUUCAGUAAAAUGGGAGUCCAACCUAGAAGCACUCUUUUCUGAGAUAGGAGACUAAUCUAAGCCUUCUACUCUCCAAGACUCUCCAGGAGGACUCGAGUAGAGCUUUUCAUAAAAAAGUAAGAUCUCUUCUGUGAUGCUAUCAAUAUUAUUCAACACUAAGCCUCUUUCAUUCUCCAGAAACUUGAUGAAUUUCCUAUUUCGUUUGCCAUUAGCCACUUUGUGAAAAAACUUUGAAUUGCAAUCCCCUUCUUUUAUCCAUUUCACCUUAGCUUUUUGUCUCCAAUGAACCUCUUCCCUCAAAAUUAAUUCCUCUAACUCCCCUUUCUCAAAGCUCUUUGUGUGAAAGUUCAGAAGAAAGAACCCCUUCUUGCUCAACAGCAUCAAUGUUAGCAAUAUCACAAAGUAUGUUUUUUUUCCUUUCCUUUAGCACUCCAAAAGAUUCCUUAUUCCACUCUUUCAAUUUGGCCUUAACAAAUUGUAACUUCCUCAUAAACUUAUGACCUUCCCAACCAGCUCCCUGAAAGCCUCUCCACCAACUUCUAAAGCAAUCUUUGAAACUAGGAUGUUGCAACCACGUAUUCUCAAACCUAAAAGGAGUUGGCCCCUACUUGAAUGAAAUGGUGUCUAAAACAAUCAGCCAAUGAUCCGAUGUCCAUCUAGGAAGAACUUCUUGAAGGCUUUGAGGAAAGAAAUGCUCCCACUCAUUUGUGUAAAGAAACCGAUCUAAUCUCUUACACACAAAUGAAUCUUGCAAGUUUGACCAAGUGAAUGGGGCGUUCCUUAAAGGGAGGUCAAUUAAUUCACAAUCUCUUAUAAAUCCAUCAAAGUCUCUCAUGCUAGAAGUUAAAAUAGAGCCUCCCAAUUUUUUUGAAAUUCUCCUUAUAACAUUAAAAUCACUGCCCACACACCAGAAAGGAAAGGAAAUGCCAUAAAUGUCUAAGAACUCCACCCAAAAUACCUUCCUAAGUAAGGAAUUGUUUGGACCAUAAACUGAGGACAACCAUAGGGGUCCACAUCCAUCCAACAAAAACUUAACUGAGACAGAAAAGGAGCCUAUUACCACCUCCUCACUGCAUAGUUUCUUUGAGUCCCAAAUAAUCAAAAUCCCUCCUGAAGCCCCACAAGUCGGAAGAGAAGCCUACUCCUUAUUCCUAACCGACCAGACACUACCAACAAACCUUCUGUCAUACUCCUCUUUUUUGUUUCCUGAAACAUUACAACAUUCGGAUUCUCAAGAUGCAAAAAAUCUUUAACCACCCUUCGUGUUUUCGUAGAACCCAAACCCCUAGUAUUCCAACUGAUGAUCUUCAUGAUAAAAACCUCUCUAACCCUAAACCUCCAAGCCAUAUGCUACAGGUCUCAAAUACUUGUGGAGAAUCUGCUCUUCCGCUUGGAAUACACUUAAUAUCCAAAGAACUUAAGACCUCACGAACUUUAGCCAUUUUCCUAGGAGAAAGACCAUCUAUUUGGAACCCACCCAAAGAGGAAAACUCAGCUUUAAUCGGGCAAUCUGUAACAAGGUUAGGGGCCUCAAUAGGCAUGUUAAGCAAGGUCUUAAGGGAGUUAAAACCCUCAUACAAUUGGUUCAGACAAACUAAUUGGGAUUCCACAUCAACUAGGUUAGGAUUGCCAACAAAAUCUUAACAUAAAUCACCAUCAUCAUUUUUUUUGGAAAACAUUUUAGGUGCAACUCGACAAUUCGUAGGAGACUGAGACGGAAUUACUGAACUAGGAAGACUGGGAUCAGAAGAAGUCAGAGGUGGAUGAGCCAAGCCAUAGGAGGGGGGAAAAAUGACAAAGAUGAUUGAGAAAGUGGAGCAAAAACUACCUCAUUGUUUUCCACUACCAUCAAUCCACAAGUCCCCACAGAGGUUAGCCCUUUUUCACUGGUUACUGGAUUAGAAGGAAAAACCAAGACUGAAGAGUCGUGAUGAGCAAAACCCCCGAAACCCUCAGAGUUUUCUCUAUCUACAACGUUAGAAAAUUUGCACCAUUUUGCCUUCCCCUUUGAAUGAAUAAAAUAAGAGAAGACCUUUGAUGAUUAUCCGCAUCACCUCUUGACGACGAAGCCCCUUCCCCAGAACAACUGCUUCGGAACCCCAACGGACGACUAAGAAUGAGAGGACUCGAGCUAAACCUUUGCACCAUCUGUGUUCCCGCUUCGAAAGCAACGUCCUUUAGAGGGGCUACAAAAUCUGAAGAUGGAAUCUCUUGCGUUAGAGGCUCGCUUCGUCUUCGCCCCUUGUCGGCAUUUAGAAAUUGGAGAAAUAUGACUAGUCCACAACUUCUUUGAACCAAACUUUGUCAUGGAACCCCUCAAUUGAGAAGAAGAGACCACUAAGACCGACUUCCCCUUUCCCAUUGCAGAUGAGUCUUCACUGCGUAAAAAGCCCUUCCUAGAGUUGGGCUGCUUUCCAUCCAUUUCUUGGCCCAAAGUUGUCACCGGGCCUUUUAAAUUAACACCCCUCUCCCAACCCAUAUUUGCUUCCACCACUGGCCUAGGUUUUUGAGGAGAAUGGGCCCUUCUCUCUUGCAGUGCAUUAGAGGCCCGGUGCCAUUCCUCAACACUUGAGUGGACCUUAACCCUUCUGACCCUAACUUCACCUAACAGCUUUGGCCCAAAGGACCCUAUUCUCUCUUUAUUUGAAUUCAAAUUUAACGGAGAUGAAGGUUGGACACAAUUGUUCCCUUCAUCCGCCCUUCUCUUGCCAUGUGUCCUCUCAGCCUUUUGAUUUCCUACACCAUCUUUCAAUUUGUCAGCUGCCCCAUUAGAAGACCAUCCUUUAGCCGUUGAUUUAUUCUUCUCAACCAGCCUUCUACCACUUGUCCACGAGUGAGACUCACAAUCCCCUCAAGUUGACUCACUCAUUUCUCUAACUCGCCUUUCUUCUCCAGCUCCAACCACUGCAAUUGAUAUUGUAAAAACCCAACCCCCAUCUAACACCUCAAUCAAUGCAGGAAGGACUGAAUGUUCCUUCAUUAAAAUUCUCACCCUUGUCUUACAGAGAUCAUACAAUUUCAUCGUUCGCCAAUCGAUCUUUGUCACUGUCCCCCACUGCUCUACAAUUUUAUUUAGAUGUUCCAUUAACCAUAAAUGAAAGGGCAAACCCCGUAAUUGAAUCCAUCCUUCUUUGAACUUCCCCUCUACUUUUGAGUUUUCCCUUGGCGACCACCUUCUCAAAUGGGUUGUAUACCCUCCCUUAACCUUGAGAAACCUUAACUCUUGGAGAGAGAAGGCUUCCUCAAUAGUUUCUACAAAAAAUAAACCUUUUCCGCCAGAGAAAGGGACGAUAGUCACCACACCUUUUUGCCCUAAGAAUUUCGCCAGAGCACGGCCAACCCUAGCCUAGUUGACAAAAGCAGCGGGACAUUCACAAACCACGGCUCUCGCCCAUCUCCCAACUGGAACAAGGCCUCCUCUCCUCGGUCCUUCCUUUUUUACUACAUUCACAAAGGACCCACUUGUUUGUAAUUUAUGUUUUCAACCCUGCACUGCCUUUCCUUUUCAACUAUAUUCGAAGAGGGGACCAUCAGCAUUGAAGAAAAAGCAUUUUUUAGUUGCUCCCAUCCCUUGCCCCGCUCGCCCUCAGGGAUUACCAGGAAAGUUGACCUUUUGUUGGAGGCAAACUUCGAAAGCCUUAUAAACCUACCGUGGUUGUUGAAGCAUACCUCCAUUAAAUGAACUUUGGACUUUCCUCUGUAUUUUCUGUUGAAACCCAUGUAAGUCUUCAGCUCGAUAGCCUUUGCCAAAUGUUUGAUCAACCAGCCAACCUCUUCCUUCUCAAAGCCUGAGGCGAAAACCGAGCCUCUGCUAUGCUCUGUAAGCGAGCACCAAAUACCUCCGGACUCACCUUCAAACCUAACCAGGAAGGUCUUCCUCUCCACAGAGACUUUCAGCGUCCUCACCAUUUUUUACUUUUACCAUGCUCUUUUCAAUAGCUAGUUUAAAUGAUUACAAGGCCUUAACUAAUUUUGUUGGUAUUUGAGCACAUUUCAAGUUUGAAGAUAAAUUAAGACAAUGAGGAAAUAGGGUUGCUUUUGAAAAUGAGGAUCUAUCGGUCCAAAGGAUGGAAUAUUCUCUUGUUAGCUAUUUGUGGUCUUGGUUCAAAUGUUGCAUAGUUGAAGGGCCUAAUUCUUUAAUCAACUUUUUUGAGUGGGUGGGCUAUAGGUGAGAGAGGAGGGGUUAGUUUUUUGUUUCCCUCUUCCUUUUUUUUAGUCUAUAGGUGCUCGUUUCUAUACCUCCUGUAUGCUUUGAGUUUCCCGUUGGGCGCCCUGUUCUUUAAUAUACUCUACUGUGACUUUGCCUAUAAAAGAAAAAAAAAAAGAAGAUAAAUCUAGACAAUGGUAUCUUGUUGGGUAUCAAUGUGAGUUUAGCCUAUAUCUUUUUUGGGUCUUCCUUUAGGGAACCUUAGAGCCAUAUCUUUUUGGGAUUUAGUUUUGGAUAGGAGUUGCCGAUGGUUAGAUGGUUGGAAAAAGGCCUACUUGUCUCUAUGUGGAAGAAUAACAAUAGUGUAGUCUUGCUUUUCCCAUGUCCCCCUCAUUAUUAUUAUUAUUAUUAUUAUUUUAUUCUUAAACCUCCAAUUAAAGUGGGUUAUACAAUUGAGAGAUUACAAAGGAACUUUCUAUAUUUAGGUGUUGGGGAAUGGAAGAGAGAUCAUUUUAGGGAUCAAUGUCUAAGCUAAAGGGAGAAGGGGCCUUGGAGAUUAGAAGAAUGACUUUGAGGAAUAGAGUCUUUUCAGGGAAGUGGUUGUGGAGGUUUCUUAAGGAAAACACUACUUUAUGGUACAACAUUUUUUGAAAUUUACGAGCCACAUUCUUACUGAUGUGAUGCUAAUGUUGUUGUUACGUGAUCUCAUCAAUGUCCUUGGAAGGUCAUUGCACAAGUGUUCUUUGGUUUCUGUCAUUUUACUCGGUGUUUAGUGGAUAAUGGUACAAAAUUCACUUUUUGGAGGAUAUUUGGUGGAGUGCCCUUUUGUGUUUGGCUCCCAAACCUCUAUAGAGUAGUAAGGGCGAGAAAUUCAUGUAGUUCUUCAAUUUCCAUUCCAUUCUCCUCUUCAUUAUGGAAUUUUAAUUGUUUGCACAAUGUUACCGAUGAUUAAAUGAAGGAACUCUAUAAUGUUGACUUUAGUCCAUGUGUAUUUAUUGCUCACAUUCUUUGAUAUGAGAGUUUGAUCUUUGACAUCCUAUGGUUUAUUUAGUCUUAGUCAGUUUAUUCUUUAGAACCCUCUUUGUUUCCACCAAUUUAAGAUCCUUUCUCUUGGAAAAUUUCUUCUAGAAAUCUAAAUCUCUAUCAGAAGUCAAGGCCUUUGCAUGGCUUGUGGCAAGUAGGAAGAUUAGUAUCCUUGAUUUGUUGCAGAUAAGGGAAUCUUUCAAAGCCUUUACCCUGGAAUGGUGUGCCCUUUUUUUCAUUUUUUUUUUGUAUUUUCCAUUAGCAUUAACAUUAUUACGUAAGUUGUUUGGACUAUAAGAUUGAUUGGGUUCCACCUAGGAGUGUGGUGGAGAUGCCAACAAUUUCCUAAAGGUUUUGGAUGUCUUCUAAAGGAAACUCAUGGUAUAUUGUUAGUUUCACAUUAAUUUGGAAUAUAUAGCUGGAGAGGAAUGCAAAGAUUUGAAGGAUAGAUGAAGAAUUUUAGAGGCAUUGUAGAAUUCAAUCUAUUUCUUCUCUUCCAUUCGACAUCAAGUAGUACAUCAUUUUUGGGCACUCUUUUGAGUGUUAUAUUGAUACAUUGGACAUAAUAUGUAGUUUAACUAGGUUGGCUAAGAAGAUACUCUCUAAAUGGACUCCCCCAGUAAGUUGUGUCAACUUGAAUUUUGAUGGUUGCUCAUUAGGAAAUUCAUAACAAUUAGGAGUUGGAGGAAUGUCUAUUGAUCAUCAUGUAACACUAAUGAGAAUAUUUUCUAAAUAUAUUAGAAUUGGUCUAGAAAUUGUGGUGGAGAUUCUAACCUUGCUGAGAAGUUGGUCAAAGUGGAGGGUCUUUCCAACCUAAUGCUGGAGUGAGAUUUUGCAGUAGUCCUUGGUUGAGUAAGAAAGAAAGAAGCUAAUGGAAAUUUGACGGGUGGCUUCAUUAAACUUUUUAUUUUGCUUGAAGGAUGGGAUGCUUCUAUUAUUGGAUUCCUCAUUCAUCUAUAUAUUAACAAAGCAGGGAGCCAAACUUCUGUUCUCUUCUGUAGGGGGUAUUUUGGAAUAUGUUAGCAAAACAUCGAGCCAAACAUUUGAUCUCCUUUGUAGGGGUUUCUCUACCUCUCUGAAUAUCGAUUUUGUAAUUGUAUCCACUUUUCAAUGUGCAAUGACCUAUGGUUUCUAAAGUAGAUAGUUUUUUUCCCCUACUUUUGAUUAGAGUAGUGGUUGUUUUUAUAGAGGAAGGAUUUACCAUACUUUUUUGUACUUAUUUCAUAGUAAUGAAGUGUUUUCUUCUGAUUAGAAAAAAAAAAAAAAUAGACAAAUACUUGAGCCAUGCUAGAUAUCCUACAGUACAUGAAACAAUAUAAUGAUCUAUUAGGACUCUAAUUCUUUUCCUAGAGCUUCUAAGUCUUUCAAAAAGUGGAAUGAAAAUAUAGAAUGGAAACUUUCCAAAAUAGAAAGUUUAAAUAUGUUGGAACUCUAUAUUUUUGCUCCGUGGUUUUUAAGGGUAUUCCCCUUAAUGUGCUGCAACUAGAUUGGCUAGCAGUGCGUAACUUCAAUGGGGUGGUCUAGCUAAGAGAGUUUGUUUGUUGUUGUUACCUUUUAGCUUCUUGUUUUUGUAUUCUUGUUGUUUAGUUUGCUUUUGUGGGAGGAUUCCUCAUCCUUCUUUUUUACUUCUUAAUUCUAUCAAUAUAUUUCUUUGUCGUUUCCUAUUAAAAAAAAAAUAAAAAAAACUCCAUAUGAUAAGAGACUUCCACAAAAGUAUAACUUUUCAAUUCUAAAUAAGACUCAAAUAGGAAAAAGGAGUAAGUUCAGAAAGUAGGAAGUUCAAAGUGUAUAAGUUUCUUAAAACAAAAAUAACAAGACUUGCCAAGCUCUAAAUAAGACUAAAAAAACCAACUACUACUAAUUAUGACAUCAAAGAAUUAAAAUGUGUGAAAUUAUACAAAUGCCCUUGGACAAAUCAAUUUAGGAUUUCUUUGCUUCUUUUCUUCCUUUGCUUGGAGACCUUGAAAGUUUAGUCUCAUCACCAAGGCUAUAUGUUUUUGUUUUGUAUUUUUUUGGAUCUUCCUUUUUGUUUUUUUCUUCUGAGGUGACUAUAUUACAUCAAUUAUCUUAUCUUGAUGUUGGUAGAUGAUUGUCAUUUCCUGUAUUUACCUACUUUUAAUUUGUUCCAAUAGUGAGGAAGUAGUGGAAAGAAUCUUUUCAAUUUUCUGAUAUAGGUUUAUUUUUCUGAUUCCUUUCCAUGAUCUUGUUACUUGUUGAUCUCCCAACCAACAGCCCUGUAGAGUUUAUCUGCAAAAUGGAAGUCCCUCAUAAAGCUUAAGCUUUUUCAUGGGCUAUAGCUUUAUAAAGUUUGAUCAUAUUGUAUAUCUAUUGUUACAUCUCAUGAAGUAACAAAUUUGUGGGGUGAGCUUUAGGUCCCAUACUGUUCUCAUGUCAUAGUUGUUGCUCUCUGUCACUGUAUGGGAGGUUAAUAACUGAUCCUCAACCAUUUGACGGUCUGUUUGUAGGAAUCAGUAGUUGAAUGACACUUUUUUCUGAUAUUAUCUAAUGCUGAAAUAGAUAUCUCAUUUUGUUUUUGAAAAAUAAGCUUUCAUGUGAAAGGGUCAUAAAGAUGGAAAGUGCAUCAUUUUAUUGGCAUUGUAUCAUGAUAUAUGAUAGUCAGAUUCUUAUCCUUAAAAAUAUAGCUGUCCUUAAGAUGACAUGGCAGUUAGAGCCUGUUAGUAUGUCCAGAACUUUAAACUCCUAUCCAAUAUUUUAGCUGGAAUGCAUGUAAUAUUUUGUUCAUGCCCAUCUCUAGAACACCCAGUAUUUGGAAGUCAAUAAAAUUAAAAUGGUUAGUAGUACUAUUAUUUUGUUCAAUUUAAGAACUGUAUUACAUGUAGUACUUUUAUUAGUGUGUGAAAUAUAUGAUAUGUCAAUGGUGAUUCAUACCUGAUAUGCCACUUUCUCCAAUAUAUUUUAGACACAUUGCAGUUAGUGCCUUUACUAGAGUCCAUGACUCCAUGUCAUAUGACUUUCCACCCCAAAAAAAUCAAGCCAUAGUAAGGAAGAGCCUCUUAGUCACUUGAACAAGGUUACUAUUGGAUUCUAACACCUUCAAAUUUUUGUGAUUAGCUAAAACCUAUGAUUUCUUUUAUAUGUGUGCACUUUUUCAUGUCAUUAACUUUUCAUGUCGUGAGUAGGUGGGAUUGCAGUUUCCAAUAUGGCAGCUUAGUGGAGGAGGUAGAUGGACAUACAGCUAUUCUCUAUCAUAGGCUUCAGCUGGGCUGGUUCCCUAUGUAAUAUUCUCUCAAGUUAAAUCUCUUUAUUUAUGCUUCAUAAUGUUACAGAAUCUAGUAAUCGUAUGAAUGCAUACAAAAUUUCGUUGUUUUUUCUGUAUCAACAUUGUUAAAACAUGGCACUUUUGUGCAAAUUCAGAUUAAAGCUUUUACUUUACCUCUCUCUAGUUUGCAUGUAAUUGCGCUUUAGAUUCAUAAUCGAGUCUUUUGAUUUAUCUUAUAACCCUCAUAUGGGAGAAACUUCAAUUAUCAUUGAUUGCCACAGUUGGGCAUCACAGCUUGUAGUCGUGUAUGGAGACCAUAUAUACACUAAAUUUGGACUCGGACUAUUACAGUAGUUGGGCCCUACAGGUCCAACAAUGCAGUUCAAAAAGCCAAGUCUUGAAUUUCUCAUGGCCAGGUAUGAUGCAACUUAGCAUGGAUGCUUAUCCCUCUGGUGGAUUCUGAACACUACCCCUGAUCCCAACUACAUUGAAGUCUAUUAUUGUGGUUGCCUGGGGAGAUCUCCUGAUAAAUCCUCCUCAAAGUUUCUGAGGCAUGGAGGUCUGAGGAUUCAACUCCUUCCUGGUAUGGUAAUAAGGCCUGGGGUUUUACACAAACCUGUUGUACCUUAGUGGUGGACAUAGCCACUUUGGUGGAGGGAUAAUUUGGAUGGAUAGUAGGUUUUUAAAUCAUGGUUAGAGGUUAAUUGAGGAAGUUGCAACACAUGGCUGGAACCUUGGGAGCUGUUAACCUCACUACUUCACUCAUUUUCAUACCCUAUUACUUGAUAUGUUGCUUGCCAAGUUUGCAUCAUGUGCUCCUCUAUCACAAGAUCUGCACAUGGCAUUGCUCACCAUUCACUGGCUUUCAGUACUGUAGACUGACCCCUUGAAAGUAGUUUUCAGUUAUAGGAGCUCCUGGGGGGUGGGGACUAGAUAUGUAUGCAACGGAUGUGUACAACAAAGGGGGAAAAAGAACAAAUUCCUCAUUCAUUGUAAGCAACCUUGGGCUCAUGUUAGAUAUUCUUAGUUACAUACCAUUUUAGCAAAAGGGACAAAGUAGGAAGAAAAUGAAAAUUAGUUAUCUUGCCCAAUUUCUGGGGAUUAAAAGAAUCUGAUAUAGACACAAGUCAACACCCAACACUCGUACUCAAGUUCAUGUUGAAACAGAUUGACACCUGUUGACUGGGAGUAUCUCUGGGACAGAUUGGCACCUGUGGACCAGGAGUAUCUCCACAUGUCCAAGCCUCCUGAUUAGUUUGUUCAUGAAGGUUUUAAACCAAAUCUCAGCAGAGAUGAGGAAAAUUUAGAAGAUUCUGGACAGGGCUACUUUUUUCCUUCUAGUUAAGAUGCUUAAAUGACUUAUACAAGGUGACCCACAAAGUAGAAAAAGAGAUGAUUACUGACUAGAAGCUGUUCUUGAAUCACAAAAUUCAAACUAGAAAAAGAACAAAAUCUUAAUGUAUUCUUUGUUUGAAUGGGCUGGAUGAUCCUUACUAGGUGGAAGUGUUUUUCGAUAUAUCUAAUUGAUGUUUUUAAUAGUACCUCAGCCGUAAAGAGUCUCUUCUCCCCUCUUUGUUUGGCCUUUUGGUCUUUGUAUACAUCUCUUAUACAUGGGUUGCACCCUACCUUUUGGCACUUGUUGUAUAAAACUUUACUUGUUAAGGGGGAAAAUAGAAUCUCAACCAGGGCUUGCAUGUAAUGCAUUUUCUAACUAGAAAACACUAGAUACCUUGAGAGUCUUGACCAGAUAGUAUUUGAGGGAACAACUGCACAUAUGGACAAUAGAUCUUAACCAGACUUGGUUGCACUUUGUUUGAGGUAUGGCCUGAUCAGAUUGGUGAAAAAAAGCAAGUUGGGGUCUUGUAAGCUGGUUAACUGUACUGUGUUGGGGUUUGGUUUUGGAUGAGAAUUGGGCUGGUUUGGGAAAUGAUCAGGCCAAAUAUUGAUCCUGUGGCAUAGUGGUAGUGAUGGUGGCCGCAAUGGUAGAUCAAAGGUGGUGGUAGUAGUAGUGAGAUAGCUGUCCCCUCUCAUACUCAACUCUGAGGUUUUGAGAAUAACACCAUUCACAUGUUUUGAAACCUAAGAUAGUAGGAUUUUAAACCCCACCACCUGCAAAAUGUUCCAAACAAGGCAAUUUUGUUUUUCCUAAGAAAAAGGACUUCUCAAAUUCCAUAUUAACAUGAGAUCUUUCUUCAACUUUAAUAUUCCAAGUGGACUUGAAGGGUCAAAAUCACUUAUUUAUUUUCACCUUACUAGAAGAACAUUUCUAAUCUUUAGAAGGGAUCUUUCUUUUGUUACUGUUUGGAACAUUAUGGUAGAUAACAUGAGAAAGAAGCCUCAGAAAGGUGUUCUGCAUGUUGGUUUUGGUGUAUUUGGGAGAAGGGAAAACCCAAAAUUUGAAGAAUGUGGAGCUACCCAUUUUUAACUUGAAAAGUUAACCAUCCAAAUAGUCUUUCCUUUGGAGGUUCUGCAAGGGAGUAUAGCCUUCUCAAUAAUUCUUUUGAGUUCUUAAAUGAGAUAAGAUGUUGGACUUUUCCCCCUUAUUUUUCUUGUUUGCUCAUGUAUAUGCUACAUUAUUUUGUCUUCUAUAUUUUUUAUUAAUAAAAUUCUCUUGUUUACAAAUUGGAAAAGAAAGAAAUGAUGGCCUUCACUAAAGAAUAAUAUGCUGUUUUUUUUUCUACUAAUGCUUACUGUUGCAGGUUUGUGUGGCCUCGUGACCUUUGCUAUGUGCGUUAUUGGUGUCGAAAUGAUGAUGGAAGUUAUGGUAAAUGGUUUGCUUGUCCAGUUGUUUAUUUUUCCUGGUUCUUGUCCUUCUCUUUUUCAUUUGGAAACAUCCAAGUUAUUUUUGUUAUUGUGCAGUUGUGUUAUUUCGUUCUAGGGAGCACGAGAACUGUGGUCCGCAACCAGGAUGUGUGCGUGCCCAUCUUGAAAGUAAAGGCUAAAUCUUUUUUUUUUACACUGAGAAUUCAAGGGAUUAACACUGAUUUAGAUCGGUAGUUUGUUUAAUUCAUGCUAGGCCAUCUCAUCGACACUAUGUGAUCUGUUUUCUCAGGUGGGGGAUUCAUCAUUUCCCCUCUAAAACCUCGAAAUGGGAGGCCCAGAACACAGGUUCAGCAUCUUAUGCAAAUUGAUCUGAAAGGAUGGGGCACUGGUUAUAUUUCAUCAUUUCAGCAACAUUGUGUCCUUCAGAUGUUAAAUAGUGUUGCUGGUAAAUUUUUUUCUACUUUCUUUUUCUCUCAAACUUCUAAUUUUACACUUGUUAGAAUUUGGAGGGCAAUGUUGCAGAUUUGUAUUAAUUUGAGAAUCUGAAGACCUUUGUGCUUCGAAACCACUCUUUUGCCUAAAUUUCUUUGAACAAGAUAAUUUGAUAAGGGUAUUAUUGGAACAAUAUAAGUAUACAAAGAAGUGCUUUUGGCUUCAUAUAAUAGUAUAUAUACUUUUAGCAGGAUAUUUUACAGAAAGAAUUCUUCAUGCUUAGGUUAAAAUAACUCAAAAUAUUUGAACAACUUCAAAUGGUAAUGUUAUGUCCUUUUUCUUUAUCCAAUAAAAUUUGGAAAGGUUAUUAUUAGAAGAUACAUGAGCAUAUCUAGAGGUUCUCUUGGCUCUAUAUAACAAAUAUAUAUUUCCAUGAAGAGCUAGAGAACAAAUGGAGAUCCAUGGGGGUUAUUUAGGAUUUGGUUCACUUUUCCUCCCUCUAUUUUUAUUAUUGAUUGUUUUCCGGGUACUCUUUAGAACCUUUUACUGCUGGAUUGGAAAUAUAUUUGGUACUCUAAAAUAUCACAUGUAAGGACAAUACUUAAUUGGUCACAUCCUCCAGUAGGUUUGAUAAAGUUAAAUUUUGAUGGGUAUUCCUUGGGUAAUCUUGGUAUAUUAGGUAUAGGAGGUGUGAUAAGAGAUCAUUUGGGUACCGUACUUUGGACUUACUCUAAACCUAUUGGGAUGGAUUCAGCUAUUGAGGCAAAGAUAUUAGCAUUAUUAGAGGGCUGGUUGCAAGUUAAAGCUUGUGGGUUUAUCUAACCUAAAUGUGCAGGGAGAUUCUUCUGUUGAGGCUCUUGGAAGUUUGAAACUUAGCCCAUGAAAUUUAAAUAUUUCUAGUGAUGUGGCAUACUUGUUCUUUUAGGUUCUUCGUUGAGCUAUUCAAACCAUACUCUAGUUAGGUAAGCAGGGAGUAAAACAUUUAGUUUCGUGUUAGAGACAUUUUUUCUCCUUGAGUAUAUAGAGCAUUUUGUAGAGUGUACAUUACUUUUCAUGUCUGUAAUUUGUGUUUUUUUGCUCAGCUAGUUUUUCUACUUUCUGUUCAGCAAUUGUACAUCUUGGAGGGGAUUAUCAUCCUUCUUUGUAUAUAUCGUUCAAUGUAACGAGUGUUUUUUGUUUGUUUCUCUGUGUGUGUGUGUGUGUGUGCACAUUACAUCUUGAAUGGAUCCUUCUGUGCAUUUAUCAUUCAAUGCAAUGAAUAUUGCUUUUGUGUGUGGAAGGACACUCCUAAUGUUUUCCAACUAUACUUGGUUGGCUGCGGAGAAUGUCAUCUUAUCAUUUUAUGUCUAAGGGGUGUGACACCAAAUUCCUUACUCUUUCGCCUUUUCCAUGCCUUAAUAUCUUUCAACAUGCGAUUUUAACGUCUUGGUGAGAAAUGCUAAAAAAAUAGCCUCUGCUAAGAAAAAUGGAAAGGACGUUGAAGGUCUCUGUGGAGAGGAAGACCGUCUUGGUUAGGUGGGAAGGCGAGCACGGAGGAAAUUGGUGCUCGAUUACAGAGCACAGUAGAGGCUAUGUUUAUGCCUUAGGAUUCGAAAAAGAAGAAGUUGGGUGGUUGAUCGAACUUUUGACGAAAGCCAUUGAAUUGAAGAGUCACUUGGGGUUCAAUAGAAAGUAUAGGGGAAAAUCCUGUGUCCAUUUGAUGGAAGUAUACUUCAACAAUCACGAAAGGUUCAUAAGGAUUUCAGAGUUCGCUACCAACAGAAAACCAACUUUUCUGGUUAUUCCUGAGGAUGAGAAGGGCAGAGGUUAGGAGAAUCUAAAAAGCGCUCUGUCUUCUUUGUUGGUGGUCCCCCCAUUGAAUGCAUAUGAAAAAGGAAGACAAUACAGAGUGGAAAGGUUUAACCACAUUCACGUGGGUCCUCUAUAUAGGUCUUUUGCGAACGUGGUUAGAGAUGAAGGACCAAGGAGAGGUGGACUUGUUCCGAUUGGAAGGUAGGCGCGAGCCAUGGUGUGUGAAUGCAGUGCAGAUUGUGGUAAAUGGGCUGAGAUUGGCCGAGCUGUAGCGAGAAGCUUAGGGAAGAAGGGAGUGGCUACGAUUGUGCCCUUCUCAGGCAGAAAAGGUGUUUUUUUUGUUGAAACGAAAGAGGAAGCUCUCUUUCUCCACGAUUUAAGGUUUAUUAAGAUUGAGGGAGGGAAUUCACUUCAGUUGAGAAGGUGGUCACCAAAGGAAAAUUCGAUAGUUGAGGGGAAGUUCAGAGGAGGUGGGAUUGAGCUACAGGGUGUGCCAUUUCAUCUCUGGUCUGAGGUACAUUUGAAGAAAUUAGUGGAACAAUGGGGGACGGUGAUUGAAAUUGAUUGGUGAACGUUGAAAUUGUUUGAUCUUAGCAAGGCGAGGGUAAGAAUCGUAAUAAAGGAGCGGACAAUUCUUCUAGCUUUGAUUUAGGUGAUUGACGGGGAUUGGGUGUUUACUAUUUCUGUCGCAGUGGUCGGAGGUGAAGAGAUCAGGAGAGGCAGAGUAAUGGGUGAGUCGACUCGGGAGGGAUUUGAAUCUCACUCGGGGACAGGUGGUGGAAGGCGGGAGGAGAAAGACAGAUCUACGGCUGGAGGUAGUUUUCGUGUUGGGGAAGUUGGCAGAAAGAAGAAGGAAGAAGAAAGGUGUUCGGCUGAAGUUCUUCCUGCGGGGACACGUGGUAAGAAUGGUCAAUGCAUGGGGAACAAUUGGCUCAGUUUGAAUUCAAAAAAACUGAACUAUGGGCCUGUUGGGACAGAGAUGGCGGGCGAAGCUUCGGCCGGUGGGGACGAGACCUUCUCAGGCGAGAAUGGUCGGGCCUUUGAGAGAGAGGCCUAGUCUCUCUCCAAUUUCAGCUCAAUAGCAAAAACGGGCUGUUUAUUAAAAGGCUCGAUGAGGAUGGACCUAGGAACUGAAGAAAAGAAGCCCGUUGGAAAGUUGGGAUCGUUACGAAAUGAAGGUGGUUCUGCAAGGGGAAAGGGGAAAGGAGUUGCAGCUGAGUCUGAUGUUCAGACGAGAGGAUCUACGAAGAAGGAAGUGAAGUUCGGUUCAAAGAAGCUGUGGAAUACCCUAUUUCCCCUAAGUUCCGCUCGUCGACAUGGUUCUCGAAGUCGCAGUGAGCCUCUUCUGCUCGGGAAGCCUUCGUCGAGUAGCGUAGAGCUUCCUAUGGAGGUGGCUUUCGGGGCGGGAGCUCAGUGGGAACGAGGACUCAGCGCGAGCCCUCUCUUCAUGUGUCGAUCGUUUAGAAAGUGGUGCUCGUGGGGAGGGGCAUCGUCAUCUAAAGGCAGAGACGCUGCGCGCAAACCAUUUCAUGAAGAAGAAAGGGAAGGAUUUUUGGGCUAAGUGGGGUUUGAUCUUUGUGGUGCUUCAGUCAUGUUUUUGCCUUCUAAUCCUGAAAUCAGAGGUAAAGGGCUCAACUUUUGGGGGAAUCGUGGAAUUUUGGUAGCGGAAAACUUGGAGGUAAUCUCAUCCUCACCUUCUCAGUCUCCCGUGUCUUCUUUUCCCUCUUCUUUUGGGUUGGCACUUCCAUUUCCGAGCCCUUCUGCUCCCGUUUUUCCUAGUUCAGUCAUUCAGCCCCCAGUUCACAUGGAAAAUCGAGGAAUUUUCGAUUGUUUUUCCAAAAAUGACGAUGGUGGUACUUUCUGUCAGAAUGGUGUUGGCAUUCCAAACCUGGUUAUGGUGGAGUCCCAGUCUGCUUAUUCAAACCAGUUGCCCGAGAGUCUGAACCUCAUUAAGUCUAAACCCAAUGUGCCUAGUGAGGUUUCCAACCUGGUUAUGGUUAGCCAGGGUAAUGCUGCGGUCUCCCCAUCGGGCGAGUUCUAAAUUGAAGGCCUAUCUCCCAGGAAAAUGGCUAAAGUGCGUGAGAUUUUAAGCUCUCUAGAUAUUAAGGUUUAUUCCAGGAGGAAGAGCAGAUGCUCUACAGGAUUGUGAGACCUGGUGGUACCGGAUUGGGGGUUUAGGGUCUAUGUUGUUUUUCCAUGAAAAUAAUAAGUUGGAAUACCAGAGGUUUGGGAUCAAGGAAAAAACGAAGGGUGGUCAAAGAUUUUCUGAGGUUAGGGAAUCCGGAUGUAGUGAUGAUACAGGAAACAAAAAAGAUGGAGUGUGAUAGAAGGUUUGUGGGUAGUAUUUGGACGGUAAAAAAUAAGGAUUAGGCUGUUUUGCCGGUGUGCGGGGCUUCAGGUGGGAUUUUGAUAAUUUGGGAUUCUAAUAAACUGCGCAGUGAGGAGGUGGUAAUAGGAUCCUUUUCGGUCUCGAUCAAGGUUGCUUUGGAUGGAUGCAGACCUCUUUGGUUGUCCGUAGUUUAUGGCCCAAAUAGUCCCUUACUUAGGAAGGAUUUUUGGGUGGAGUUGUAAGACAUUUUUGGUCUAUCUUUUCCAUUAUGGUGCAUGGGCAGUGAUUUUAAUGUCUUAAGGAGAAGUUCUGAAAAAUUGGGAGAAUCUAGUCUAACUUCAAGCAUGAAGGACUUUGAUGAUUUUAUAAGAGAAUGUGAAUUGCUUGAUCCACCUUUACGGAAUGCACCAUUCACUUGGUCAAACAUGCAAGAGACUCCUGUGUGUAAAAGAUUGGACCGUUUUCUUUACUCAAAUGAGUGGGAGCAAUCCUUUCCUCAAAGCCUUCAAGAAGUUCUUCCUAGAAGGACUUCGGAUCAUUGGCCGAUUGUUUUGGAAACCAACCCGUUCAAGUGGGGCCCAAUACCUUUUAAGCUUGAGAAUAUGUGGUUGCAACAUCCUAAUUUCAAAGAGUGCUUUAAAAGUUGGUGGAGAGGUUUUCAAGGAACUGGGUGGGAAGGUCACAGGUUCAUGAGGAAAUUACAAUUUGUGAAGGCCAAUUUGAAAGAGUGGAAUAAGGUUUCUUUUGGAGUGCUAGAUGAAAGGAAGAAAAACAUCCUGAAUGAAAUAGCUAACCUUGAUGCCAUUGAGCAAGGAGGGGGUCUCACUUCUGAACUUUUAGUUCAAAGAGCUUUAAGAAAAGGGGAAUUAGGGGAAUCAAUUUUGAGGGAAGAAAUUCAUUGGAGAUAAAAAGAUAGGGUGAAAUGGGUAAAGGAAGGGGAUUGUAACUCAAGGUUUUUUCAUAAAGUGGCUAAUGGUAGGCAAAAUAGGAAAUUUAUCAAGGUGUUGGAGAAUGAAAGAGGAUUAGUGUUGAAUAAUUCAAAGAGCAUCAUAGAGGAGAUUUUACUUUACUUUGAAAAGCUCUACUCGGGUCCUACUGGAGAGUCUUGGAGAGUUGAAGGCUUAGAUUGAUCCCCUAUAUCUGUAGAGAGUGCAUCUAGGUUGGACUCCCUUUUUACUGAAGAAGAGAUUUAUAAGGCUAUUUUUCAGUUGGAUAGGGAUAAGGCGCCGUGUCCUGAUGGCUUUACUAUUGUAGUGUUUCAAGAUUGUUGGGAUGUGAUCAAGGAGGAUUUAGUGAGAGUGUUUGCAGAGUUCCACAGUAGCGGAUUUAUCAAUCAAAGCACUAAUGCUUCCUUCAUAGUUCUGUUGCCCAAAAAAAGCAUGACAAAGAAAAUAUCAGACUAUAAACCUAUUAGCUUGAUCACUAGUCUUUACAAGAUAAUAGCUAAAGUGUUAUCAAGGCGUCUAAGAAGGGUACUACACGAAACUAUUCAUUCUACUCAAGGCGCUUUUGUUCAGGGGAGACAAAUAUUGGAUGCAGUUCUCAUAGCCAAUAAGAUGGUGGAUGAGAAAAGACGAUCAAGGGAGGAAGGAGUCGUAUUCAAAAUCGACUUUGAAAAGGCUUACGACCAUGUGUGUUGGGAUUUUUUGGAUCAUGUGUUGGAGAAGAAGGGGUUUAGUCCUAGAUGGAGGAAAUGGAUGAGAGGUUGUUUGUCCACGGUAUCUUUUGCAGUCUUAGUGAAUGGAAACGCUAAAGGGUGGGUCAAGGCAUCCAAAGGCUUAAGACAAGGCGACCCUUUAUCCCUCUUUUUGUUUACUUUAGUCGCAAAUGUACUGAGCAGGAUGUUAUUGAGAGCAGAAGAAAGAAAUUUGUUGGUGGGUUUCAGGGUGGGUAGGAAUAGAACAAGGGUGUCCCAUUUGGAAUUUGUAGAUGAUACCAUUUUCUUCUUUAACACUAGGGAGGAAGAUUUGCAUUCUCUCAAGAGUUUAUUGCUAGUGUUUGGGCAAAUUUUUGGGCUUAAGGUUAACCUCGACAAGAGUAAUAUUUAUGGCAUCAAUCUUAAACAAAAUCAUCUUUCUAGGUUGGCCAAAUUGCUUGAUUGCAAGGUUUCUGGGUGGCCUAUACCCUACUUGGGUCUCCCUUUGGGAGGAAAUCCCAAGACUUGUGGCUUUUGGGAUCCUGUGAUUGAGAGGAUCUCGAGAAGAUUAGAUGGGUGGCAAAAGGCCUUUUUAUCUUUUGGAGGUAGGAUAACUCUUAUCCAAUCUUGCCUCACCCACAUGCCUUGCUACUACUUCCUUUCCUUGUUUAAGAUACCCGCUUCAGUGGCUGCAAAAAUUGAGAGAUUGCAAAGAGAUUUUUUAUGGUCAGGGGUUGGGGAAGGUAAAAGAGAUCAUCUUGUUAGUUGGGAUGUAGUGUGUAAGCCGAAGGCAAAAGGAGGUAUGGGAUUUGGGAAGAUAGUUCUAAGGAAUGUCGCACUCUCAGGGAAAUGGUUGUGGAGGUACCCUAGGGAAGGUUCAGCUCUAUGGCAUAAGGCUAUUCUAAGCAUUUACGGAUCACACUCCAAUGGAUGGGAUGCCAACACAAUAGUCAGAUGGUUACAUCGUUGUCCUUGGAAGGCUAUUGCUCAAGUCUUUCAGGAGUUUUCCAAGUUUACUCGAUUUGUGGUAAGAGAUGGGGAAAGAAUUUGGUUAUGGGAAGACUUGUGGUGGGGGGAUCAACCUUUGGGUUCUCAAUAUCCAAGACUAUUUAGAGUAGUCACGGAUAAAAAUAGUCUUAUUUCUUCAAUUCUCGGAUCUACUCAUCCUUUUUCAUGGAACUUUAACUUUCGACGCAACCUAUCCGAUCCUGAGAUAGAUGAUUUAGAAGGCCUCAUGCGGUCACUUGAUUGUCUACAUGUGUCAUUUUCGGUUCCAGAUGCGAGAUCCUGAUCCUUAUCUUCUUCAGGGCUUUUUACAGUCAAAUAUUUCCUUCUUGCCUUAUCCCAAUGUUCUAGUUCUCCACCAGUUUUCCCUACUAAGUGUGUUUGGAAAUCUCAAGUCUCUUUCAAAGUCAAGUCCUUUGUCUGGUUGGUGGCACACAGGAAGGUAAAUACUAAUGACUUGCUGCAUCUGAGAAGACCCUACAAAGCUCUUAGUCCUGAUAUUUGUAAGUUGUGCAUGAGGCAUGGAGAAUCAGCUGAUCAUCUUUUCUUACAUUGUUCUUUGACGAUGGGGUUAUGGCACAGAUUAUUUCAGUUAGCCAAGAUGGAUUGGGUUCCCCCAAGGAGCAUUUCUGACAUGCUGUCCAUCAAUUACAAUGGCUUUGGUUUAUCGAAGAGAGGGAUAGUUUUGUGGCAAGAUGCUUGUAUAGCUAUAAUUUGGGUUGUGUGGAGGGAAAGAAAUGCGAGGAUUUUUUAGGAUAAAGCAAGGAAUUCAGAGAAUCUUUGGGAUUUCAUUUCCUUGCUUCUCUUUGGGCUUUUUGUUCCAAGGUUUUUAAGGGGACUCCCCUUACUGUGUUACAACUUGAUUGGCUAGCGGCGUGUAAUUCCUUUGGGUUUGUCUAGUCUAGAGAGUUUGUUCGUUUUUUACUUUGUAUUUUCUUGUUUUCGUAUUCUUGUUGUUUAGUUUUCUUUGGUGGAAGGAUUUCUCAUCCUUCUCUUGUACUUCUUUUUUCUUUUAAUAUAUUCCUUUGUCGCUUCCUAUCAAAAAAAAAUAUUGCUUUUGUGUGUGUGUUUGUGUGUUUUCAUGAAGAUAUUCUACUACAAAGGGAAAAGAGUGCUUGUGCUUGGUGCAAAGAUGCUAAAAUCUUGCAAACAACUUUGGAAGGCAAUAUCUGUAUCCAUUUUUCUGUCAUGUUAUUUGAUAUUUUCUGUUGAAAUUUUAUAAUUUUUUUCUAGGAUUUUUUUAUCCAGUCUGCUUUAUAGAUUUAGACACUGAUAAUACAGAAUUUAUGUCAAUAGAGUUAACAGCAGGAGAAAGAAAUAUAAGAGCUUGUAACUUUCUUCUUUAUUUUCAUAAAGAAUUUCAUUCCUGCUUUAUUUUUUGUUUUAUUCUGAAGGAACUUUUUUAAUUUGUCUACUUAAUUGAAUCCUUGUUUAUAUUUUAUGAUAGGACUGCGUGAGUGGUUUUCUCAGACGGAUAAAAGGAAUGCUCUGCCAAGAAUUCCUGUUAUGGUCAAUAUGGCCUCAACUUCUUUUACUUCAGAGAAGAAUCAGAAGCCACAGGAGUCUUCUGAUCAAUUGAAUGCUACAAGUAGGAACUCAAUGAUGAUGGAUGAAUACUCUGAUGAAGAUGAAGAAUUUCAAGCACCCGAGACAGAACAAGAGGUUUGUACUACACACCUGCUCUUAUGUUUUAUGCACAUACCUUCUCUAAACAUGAAUUUUGCACAUUAUUCAGGCAUACUCAAUGAGUCUUCCGAAUGAAGUCAAAGGAACAGGUACUGCCUUGUAUCUAUGUUUUUCUUAUGACAUUUGGUGCUGGAUCCUUAUGUCUGAUAUAUCAAAUGGAACUUUACAAUCAUUAUGUUCAUCAUGAAUUGAAGCCAUGGAAGAAGAACCCCAAGAUAAAAUUGAUGUCUCAUGUUUUUCGGGCAAUCUACGACGUGAUGACCGUGAUAAGGGUCGUGACUGCUGGACGAUAUCUGAUGGGAACAACUUCAGAGUUCGUAGCAAGCAUUUUUGUUAUGACAAAACGAAGGUUCUCUGGUCCUCUGCUUGUUUCCUUUAGUUAGUAUUUCUUGAAUUUUCUUGAUCAACAUCUUAUGACCUUAUUAGGCCUGCUUUAAUGACGAUCUUCCAACAUGUAUUUGAAGAUUCCUGCAGGGAAACAUCUUAUGGAUCUUGUUGCUGUUGAUUGGUUCAAAGACUCAAAACGGAUCGACCAUGUUGCUAGGCGACAAGGCUGUGCAGCACAAGUACUAUAUUCUAUUCUUUUCUGACUUAUAUGUACUUAUUUUAUUGAUAGUGAAUCAAAGUCAAUUACUUAUUUCUAUAAUACUUUUCUCUCUAAACCACUAAAACCCUUUGUUAAGAAUGCAGCAUCUGUGGUAUUAGAAAAAUAUGAAAAUCCUCUUCCUCCUUGCCAAUGCUACCUUUUCCAUCUACUAGGUGAUACCUUUUAUCCUAAAGCUCAGUUUGUUGGUACUGCUCUGGUUUGUCAGAUUGCUGCUUAGUAUUUGAUUAUUAAUUCAUAUACCAUCAUUUAGAAAAGCAAGCAUAAUACCAUUUUAGAACUUCUCUUUCCUGUCCUAAUGAUUAGCAUGCACACUGUCCACAAUAUAAUCAUUAACUCCUCAGUCUUCUUCAGCAUCAUCGUGACUGUCAUCAUCACCCUUAUAGUAUCUAGAGGUACUUAUUCCACAUGCAUUUGCUCAUUGUGUUACCGUCUGUGGUUCCAUAGUUCCUUACCUAGUUUCUUGUUUAUUGUUGGUUUUGAGUUUUGAAAUUGAGUAGACAUAGAAGAUUAUAAACAAAGAAUAGUUGCUUUAUUUGAUUCCUUGGGUUUUCUUUGCAUCUGAAAUUUUGAAAAGAUGAAGAAAAAUACAGAAUAAGUUUCUCAUGUAUACCACUUUGUGCAAAUAUUAAUCAUUAUGAACUAUGUCCAAUGUUUAAAAAAUUGGGAAAUAUCAUGGAUAUUUCCUGAAAAUUUUGUGCUUAGGUCAUCACUGACAUGACAAAUGGAAAGAAAACACUGACCAACUGUCUUUCGUUCAUUUUUCGAUAGUUUUUGCCCUUCUUUUUGGCUAAUUUCAGUAUUUUUCUAGUUUUUUUGCCAAUACUUUCAACAUUAUCCGAAUUGUUUCCAAUUUUCUGCCAAUAAUAUCCCACAUUGCGCUCCUAAUGAUUUUGCGCAUCCCUCAGUCAAUGUGUUGCUUCCUCUCCCAGGCUUAGUCAAUGGGGGCUCCUUCUCUCCCCUUAAUUCUUGCCAACUCCUUAGAUUUAAAAAUUGGGUUUUGAACCUAAGAUGACAAGGAUGAAAUGAGCCUUUCCUAACCACUGGAUCAUCUAUAUUGUUUGUAAUAAAGGUUCACAAAUAUAUAUACAUUUAGAUAUCCAUGGCAAAAACAAAAUGUUAAAAUAAAAUUUUGAUAAAUUAAUUAAUUUUAAUUAAUUUCUAAUUGAUUGUUAAAACAUAGAAAUUAUCAUGAUAAUUUUCUUAACAAGUAUUUAUGUAUAUCUUUUAUGUAUUAAUUAAAUAUAAGAGAAAUCUAAAUAUUCUAAAAUAAAUCAUAUAUGUAUCGUUAUUUCUUUUAUAUCCUUGAAUACAUUUAAAUUAAAUAGAUCAUUAUUUUAGCAUUAAAUAUGUUUUCAAUUUCGAUAUGUUAUUAUCAAAUAUUAAAAACUUUAUUGUACAAAUAUUACUUUCUUCACUAAAACAACUUUAAUGUGCAUAUUAUUACUUAUUUUAUCAUUUCUUAAAAACACUUUUAACAUUUUUAUGGGUUUUGAUCAAUUUCCAUCGCACCAGAAGUUUUUGUGAAAAUUUCCUUAGAUAUUUCUUGAUAUAUUUCGAUAUAUCCAUAAAAUCCACCUAUUGAUAUUUCCAUAAAAACUGAUAUUUUUAUCCUUCACUAUGUCUAUAGAGAAGAUUGUUAUAGAGAAAAUUGUGAAGGGCAUAUAUUUGCUCCUAUUGAUGAUAGGUUUAAUAUGCAGUUCUUUGUUUUGAAAAUUGAUUGCUUUUAUAAUGGCAGUAGUUCUGCUAAUAUUUUUUUUCCUUCUUAACAUGUGACUCUGUAUAAAAUUAUCCUUAAUAUACAAAACUUUCUUAUAUGUUUAGAGGCUUGUUGAACAUGAAUUCUACAAACAAGAUAGUUCUAUGUACUUUCUAUUGUUGACAUCCAAUUUCAUACUAGCAAUGGACCUAUGACGAUAAGCACUUUGACUAUCGUGAUAUGCAUAAUUAAAUGAUAUGCAGAACUUGUUUCAUUAUUAUCUCCACCCUUGUGGUUGUGUCAUCGAUUAUUGAUGCUGCAAGGAGGUAAUUACCACCGACCUAUUGCUGGAAAUAUUCCUCACUACCCUGUCAAGGGCCAACACCACUCCUACUGCUCUGACAAUGCAGAGAGGACACCUACUAUCUAGUACCCAUAUUAGGAUAGAAGCCUUUACAUCAUGAGGUCAAUGGGGGAGCUAUCUUGAGUACCCUCACAUGCUAAGGUGGGCCACUUCCCUUUGUCCCCUGGUUGGCUUUCAACCCUUUGCACUCUAUCAAGACGAUAUGUCAUGCCCCAAAACCCACUCCAAGGGCAUGACAGUCAUUUCACACCUCAAACUCGAAGGUUCAAAGUCAAAACGACACAAGUUUUCAUCUUGUAAAUAGAAAUUACCAAUUACCAAAUUGUUGUUCAAAGUAGUAAAAUAAAUAAAUUCUAAAAUCUCCAGAUAUCAAUUUAUAAAAACCAACACAUCAACUCAAGUGUUAUUGUCCAAAUAACUUCAAACUCAAAUAAUUCAAAUUGAAAAUAAAUUUUAACAUUUAAAUAAUGUUCAAAAUAAAAAGAGUUUUAACAAAUGUCCUAACAAGCCAAUUUCUCCUCCAAUUUCUCCUCCUAACCGUCACUCCUCGCCUGAAUUGAGGGUACCUGGAAAAUUAUCAACAAAGGGGGAUGAGCUCAAAGCCCAAUAAGGAACAUUAACAUAGUUUCAUAGAUCAAUUAUUUUCAAUUAUACUUAUAAACAGGAGAUAUAACAUAUAUUGUUUUGAAUGAUCUAUUUUCAGUUAUACAAAUAAUGAUCUAUUUGAUUGUUUUGAAUGAGUUCAAACCAGACAUGAUCCUUUUAUCUAUCUUCUCAUGCAUGUAUUGCUAUCCUUUGGAAUUGUCAAUUCCAUGCUGUCUGUUGUGAUAAAAUCUUAGGUCCAAGGUUUAGCCAAGAAGGAGAUGGGAUAGGGAAAUACUAAAGAGGAGAGAACAUGGAACUUUUAUUUUUUUAUUUUUUUGGCUGGUGAUGCGUGUGAUAUGUGAUGGUAUGAUAAAGUCUUGUCCAGGAAAUUUUUUUUUUUUUGACAAAUUCUUUAUAUUUUAACCUUUCUUAUACUACACAUACUUUAUCGGUGUGUAUUUCAGACUUUGCAUGGACAUAAAGCAGGAGAAAAAUUUUCAGGUCACUAAAGCGUAUGGAUUCAUAGUCAGGGGAGAGCUAGAAAUUUAAUUUAGAGGCACCCUUUUGAGAAUAUACGAAUAGAAAAAUGAAAGAAUUAAUUAUAAUACAAAAGGUUGAUUAUGCUUAUAUUCAAUAAUUUAUCAUUAAUGGGAUUUAAUGAUUUAUCUAUUUAUCUUCAUUCAGGUAUCUAAUUAAUUUUAAAUAUAUGUUUUUUUUUUUAAAUCUUAUAUAAAAAAUUUAAAGAAUAUAAAUUAUUUCUUUUAUUAAAAAAGAGAUAAAUAGCAUCCACAUUAAGUUAAUAUAGAAUUGCUUUGGAAACUAUUCUUAUUUUUUAAUUUUUUUUUUCCUUUUUUGUAAUCUUUUUUCAAAUAUUGGAAUAGAAAGCAUUAAUGUGAGAUUCAUCUAAGUAUUAUAAUUACUUAUAUUAAUCAAAUAGCAUAUGUCCCAGCUUAGUGGUAGAGCAUUUUAUAUGGAUACACAAUAAAACCCUAGUUUGUAUCAAAUUUUUUCAGCUUGUCCUAGCUUAGUGCAUUUUUGCUUCCAGGUGGUGUAGGAAAGGAUGAAAAACUUCUGCCAUUUAUUGGGCUAGUACUAGAUGAAUUGAAGGUUCCUGUGCAAAUUGACUAGUAAUAUGUUUAAAUGCUUUAGAAUUGUGUGAAGAAGUAUUAUAGGUAUUUGUAAUCACUACAAUCCAGUUUAUAUGACCAUUGGACCUUUUAUGGAUUAAGUUCUGCUGACUCAAGCACGUUAAACUUUAAUAUUAGUUUUCCUUCUAAAUUCCACACCAUCUAUAUGAGUCACUUGUGCAUGGACCUAGUAAGCUCUGCUACUAUUUAUUACUCAUUUUGGUGUUAUUAUUUUCUUUUCCUUUCAGUAGCCUUCUGGGCUGUCUUAGGGCUGAUGACCUCCUGUUUAUUCUAGUAUUUUGGAGUUCUUGUAUGUCAGUAGCUACAACUUCUCAAUAUCACUAUUGGAUUUAUUGUUUUUAUCAAUUCCUUCCUUCCAAACAGAAUGAUUCCUUCCUUCAUGCCCUAUUCUUUGUGCCUGCAAGUUAAGCAAAUUGCUAUGCUGUUGCUCCUAAAGGCCCUUGAUCGGUAACAAAGCAUGAUAUAGAACUACCCGUGAAACUUGGUCCAAAUUAUGACUGAAAAGAAAAUGUGUAGGAAGAGUAAGAAGAAACUGAUUUUUUUUCCCUUUCGCCGCCACCCCACUCCCCUCCCCCCCACCCCCCCUCUUUUUUUCCUUUUUUUUUAUAAAGAUAGCCAAGAGUAAGAUGAAACUGAUAUUGAAACACAAUAUUCUUUCAAUCAAUUAAAUAACAAAAUCUAUAAGCACAUUUAUUUUGUAGGAUCUCAGUGAAUGAGUUCAGGUUUUAAUCCUACUGAUCACAAUGCUAAGUUGCAAGGUUUUUUUCUUUUUCUUUUUUAAUAUUCUGUUGCAUUAAUAUAUUAAGCACAAGGAAGGAUGAGAAAUUCUUCAUUACACAAUCCUCUAUACAAAGUUUGAUCAAGAAGGUGGAUUUGUGUAUACCGGUUCAAUAAGUCAAAUCUAGCUAUAAUUCAUGAGGUAUAAAAUCUCCUACAAAAGAAAGCAUAUGUCUAGCUCCAUGUUUUGCUAACUUAUUUGCAGCAUGAUUGCCUAAGCGAGGAACCUGAGGGGUACAUCUUAACUCUGAAGAAAUAUCAAUAAUUUGGCAUAACCACCCACGAAACUUCCAGAAUCCUCUUCUUUACCAUAUUAUGACAAUAGUAGAAUCGCCUUUUGAAAGGGCUAGAAUUUUUGCCUUAAUGGCUAAAUCUCGACCUGCAUGUUUAGAGGUACUCUUAACACUCUGCGAAAGUGAUCCCUAAGUAACCUUUUUGUUCCUAACUACCUUGGGUUGCCCAAAGAACAUCUAUCAAAAUGAAACGGAGCAAAACCCAUUGAAGAUGGUAGUCAUUCAAAAAGUGUCUCCUUGGUCAACCUCGUGGUUCUGCAAACUAGGUUCCAAUCUAGUAGAAUAAAGCUUAAAAAUCCUUCAUUGGUGGAAGCCAACAAGGAAGAAGACAAGUAAAAUAAGUUCUUAAUUGUUUCUUGAGACCUCUACCUAUCCUUAAAAAUUCUUGCACUCCUUUCCUGCCAAGUAGUCCAAAUCAAAGUGAGGUUAGCAACGCGCCAAAGAUUCCUGCCUCGAGGAAGUCCUCCAAAACCUCUGAAGAACAUAAUCAGCAUUGCCUCCUCCUGUCCAGGUGGUGCCCAAUCAAUUCCUACAAGUCGAAACAUUCUACAUCAUGAUGUCAAUGCUACGGGGCAAUGUAAUAGAAAAAUGAUCUAGAGACUCCCUGCUCAUACACACCAUUCCAAGCUAAGUGCUUUGUAUGGUCUUCUUUUUGCCACAAGUCAUGCAAAGUGAAGACUUUUGGUGAGACUUUGAAUUUCCAAUUGAAAGUUGCAGGAAUAAAGGAGACUACAUUGAUAAAAAUAGAGAUAACCUUAAAGAGCGAACUAACUGAGAACUAUCCUAAAGAUGUCAAAGACCAAACUUUCCAAUUAAGAAAAGUGGGUGACAAAUAGACAUGGGCAAAAGAAAACAUUAGAUGAGCUAGUUCCUCAAUUUCCUGCAAAUUUCUUGUUUUCCACUACUUUUAGCCAAGGAUAUUUUGACCAGAUGGAUUUCUAGGUUAUCCACUAAAUAGAACCUACAAAUUUAAUCCUAGUGCUUCUUAUGAGAAUUAUGUUAUAGGGAAGUUCCUGUAAAGUAUUUUGGUUGCACUUUUUACUGCAAAGUAGAAUCCUUGAAAAGAAAUUCUCAUUAGCCGAAGUUCAGUUGUCCAAGCCUGUCAUGUUUGUUGUAAGCCUGAGCUAUCAUUUCAAUGUUUCAAUUGAUUACAAUAUAAAAAUUUCCUGGAAAGCUUUACUAGUCCAAUAGUCUUUUCAUGUUUAAUGGUGUAACCUCACUUAUCUCAGGAAUGUUCAUUUUUAAGAUAAUUUAUUGCUAUGUGUAUUUGAGUUCAUAAUAAUGGAUAUGCACCCAAUGCAUGGUAAGUGAUAACCAGUUGCAUCCAUGGAUAAAUAUUAGUGCAUCUGUAGUAAUGAUGACAAUCAAGAACCUAGUUGUGGGGUUGUCUCUAUGAUGAGGAUAUAUCUCCAAAAUAUACAUCAAGAAAAGGAAUUAGUGUCAGUUGCAAUAAAAGUAGGAUUAAUAUUACUUGGACUUAAAUUAGGAUUAGCAUUUGUUGGAGUUAAAUUAGGAGUAGCUAAUUAGGUUAUUGGAGAAUUAGAAUUAAAGUCAUAAUGGGUUAUUAGAAUCCUAGUAGACUUAGAUUUCUUAGGAAGCUAGGCUCAUAUUGGCCUAAUCAUAAAAAUUUUUACUUGACCAAACUGAAUAAGUUGGUUCUCCAUUGAAUCAUACACAACUUGUUUAAAGGAUCAGAGUCUCAUCAUCUGUACAUUUUCUUAGAAUCUAUACCACUUAAUCUAAUAUAAAUACUGAAAAAUAUUUAUUCUAGGUAUUUUUUAUUUCUUUGUGUGCUAGAAUAUAACUAUGUUCUUGUUUAUAAAUGUCUGUGUAGGUUGCAUCAGAGAAAGGACUUUUCUCUAUUGUCAUAAACCUGCAAGUAAGUUGCUUCUCUCCAUAACAUUUUAGUUUUUAACUAGGUGCUUCUGCAUGCUGGAAGAGGAGUAAAAGUUGUAAUCUUACAGGUACCCGGUUCAACACACUACAGUAUGAUAUUUUAUUUUGUAACUAAGGAAUUGCUAACUGGAUCCCUGUUGCAACGAUUUGUUGAUGGUUAUGAUGAGUUCCGAAAUAGCAGGCUGAAGCUCAUCCCAUCAGUUCCCAAGGUACUUUCUACAUUUUCCAGUUUUUGAAGGAUGCUCAAAUAGAAUGUCAGGACUGUUGCAGGCAGUCCUCACUCCUGCUUGCGGUGCUUAAUAAUUCGUGUCACAGAAGUCUGUCUAUUACCUGUGAAGCGAUCACCCCUGUUGUGUCCACCUGUAUGGCUCAAUAAUUUAUAUUUGGAUGAUCAUGCUGAUUACUUCUUAGCAGAUCUUUUAUGCCUCAGAAGUAUAGGAUUAAGAUAAGAUGCCACACAUGUGCAUUUGCACUUCUUUCAUAAUGUGGUUUGGGUGGAUAAUAAAUUGGUUAGCAAGCAUGUAAAGUCAUGAUUGAAGUUGCAGUGGUAAUCAGGUUUUAUCAUAUUAAUUUACUUCUUUAUUAUUACUAUUAUUUUUGUUCAACUGGAUCCAUGCAUACUUCAAUAGAUUAAAUGCUUAAUUGCUUCUACAAAUUGCUUCCAUAAAUUAUUCAAAUAACUAAACACAGGUUGUUAAGUCUAAUUUACUCUCUCCUUGUGGACCCAUGCAUAUGUGCCAUAUGUUCUGAUUUGAUACAUUGGAUUCUCAUUGAACUGCCCCAAGUGUCCUACAUUACAUCACCAUAUCCAAAUUUUGUAUUAGCAUGUGACAAUUUGCUUCAUGUGCUAAGAUGCAACGAGUGCUGAUCCAUUGGUUAGAUGCUAUUAUUGAUUACUUGAAAUUGGUUCAAGGAUCUUGAUUUGGUUAUAGAGUUGGACGCUCCUCGAGAGUUAUGGACUAUGCAUAAAUUAUACCCAUUCCAACUAAAUUGAGAGAGGGAGCAUCGCGUCCAAGGGGCAUGUCACCAUUUAUGUUUGAUGCACUAUAUGAGAGGUUGACCUGUUUCUGUGACAAACCUAGCUGUGGCCCUUGAUUCAAUAUACCCAGGAGAUCUUUGAUUGGUUGUGCAUGUUCUUGUGGUUAGCAUGGGCCUCCCAAGUCAAUAACUAUCAAAGACCUCUCAUUGGUUAAGUCUAUGAAUAUGGGCUCUUAAAUAAGGUGUAGACUACAUGAUAUACAUCAUGUGCUCAAAUCUUUCAAGUUUAAACUUUUAGGAUAAUUGGUUCACCAACAUUGUAUCAGAGCCUCAUUUGGUGGGAGGUCAUGUCUUCGAACCUCAUGACAUAUUUAUUUCCUUGAUUUAUUAAGCCCAAAUGAGGCUACUUUAUUUCCCUAGUUUAUUAAGCUCACAUGUAAGCCCGAAGUGUAAGCCUAAUGGAGGCCCCACUUAAAGGAGGGUGUUAAGAGUGCAUGAUAUACAUUGUGGGCCUAUUACAAACUUAUGCUUUUAGGAUAAUUGGUUGUUCAACAUAAAGGAUUGUAGAGGGCUCAUUGAAGAAGGAUUUUUGUCUAUCUAAAGAGUGCUCUUCAGCCAUCUUGAGUCCUUGAGAUUUCCUGUACAAGCUUAAGCCGUCCUUGGGGCACUAUCAUCUUUCUCCAUCUGCUCUCUUUUUAGCCCUUUUUGCUCUCCUCUCAAACGUUUUAUAACUCACCAUUCCCAUGGUUACUUCAGACCUAUCAUAAUAAUGCAAUAUAUUUAUUUUAGUUAAACUGACUUUGCUUCCUCAAGCAUUUCUUGGUUGUGCUUGGGUGGGUUAGUAAAUAUUUGAACACAGCCCAAAUUCAUCAUCCGGACCUUAAACAUUCCCAAGUUUCAAUACAAACUAUUAAGUCAUUGAACUGAACCUGUCCUAUCUAUGGAUUUUCAUGUUGACUAAACAUAGUUCACAGCCUUAGGAUACAUUAGUGGCUGGUAUCCAAUGGGUUUCUUGAUGGCCCUUAAAA